rnacentral:lncRNA from 1 species
AUGCCCAACCUACCCAUUAUCCCUAUUAUACAUUUGGAACCCCUCAUAGCCCCCCCCUCCCCUUAAGGAACACAUGCUUUGGGCUUUCACCCCAAGCCUCCCUUAGUAUUAGGAGUUAGUCUUUGGGACAAGCUCGAAACUUAUUAAAUAUGGAAUAUUUUUAAAUUGCGAAUUUGAACACGGGACAAACACCAUUGUGUUCAGAACAAUCUCUACAUUCCGUAGAUAUGCCAAAUGAGUAAAUCUGGACACUUUCCAUAAAUAGCAUUUAAGACUAAAAUGAGACUAACACAAAGGGCAUGGAAGGGUGUUUGGCAGACAUGGUAAGCUAUCAUCUAGUGAAUAUUGAGGGACCAAUCUCAAUAUCGCGGGAGUUCCCAACACUAGCAAGUGCAAAUUAACAACAUGAGUUUCUCGUCACCGUGCCAAAUAUACUUAACUAAAUGACAACAUAAGAUUUUCUUCUUUAGUGCCCUUCCGGUCUAAGUGCACAUGUGAUGACCAAUUUCUCAACUAGCUUAGACAGAGAUUGAUGACGAGUCCAGCAAUACCGACCUCCUGCCAUCGUGGCAGUAAGGAAAGAAUAUCCGAAAGGACUAGCUGACAGGUAACUUUCAAUACCCGAAGUCACAUUUGCAACACUAAUAUCCCCUUGUUGAGCAUAAACAAUGAAAGGCAAUGUCCAUAAAGCAAUGUUUGUAAUAUUUACUUAGCCUCUUUUGAGCAAGAGAAUGGAGACACAAGUUCUAGGAGACAAUGUCUAACUCUCUCAUUGAGCUUGACACCACAAUGGCUCUCUCUACAUCCCUAGCAUGGGCCUAGGACACUAAGAAGCAUUUGAAGGAGUCUAGACAAGAUGAUGAUGUAAGUUGGUCUCUCUCUCAUCAAUAAGAACUUUGAUAACAAUAGAAAGAAAAAAGUAAAAAAAUGAAGAAAAACAAUUUUAAAAGAGAACAAGGAAAAAAAAUGACUAGUGAUUUAGUUUGUGUAACUUCUUUGCUUACAACUCUACUUGUUCUUUGAUCAUCAUGAAGUUGCUCAAAUACUGGUGGUAAAAUAUGAAUGGUGGUCACUAUUAAUUAAAAAACUUCAAUAGCUACUACUAGUAGUGGUGGUGGAGUUUAUUAACUAAUGAGAUUUUGUAGCGAUGGUAUUGUUGGUGGUGCUUGGUUGGAGUAUAUACAUGAGAUAGGUUAGACUGAGUGAUUGACAAUCACUAUAGAAAUGAAAAUUUUAAAUAUUAGGUAAUAAUUUCACAUCCUCUUCUUGUGUUCUUGGUUUUUUUUUGGAAAGUUCUAAAUAAUGAUUGAAAUGUUAAUUAGCCAGGCAUCACUAAACUAAAGCCAUCUUUGAGAUAUUUAAGCUUCCAUUUUCACUUCUUAUUUUCUCUUCCUUGAUUUCUGUUACCCAUACUUCUAGGAGGAGAUGUAUUGAUAGAUUGGAGAGUAGUGGCUAUACUCCAAAUAAAACUCUAGAAAGAUGUAGAUAAAAUUGAUGUUUAGAGGAGAGGAUGACAAUGGUUGAAAAGAGGAUUGGAAAAAUAUCUUUAAAUAUUGUGUUUGCAAGAUGGGAAGAAAAGAAUAAGGUUUACAUAAAGUGAAUUAAAGGGGAGAUCAUUUUGAGAGAGUUUUCUCAAUGUCCUUAUAGAAAUAUCAUAGUGUACAUUGGUAGCUAAUUUAUGAUGCAAUAGAGAGCUUUUUUUUGCAUUGGAAUGGCUAUAAACAUGAAAUUCUAUGACAUAUAAGAUAUUUUAAUACUAUAUAUUAUUGUUCAUACUAUUGAACAAUCAAACAUUCCAAAUAAGAACCUUUCUAAUGAUGGAUAGUAAUUACAACUUCCAAGGGAUCAAGUGAUUUACAUUUUAUAGCUUAGAAUUAUCUCAUUGGAUUACAUUGCUUAAAUUUAGAGAUUUGCAUUGGCUUGAAUAGGUACUAAAAUAUAGGCAAUACAUUGUCUAAUUUUACCAUAGGGUUUGGGACAUAGAUGAUUUAAAAAACAUAGUAGCCACAAUUUCUAAUCAUGCUCAAGUGUGUGUAGCAAAAGGAGCAAGAGUAGCUAUUCAGGUUGCAAUAGCUAUUACAUAGGCAAUAUGGCAAUCAUAAAUGUGUAAGCAAUCAAAAGAAACUACUCGAAAGAUAAUUCAUUAAGGUUUAAAUAUAAAAAGAAAUGGCUUAUGAAUUAAAAUAAGGGUCUUAGGAUAUUUAGAGUUGAAGAUAAUUGAGCUUUAGAAAAAUGCAAACAAAAUCAAUAAUUUAGAGAAGAGGAUAACAAUGGUUAAAAAUGGAAUUGGGAAAACAUCUUCAAAUAUUACUUUUGUAAAGUGUGCAGAAAAAAACAAGUUUUAUAUGGAGUGGAUUGAAAAGGAGAUCAUUUUGAGAGAGUUCUUUCAACAUCUUUAGGGAGAUAUCAUAGUGUAUAUUGGUAGCCAAUUUCUGAUAUAAUAAGGACCUCUUUUUUGGGUUGGAAUGGUUAUAAAUAUGAAAUUCUGUAAUAUAUGAGAUAUCUAGAUACCAUAUGUAGUUAUGUGUGUGAUUAGACAAUCAAACAUUCUAAAUAAGAACCUUCCUAAUGAUGGAUAGUUUCUAAUUUCUAGUAGUGGUUUUUAAAAUUGCAACUUCUAAAGGAUCAAGUGAUUUACAUUUUAUAGCUUAGGAUUAUCUCAUUGGAUUACAUUGCCUAAGUUUAGAGAUUUAUAUCAACUUGAAUAAAUACUAAAAUAUUGGUAAUACAUUGUCUAAUUUUACCAUGGGAUUUGGGACAUAGAUGAUUUAUAAAGCAUGGUAACUAUAAUUUAUAAUUGUACUCAACUACAUGUAACAAAAAUAGCGAAAGUAGCAAAAGUACCAUAUGGUGAGAAUUCCCAAUCAUACAAGGAGUUGAGUAUUUUAGCCCUCCAAACGACACUCUUAAAUUUCUUUUUUAUGCAAUGCUACUUUUAGCAAGUAAAAAUUUUUCACUUUUAUGUAAAAGAUGUUCCCACAAAAAUACCAACAAACUAUAUACUUGAUUUAUUUUUGGUUCAAUUGGCCUUCUAAAAGUUAUCUCAAACAGUCUAGAACAAACAAGAAAAAGGAAAAUAGCAAAAAAGUAUAAAAAGUAAAAAAUUAGAAAAAUAAAGAAAAAAAGAGAAAAAAGAAGACUACCAAUCUAAGAUGAAAGUGCUAAAAUAAUGGUGGUGAAAUAUAGGUGGUGGUCAUUAUUAAUUAAAAAAAUUAAAUAAUUACUAGUAAUGAGCUUUUGUAGCAAUAGUACUGUUGGUGGUGAUUUGCUGAAGUAUAUAUAUAAGAUAGUCAUAGGAAAAGUGAUUAGACUAAGCAAUUGAUAAUCACUAUAGAAACAAAAAGUUAAAAUAUCAAGUAACAAUUUCACAUCCUCUUCCUCUAUUCUUGGUUUUCAUUUGGAAAUUUUUAAAUAAUGAUUAAAACACUAAUCAACUAGGUAACUUUAGAUUAAGGCUCAUCUUUGGGACAUUUGCUAUUUCCUUAGUUUUUAUUUUUACUUCUUGUUUUCUCUUCCUUGGUUUCUCAUACCCAUACUACUAUGAGGAAAUAUGGUGAUAAAUUGGAGAAUAGUGGCUAAACUUCAGAUCAAAUUAUAGAAAGAUGUAGAUAAUAUUAAUGAUUUAAGAGAGGAUGACAAUAGCUGAAAAGAGGAUUGGGAGAAGAUCUUCAAGUAUUGCUUUUAUAAGGUGGAUAGAAAAAAAUAACUUUAAUGUAGAGUGGAUUAGAAGUGAAAUCAUUUUGAGAAAGUUUUCCUAAUGUUCUCAUGGAGAUGCCAUGAUGUACAUUGAUAGCCAACUUAUUAUACAAUAGAGAACUUUUGUUUAUGUUGGAACGACUAUAACACAUAAAACAUCUCGAUACUAUAUACUUUUAUUCAUGUUAUUAAACAGUCAAACAUUCUAAAUAAGAAUCUUCUAUAGCUACCAGUGGUGGUUUUUAACCUGCAACUUUCGAGAGAUUAGGUGAUUUAUAUUCUAGGGAUUAGGAUUUUCUCAUCAAAUUACACUGCCUAAGUUUAAAGAUUUAUGUCAAUUUGACUAAGUACUAUAAUACAUUGUCUAAUUUUACCAUAUUUAAUAGGUAUGGAGUUUAACACAUAAAUAGUUUAUAAAGCAUGGUAGCCAUAAUUUAUAAUCACACUUAACUCCAUAUAGCAAGAGCACUUAUACAGGUUGUAGCAAUUACUAUAUAAGCAGUAGAAUGGUGAUAAUUGAUAUUAUAUCUUUUGGCAUUGGAAUUCUCACAUUAAAUACCAUGUAGUGAGGAUCUUUAAUCAUAAGAGGGGUCAGGUAUUUUAGCUCUUCAUGUAAUGCUUCUAGAUUUCCUUUUUACAUGAUAUUAAUUAUAAUAAGUAUAAUUUUUCACUCUCGUAUAAGAGGCAUUCUUGCAAGCACUAGCAAACUAUACACUUGAUUUAUUUCCAAUUCAAUUGGCUUUCUAGAAGUUAUCUCAACCAAUCUAAAAAAAAAAACUAAUGAAAUAAUUUUUAAAAAAACUAAAGAAAGAAAAAAAGCAAAAAAGUUUUAAAAUAGAAAUUAAAAAAAAAUUGGAUUAACGAUUUAAUUUACUUAAUUUCUCUGUUUAUAACUCUAUUUGUUCUCUGAUCAUCAUGAAGUUGCUAGAAUAUAAAUGGUGGAAUACAAGUGGUUGUCAGCAUUAGUUAAAAAGCUUUAAAGGCUACUAAUGGUAGUGGUGGUAAAGUUUCUCAACUAACGAGUUUUUCAAAAGAUGGUAUUGUUGGUGGUGUUUAGUUGAAGUAUAUAUAUGAGAUAAGUAAUUCUAAGACACAUGAUUGGACCAAAUGGUCAAUAAUUACUUCAAGAGUGGAAACUUUGAAUAUCAAGUAAUAACUUCACAUCCUCUUUUGAUAUUCUUGGUUUUCAUUUGGAAAGUUCUAACUAGUAACUAAAAUAAUGAUCAACUUGUUGUUCUAAGACUACAUUUACUCUUUCUCUAUAUUCCUCCCUCACUUCUUGUUUUUGCUUCUUUAGUUUUUCAUACCCAUAUUUCUAUGAGGAGAUAUGGUGAUAGAUUAAAGAGCAAUGGCUAAGCUUUAUAUCAAGUUCUAAAAAGAUGUAAAUAAAAUUGAUGAUUUCAAGGAGAAGAUGACAGUGGUUGAAAAUGGGAUUAGGAUAACAUUUUCCAAGUGUUACUUUUGCAAAGUGUGUGUUAUUGGACAAUUAAACAUUCGAAAUAAAAACCUUCUUAAUGAUGGAUAGUUUGUAGUGGUGGUAACUUUUGAAGGAUCAAGUAAUUUACAUUCUAAGGCUCAAAAUUAUCUCAUCAGAUCACCCUUUUGAAGUUUCGAGAUUUAUUUAGCUUGAAUAGGUACUAAAAUAUUGGCAUCAUGUGAGAAACAUUCACACAGGAACACUAGCAAAUUAUAUAUUUCAUUUAUUUCUAGUUUAAUUUGCCUUCUGGAAGUUAUCUAAACCAGUCUAGAAAAACAAAAAAAAGAGGAGAAAAUAUUAGCACCAUUGUACAAGGAAGCCAGAAAUAAAAACUCGUUUAUCCAAGCUACACAUGCAUCCUAGCAGCAUCCCUAUGGUUUCUACAUGCCACUAGCAGGCAAGUCCACUCAAGUGAAUCAGCCACAAAUGGCAUGGCAUUGAUCAAGUCUUCGGCAUCUCCCAGCCUGCCUGAUCGUCCCAGGAUAUCGACCAUGCAGCAGAAAUGAGGCUUGGUGGGAGGCACUCCAUAAUCCAGGCUUAAAGACGUGAAGCACUUCCUUCCAGCGUAGAGGCCCCCACUGUGGUUACAUGCAUGAAGAAUCCGGAUAAAGCAAAUCUCAUCAACUCUCUCGGCAGUGGCAGCCAUCGAGUGAAACAAAUCGAGCACCGAGUUGGCUUGCCCGACCUGGGCAUAAGCUCCCAACAUCGAGCUCCAGGACAUGAGAUCUAGUGAUGGCAUUGUGUUGAAGAUCUUGUGUGACACUGCGAGCUGUGAGGUGUGGUGAGCGUGAGCUGAGAGAAGCGCAUUCCAGGAGACUUGGUUCCACUCGGGCAUCUGGUAGAAGACAAGCUUUGUCUCGACGAGGAGGCCGUGCUGGGCAUAGGCGACAAGCAUCGCAGUCCAAGAUACCAGGUCGAGCUUAGGUAUGGAGGCGAAGAUUGCCGCAGACUGGUCGAUAUCCCCGUGCUGGGCAUAAGCAACGAGAAGAGACGUCCAUGAAGCAAUGUUUCUGUGCGGCAUCUCGUCAAAGACCUGCUUGGCCUCCUCGACACGAGCAGACUGAGCGAGAGCGUGGAGAAGUGAGUUCCAGGAGACGAUGUCCUGCUCUCUCAUCGAGCUUGACACCAUGAUGGCUCUCUCGGCGUCCCCGGCCUGGGCAUAUGACGCCAAGAGGGUGUUCCAGGAGAAGAGAUUGUGUUCCGGCAUCUCGGUGGUGAAAAAGGUGAGAGCAGCGUCGAAGUCCGAGAGCUGGAGGAGCCCAGACAAAAUGAUGUUGUACGUGAUCAAGCUAGUCUCUUUCAUCGAUGAGAACUCCUCCCUAGCUCUCUCCAGUCGACCACUCUGGGCAAGGGAAGAGAGCACCGCAUUCUUUGCGACAGCGUCCCACUCGGGCAUCAUCAGGCACAGAGCUUCCAUGGCAGGCAAGUCGAUCUCGUCCCUCUGGAGCAAGAUCGCUAACAGAGUUGUCCAGGAGACGAGGUCCCGGAGCGGCAUGAGAUCGAAGAGGUGCAUGGCCUUCUCGACAUGCCCGGCUUGGGCAUAUGCAGCCAGCAUGGUGUUCCAAGACACAAUGUUCCUCCAAGGCAUCCGAUCAAACACAAGUAGAGCGCCGGAUAUCUGCCCAAUAGCGGCGUGUGCAUGGAGGAGCGAGUUCCAAGACGCCGUGUCCCAGGCGGGCAUCUGAUCAAAGAUAGACUGUGCUUGAUCCAGAUGCCCGGCGUGGGCAUAUGCACCGGCUAUAGUUGUCCAGGAGAUAAUGUCGUGAUCGGGCAUGGAGUGGAAGAUCUGGGUGGCGUUUUGGAGUUGGCCGUGGUGAGCGUAGGCGGAGAGCAUGAGCGCCCAGGUGAAGAAGUUUUUGGUGGCGGUGGUGUCGAAGAUGUGGCGAGCGUGGUGGAUUGCGCCGCAGCGAGCGUAGGCGUGGAGUAGUAAAUUGGAAAGGUAGACAUCGUUUUUGUUGCGAUGGUGGUGGAGGAGACGAGAGUGUGCGCUUGUGACUGCCGCGAUGGUCUUGCACGAGCGGAGGAGUUUGGCCCAUUCGUAAUGGUUGGAAGGACUUUCGCCCAUUCACAAGGACUUUCUAAGCCAUGUCACACCAUAGCUCAAAGUUUCAUCUCUAGUGAAAAAAACUGAAGAAAUGGAACAUUUGCGUAUAUGGAUUAUAUGGUAUCCAUCUAAGUAUGGAUGGAUCGAGAAGGACAUUGUCACAAAACUUGAGAAAGAGAGAGGUUACCCCGAUGGUUGAUCACUUGGAGUUUGACGAUCGCCCAAGCAGCCUCCUGACGUUGAGCAGCACUAGAACGCUCAAGAGCCUGACCGGGACGAAGAACACGCACUCGAGCAAGGUGGUGACGAUCGAUUCGGAAGGAAGCAAGCCUCUGGACAGCAUCACAAGGACACCGCCAACUCUCCUGGUGGCGACGAUGUACUCGCCCGCUUUGAUCGCCUCCACCGUCCUGGCCGCCACGUCCGCCGGGGACUCCGUGUCUCUGGGAUCGUAGUGGCACACGGAUUUAAGCGUCUCGAGAACCUGUUGAUCAGUGGUCGCUGCCAUGAGCGAGCACUCAAGUCAGCUACUUUCCCGACAAGAUCUUUGUGUGCUCACCAUCGCCGAGCAGUGCCGUGUCGGUGAAUCCCGGACAGAUCAAGCUCACCCGGAUGUUGUGAGGCAGCAGCUCCAGUCGCAGCGUUUCCGCCAGGCCUCGCAGCGCGUACUUGGUAGCCGCGUAGAUGUUCGCACCGUAGAGCGUGUACUGUUGAAACGCACGUAAGUUUCAUGACCCAAAAGAAAGAAAAAGAUGAUUUUGGUCACCAUUCCAGCCAGUGAUCCGAUGAGCACGAUGGAUUUUCCAUGGCUGCUCUUGUUCUGCUCCUGCUUCAUGUGUGGAAGAGCGGCAUGAACCGAGUACGCGCAGCCCAGGAGAUUUGUUCUCACCACUUGAUCUAUGUCCUCGGCUCGGCAUUCCCCAAAGAGUCCAGAUCUCACCAGGCCGGCGUUGCACACGAGAACGUCGAUCGGCCUCCACCUCGAUGCCUGCUCGAUCACUCGCUUGGUUGCGGCAAAAUCUCCCACGUCCAGUUCCUGGAGACAACCAAAGUUUCAAGACGCUUGUCAACAAAAGUCUUACCUCCGCUACGAUUUGCGAGGGGCUGCAAACGCAUUCUUUGAGAAGCGACUCCUUGGCAGCGGCCAGCCUCGCCUUGUUGCGAGCGACGAUUGUCACAAACGCACCCUGGAUGAGGGCCCGUUUGGCGAUUUCAUAGCCGAUGCCGCUCGAUCCUCCAGUCACAAAUACGUGCUUGUUCAUCAGAGACUCCAUCACCUUCGUCUUCCUCCUGCACAAGGCAGCAAGGAGUAUGAUUCCCACGACAAGAAAUAGCAUUUGGAUUGGAUUGCUUGAAAUUCUCUUCAACCAAGAAAAAGGAGGAAGAAACGGAUUUAGCGGCAGCGACGAUGCAAUAGUCUUUACGUGAGCAACAAAAACAUGCGGAACCAACCAAGCAUACUUUUUUGCGAGCUCACCUAACACGGAAAACCAUCUACAUCUUCGUCAAAUCUUUGUUCCUGCUCAGCAAGAGUGUCGGUGGGCUUGUCGUCUGUGUAGAACCCAAGCGUUUGGUCAGUGAAAACUACAAAGACGAAUGCUGGUUUAAGCUUACGUUACGUCCAAACCGUUCUCUUGACCGUCUGGAGCUAAGUUUCAUACGCUUGAAUGUUUUCCAGCCCUUGCUCUCCAGUUCUUCACAGCUAAACAACCUAAAGUACAGUGCCUUCGUGAUCCAGAAUCUUCCCUGUGUGAUUAUCGUAGAAUAAUGUCCUGGGAGGCCUGCUCAAAGGAUUGAAACCCAAAAGAUAUGGUCUGGAUCGCCCGAGCACGCUGCUGGCUAAUAACUCACUUCAGUGACAAUCCCUUGAGCUCUUCCUCCAGGCCAUCCUCGCCAUCCUCGUCGCCAUCUUCCUCAUCGCUGCCUGCUUCGUCGUCGUUGUCUUCCAGCGGCCCGAGACCUGAGAUCCCCACUCCGCUCUUGAGCACGCUCCGGACUUCGUCCAAUCCAAAGCUGGAGAUGCGGUUGCCAUCCAUGCCGAGAAGCUUGAAUCCUGGUUUCCCAGCCACUGCCUCCGCCGCAGCCAGCGCGCCAACCCGGCUCAGUGAGUUGGAGCUCAGAUCAAGCUCCUCCAGCUUUGAGCAGCUCGCUUUCACCGCCGCCGAGACCAUCACAGCACCCUUGUCACCCAGCUCGUUCUCGGAUAGAUUCAACUUGGCCAGCUCCUUGUUCGCUGCAAUGAAAGCCGCCAGCGCCUUGGCGGACGAAUGCGUGAUCUCGUUGUUUCCGAACUCGAGCACCUUGAUACUCCGCGUCCCGCUUGCCAGCGCCUCGAGAAUUGGCGUACUUCCAGCGUCCUCCAGGCUUAGAUCGCUCAAGUAGACGUGCGUCAAGCCGCCAUGUUGCCGCAAAGCCUUCCCAAGCGCAACACCACCUCCAGGACCAUACAUGUUGUCUCUCAAGUCGAGAACUUUGAGCUUGGAUCCACCAGCGAUGGCCGAAGCCAGUGCCACCGCGCCUUCCUCCCCGACUCUAGUCGACGAGAAGCGGAAGUUUUCGAGCUGGACAGCCUUCUCGACGAGCUUCGCGAGAGAUCUGGCUCCUUGAUCGCCGGUCAUGUUGUUGUGGAAGUGCAAGAGCUUGAGAGAGCUCCCAGUGGUGACGAUCUCGCAUAUAGCACGAGCAGCCUCCUUGGAGAUCCCAUUGUUCAUGAAGGAGAGCUCCUCGAGGGAUUCCUGGGACUUUAGCAGCGGCGCAAAGGCCCUCACACCCUUCUCCCCGAGAGCAUUGUCCGAGAGGUUUAGCGAGCGGAGCUUGCUCCCUUCCAAUGCCAGCGCGAGUGUACGCAUCACCUCCAGCGCCUCGUCCUCUGGCCGCCCAGCAACAAUGUCCGAGAAAUCCACGUCCUGUAGCGAGGAUUUCACCUUCGACAGAAACCUCGCCACGACCACAGCAGCGUCCCUGCCGAAGCUCUUGUUGCUGAAGCAAAUCUUGGAGUAGCGCGACGUCUCCAGCGGCAACAAGAGCUCCUCCGCGAGCUCCUUGGUGAGGAAAGCUCUCUGCCCGGCCGAAAUAUCGAAGCACUGUUCAUCUUUUACAGUACCUGGAGCUUCCAUCGCGAAUCCCAGCGCUUCCAGCAUCAUCCGGCUCACCUCUCGAGCAUAGAUCUUCACCGCCGCCACGGGAUCCCCGCCAUCGCCGGAGCUUGCUACCUGGAAUGCGGACUCUUCGAUCCUGGAUCCCAGCUCCUUCGCAUCGCCGUCGAUCGGCGCCUUCCAAAAGAAUGCCAGCGACGUGAGAUUCGUGGCGACGAGCUGCGCCGUCGCGUCUCGCUUCGGGGGCCAAUCCUCUACCACCGACGCCGCCGCCAUUUCAAAUCCAAGAACCCUAGUCCUCUGUUUUUAGGGUUCUAGCAGGUUUAAAUAAACCCUAAAUGCAGAUUCUCAUUCGUUGAAAGAUUUUUGUUUCCUUUUUUUUCUUUUAUUUCUUGAGUUAUACAAAAUAAUGCAAGAUUUAUUUCAAUGAUUUUAUGAGAUAAAUGGCUUACUUUUUCCUCAUUAUGGCAUUUGUAGCCGCAUUUUUUACCAUGCUUCUGGUUGAAGGCUUAGUCUCUUUUGGGUUGAUGGCCUUUCUGAUCUUUGAAACAACCCAAGCAGUGGACAACACAUGCCCAAUCGAAGAUAGCCCUUCGUGAGUAAAUUCCCCGGCUUGCUCUCCAAAUCUGGCAGAAAUAGAAACAAAAAAGAUAAUAAAAACAAUAUACAAAUAAAUAAGCCAAGAUAACUCACUUAUGAGCCACCACUCCGGUUGUGAUCAGUGUGCCAGUAGACAGAAUGUUUUGGGUGGCCAUUUCCACUGCAUCAAACACCUUGCCUGGAAGAAAAAUAAGAGAAAGUAAAGUUGAUUGGUCAUGGAACAAAAUUUACGUACUGAAUGCAUCCAGAGACGCAAGAGCGACUUCACCGGGCAUCAUCUUGAAGACUUUCUUCCCAACUUUCGAAGUCACCGCGGCGCUGGUGAAAUAUCCAGUUGCAGUCACAAUUCCCGUCAAGAUCCCUCUUGCAACUCUCUCGGACAUUUGUGUAACUCUUCGCACUCUACAGUAAAUCAACCUUGGUGAAAACUAAGAAAGAGAGAGAGUGAAAGGAAAAGAACCAACCUUUUGAUGUUUCGCAUCGUCGUGGGACUGAGUUGCACGGGCUUCUUAGCUGCUUUGGUGUGUUUCCUGACAUACUCGCCACCUUUCUCAAGUUGGGCCGCCGUGGAGUUACUGCACCAAAACAGGGAUCGAAUUACGUGACCAGUGCCGGUUGCCACUCCUCUCGCAAUGCUGCUGUUGUAAUCCUCCACGUUUGGAGCUAUGGCGGUCCAGUACAAUCUCGACUUCGUCUCGGACGGCCUCUUGUUCAUGUCCUGCGCGAGGCUGGGAGGAGGAACCAAAACCUGGCCUUGGAUCUCGUCCGGCUUGAUCAUUCCCUCCGCCUCGAGCUUCUCCCGGAUCUCCCCUUCGUCGCCUUGCAUCAUCUUGGGCUUGGAGAAGAAAGUAUACGUCUUGAGCAACUCAUCGAGCUUGGAUAGCUUCUCCUCGUUGCCUUUCACCUUGAAUGUCACGCCAUAGCUCAAGUUUUCGACGCUCUCCUUCUUGGAAGGAUUUUCUCUUUCGCUAUGGCUCUGGGAGAGAAAAUUCAGAGAAAAGAACGAGAAGAACUUUCACUUACAUCGUCGCGAUCGGUGUGAUCGUCUGGAUCAACUCUGAGCGAGAAGAAGUAGUGCCCAGCAUCAAGCUUGGUGACGACCUCGUCCUUGAGAAUCGGCCAUUGCAACUUCUUGCCGACUCGCGCAAACACGGCCACCUCUUUCCCAUUUUGCGUGAGCCGGACGAGAGAAAACGUACCGGAACCCAACAGCACACUCUGCUCCUUGUCGAUGAGAUGCACCAGGGAGUGACUAAUCUUCACCAAUCCCUCCUCGCCAGCGACGAGCUCGCGCUCCUCCUCGGCGUCCACUGGGAAAUCAUCCGAGGCCCCCUCGGUUUGCUGCGGUGGUUCUUGAUCAUACUUUGGAAUGGGCCUAUCUGGUGAUCUUACUCUGAGUUUGCUGUUGGGAUCCAUGCGGACGGAGGGAUCUUCGUCGCCUGGCGGUGGCGAAUUCGCGUUCUCGGCCGCAUCUUGCUUGCUUUUGCUGGAUUUGCCACCCAUUUUGGCGAUCACCUACGAUAGAACAGAGAAUUCUUCGCUACAGUUUAGUCCCAAGGAUUUAGAUCAGUGCUGCCGUGCCACGUUCACAAAGACACUUGUCAGGAGAUGCCGGUAAGACGGUGAUCUGUCAAGAACUUUUGGAUCUAUUCCUGCUUAAAGAACAAGGAACAUUUAAGUUGCAAGCGUCCAAAGCAUCCUGGAUUAUUGUCAAAAGCAUGGUAUAAGUCCAAGCGUAAGCUUAGAGCCAAGUAAAAGUACCUUAUCCACGAGGAUCACUUCGCUUGGCCACCUAAGCACGGAUGGAUCGAGAAAAUCAUUGUCCGAAGAAUAUAAAACUUGCGAACCGUGAUGAUCACUUGGAGUUUGACGAUCGCCCAAGCAGCUUCCAGCACUAGAACCAAGUUUUGAUCGCCUCCACCGCCCUGGCCGGACUCCUGUCUCUGUGAUGGUAGUGGCACACGGACUUCCCAGCACGGGAGGAAUAUUUUGAGUGAGCUACUUGCCCGACAAUAUCUUUUUGCUUACCAUCGUGUAGCAGUGCCGUGUCGGCGAAUCAAGGACAGAUCAAGCUCACCCGGAUGUCGUAGCUCAGUGUUUGCGCCAGGCCUCGAAACGUGUACAUUGUAGCCGCGUAGCUGUUAGCAGCGUCUAGUUACGAGCGACGAUUGUCACAAAGGCACAGAGCCGAUGACGCUCGAUUCUCCAGUCACACAACUACGUGUUUGUUCAUCAGGAACCCCUGAACAAAACAGCAAAGAACUAUGAAUCCCUAGAAAAGAAUGGAAUGCUUGUCAGAACCAAGACCAACAAAAAGAGUAAGAAUUCGCAAAAAUGCAACUUUACGUGAGCAAGAAAAACCAACCAAGCGUACUGUGCAAGCUCACCUAAUAGGAAGAAAAACCAUCGACAUCUUCCAUCAAUCUUUGUUCAUAGCAGCACGAUACCUCGAGUGUUCAAAGAAGUUUUCCGCGAGAGAUACAGCCAAAACCACAGCUCAACAGUAUCGAUUGACUUGUCGUUUGGGCACAGGCCGAGCGUUUGGUCAGCUCCUGUAAUAGAAACUGCACAAUCGAAAGCUCAGGUUAAGCUGACAACCGAGUACACCACAUCUCACACACCUCUGAAGCUGAUCAGGAGCUUUGCUCGUUGACAAAAAGAAAUCACGCUUUGAGCUGGAUGUCAAAGUUUCGCUACUCUCUUGAUGCGUGAAACGCAAAAAUUCCUGUUCAUCAUCCCACUGCAUCAGUACGUCCAAACAGUUCUCUUUACCGUAUGAAGCUUAACGCUAAGUGUUUUCCAGUCCCUGCUCUCCAGUUCUUCCCGUGGCUGCUGCAGUGCUGCUACCAACACACACACAAUUAAACAAAUCUAAAAGUGUCAAGUACAGUGCCUUCUUACCUGUGAAGGAUCGAGAAUCGCACACACUGUCUUUUUCUCCUCUGGAUCCCUGUGAUUGUCGUAGAAUGUCCUGGAUGUUGGUAGUAGGGAGGCCUGAUUGCCAUUCAAAAAGUUUGAAACAUGGUUUGAAAAAAAAAGAAAAGAAGGCAAGCGAGCUCUAAAGCACUUACUCCCCAUUUGAUUCUUUUCGACACUCGCAGAAUUCUUUUCAUUCAUUCCUCAGAUAAUAGCAUUCGAGCUCAGCUCCAGAUCAUACCUUCUCCUCUGCAAAUCAAUCCAGAAUCUCGGCAUUACAUCGCCGAUCGAGCGAAACCGUCACACAGCCCGCAGGAAUCAUGGAGCGCGACACCAUACCUCAGAAUUUCCACUGCCUCGCACGAUCCCGUCAAGCUCGGCAGCUAGCGCGGGCGCUCUCAACACAAAUGCCCCAAAAUUUCAAACGUGCCGUACAGUUCGCCCAAAAUCUAGUACGGAGAGAUUUGGCCCCUGUUUCGCCCUGGGCCACUUUAGGGUACAAUUCUAACAGUCUGAAAAUAUCUAGGCUACAUAGUAAAAAAAUUAACAUGUCAUGUCACCUCCACAUUAAUGGGUACCAGGCGGACCCCAUAGAUCUCCAAAUUGAAAAAAUCCAUGGUACACACUGGUGUGCUCACGUCACGUGCGAAUAUUCCCCGCACAACAGGCCAGCGCGUGUCCCCCGCGGCGCCGUCGGAUUCCAAUCGUAUGGUCAAUCGCCUCGACAUUAUUUUUCGAAAGGUGUGGUAGGUAUUCCCGGGCAUUGGGUGUUUAUGCGUGCUUUACCAUUUCUGGAAAGGCUUUGCCACAUGGUAAUUUAAGUAAAGCGCCCUUGUUACGUAAAUACGGUGCGUAAGAGAAGCACUGUAGCGCGCGGCUAUGGAGUCAAAGAGAGGCAAUGAUUCGAUGUGGGCAUUCAUCCCUUUGGUGGGAAAUCCCCCUACAAAAGCCGCAAGCUUAACAGCAAAAUCCAACAUCAGGAGUGACAGAACGGCAUUCCAAAUCCGGUUUUUGGCUUCGUUGUUCUUCCGGUUCCAUCCUUCUCGCAUUUGUGUGUUCUUGCCAAGAAUCUCGCAAGCCCGCCAGGAAUCGGAGGUCAUGGGUUGAUCGCACGUCGCAUUGGGUCUCUCGCGCUGCUGAUUUCCCUGCGAGAAGGUACCGCCCACGCCGUAGAAUCGAGCGAGACUAACUUGUGUGGUGUUCUUGUGCAGUUUGUAGCAGCAGGGCUCGGCGCUGGAUCGAGGAUCCACGGUUCUUUCCUUUCUGUGGAUCAGGACGGAUCCAAAUUCGAAUCUUUUGGAUUUUUUUUCUCUUUUUUUCUCCCUUUUGUUCUCGCGUGUGUGUGCUCGUUGCAGGAGGAACAGUAUAUCGUCUAGUUCUUCCACAGUGACAAAAGAAAAACUGUGAGAGGAGAGAACUUUUUGUUGGCUUCCUGUCGAUUUUUGUUGUUUGGAGAUAACCCACACAGCAGCUUUCUUCCAUUUCUAUCUCUCCGUUUAAUUUUUUUUUUUCUUCUUCUUACUUCGAUCGUGAGCGAGGACGAGAGUUUUUGGUUUUUGAGGAGAGGAGAGCAAGAGAUCUUCGCGAUGUCUCCGUGAGGAGUAAUGCAGCAGCCGGUAGAAGAUUGCCAGAGGGGUUCUUCCAUUCGCAGCGACAACACCUUCCAGAGUUCCAGUUCUCCAGCGCUCCCGAUCCAGAUGCAGCACCACGAUUUCAUGGGCCAAGGUACCCUGGAGCAUCCCCACGGCUUCGUCGAUCACCACUACCAUCUCUCGCCGGGGAUGAUCAGCACAAGAUACGGCGCUAUUUCCAACUCCAUGGUCGCCUCACUGCAGUCGCCAUACAACUUUCAGCUAUUAAGGAGAACGCUUCUUCCGGUAAGUGCCUUCGCAGAACAGCAGCGAGCACAAGUCUCUUCGUCUCCUCCUUCGCCGCUUCUCAGCGAUUCUCACCGCCAGAUCGAUCAGACGAGCGCGCAGCAGCAGCAGCAGCAGCAGCACGGCACUACCAAUUUGUCCACUCUCAAAUCUUUGCUGAGGCAGCCGCAAGAGAAUAGCCACGACGAUCAUCACGCAGCUCUUCCUUCCAUGGAUCAAAGCCACCACCAGAGCGCUAUCGUCAAUCACCAGUCGCUGACUUUGUCCAUGAGUUCCGGCUCACAGUCGAGCAACACCGAUUCGUCUUCCAUCGCCGCCCACCACGAUCACCAGCCGCUCGUGACCUUCCAGGACCAGGAGCUACCACCGCCGCCAUCCUCGUCCGCCACCACCACCGCCAUCAAUCUUCCAAGGACCACCGGUAGCAAGAAGAGGCUCGGCAAGAACAAGGCGCCCAACUUGCGCAAAUCGAUCGAUACUUUCGGGCAGCGAACAUCGGUCUUUCGGGGUGUGACCAGGUAAAAGAGCGAGAAAGAUGGGAUAGUUUCACAUUCUCUCUUUGUUCCCUCGGUUUGAGUUCUAAGUUGCUGGAACUGAAACACUGAUCCAAAUGUUUAAGCUAGGCAUCGCUGGACUGGGCGUUUUGAGGCUCAUCUCUGGGACAAUACUUGCCGAAAGGAAGGACAAACGAGGAAAGGAAGACAAGGUACUGCUUAAAAGUUUUGAGAGUUUUUUUUCAUGGUUUUUUUUCUCUCUUGGGUGAUUUUUCCGUCCCUGGAUCUGGAUGGUGUUUUUGGUAUGGUACUUGAUCCAUCCUCCAGUGUACUUAGGUGAGUAAUCUAUCGAAUUUUUCUCGAUUGUGGAGCUAAACUUUUGGUGGUUUUCUUUUCUUUUUUUCUUGCGUUUUGCGUAGGGGGGUAUGAUGCGGAGGAGAAGGCAGCAAGAGCUUACGAUCUGGCAGCUCUCAAGUACUGGGGGCCUACGACAACUACAAACUUUCCGGUAAGAACUAAUGUGACAACGUAAGUUCUUUCUUUGCAAGCUCACAGAUUUUCUGGUUGUGUUGAAGGCUGUGGAGUAUCACUCCAAGUUAACUGAGAUGAAGAGUAUGAGCAGACAGGCAUUUGUUGCUGCGCUCAGGAGGUGCGAAACUUUUUCCAUUUUGCAUUGUGCGAGUUCUAAAGUUUUGGGUGUUCUAAAGUUUAUAUGUGGUGUUCUAAAGCUUGUAUGUGUCUUUGUGUUUGGAAAACAGGAAGAGCAGUGGCUUCGCGAGAGGCGCAUCGAGGUUCAGGGGUGUAACAAGGUAAUGCUCAUGAUCAAUUCAUAUAUUUUUUCACUUCGGUCUUUUUUCCCAGGCAUCACCAGCAGGGAAGAUGGCAAGCUCGGAUCGGACGAGUUGCGGGGAAUAAAGAUCUGUACCUCGGAACUUUCAGUAAGUUUUCGAUCGAAAGCUUUCAAGUUCGUAAAUUUUUUCCUUUUUUCGAUGAAAGGUACUGAAGAAGAAGCUGCCGAAGCUUACGACAUCGCAGCCAUCAAAUUCCGCGGUGCAAGCGCGGUGACAAACUUCGACAUGAGUCACUACGACUUGAGGCGGAUUUGCUCCAGCCCGAGCUUGCUACUGGGUGACACCGCCAGGAUCAAGCACAAGGAAGCUCCCGACGCAGCGAACGAUCAGAGCGUCACCAUAGCAGCUGACGAACCGAUAUGUGAUGAUGGAGGAGCUCUCGUAACUUCUUCCGCUCCUCAAGACUCUAUCGCUAAUCAGGAACACAACUAUGCUGGUGCCGCGGGGCCGGGAGUUCUUCGCAACCUCAUUGGACUCGACACGUUCUCUUGUCAAGCUGAUCAUCCUGAAGCUGCCGAUACGAGCUCCUCGGAUGGUGGUGGUGGAGGUGGCGGAGUUCCAAGUUCCUCCGUAGCUCAGCACGACGAUCAGCUUUAUACUCCGGCGCCGCCAGAUUACAGCACCGGAUCCCUGAUGCCAUCACCGCUGCAAACUCUCCACGCGAUGAGGUCCACAAUCCCGGCACACAUGCCUUACUUCUCAGCCUGGAACGAGUCGGAGUGAUCGAUCACAUAUGCAACCGAUCAUCAGGAGAAAACUUAUUGUGUUGAAAGCAAAAAAAGAAGAAAAAAACUUUCAAUUCAAUUUGACGAGCUAUCGUUGUAUCGAAAUUCUCAAUACCACAUCUCGAGAAAACCAAAAAACAGUAACGAAUUUCGAUCGAGACCAUGGAAAGCGUGCAUCUAGUUAGUUGAUAAGGCGACUCUUUCGCUUCCUCUCUCGCUGGAGAACUAAGUGUUUCUUAGUGUUCUAAACUAACACAGGCUUGUUCGUUCGUUUUGGCUCGAUCGAAUGCUAAAAAAGUGAGCUUGGAUCGGUUGUCGUGCCGAGCGAGAGAGACUGAUGGACACGAAUGGCAGUACAAUUCUGCUGUUCCUGCUUCUGAUCGCUUCAUUCGUCGCUAUUGUUGACCAAAAGAACCACACUCCAUUUCUCUUUCAUGUUUGUCACUUUCACUGGAGAGAGGGCUUGAAAGAUGGAUGGAUAGAAAACAAAGCUUUCCAUAGCUAGCUUGUCUCUUCUCCACCAUGUUCUUAUUAAUAUUACCAAAUAUUAUUUAUACUAAUUUUAAUGUUAUCAUAGUGUACAAUAAUUUAAUUACCAUUAUAAAUACUAUUACUAUAUAAAUAAUAGAGAAUAUAAAUAUUUUGUAUUGGUGGUGGCAAUUAUGUAACGGUGUCAAUGUCAACACCACAAAGGAGCCUCCUGAAAGCUACUGCUCGCCAAAGCUUUUGAUUAAAUGGCAUAGUUUGGAUCAUAGGUGUAGCGAUGUGUAUGAGAGUAGUAUAUUCUCGAAGCUUAGCUGAGAUUUUUUGGUGCAUGAUCGGGCUGAUGAUUUCAUACUUUUAAAAAAUCGCAGCUUUAUACGAUCUUUCGGACAGAAGCACUUGUUUAGAAGAUUCCGUGUAGUAUAGUCUCAUUUUCUGGCUCUCUCUCUAUCUCAUAUGUGCUCAUGUGGAUGCCCCACCCAGGGAAGGGAUUUUAGUCGAGAAAAAUAACCUCUUGUCAACACCAUGGACAAGAACGCGCAAACACACAACUCUAUCACACCUCUUUGUGCGUGUGAUUGAGCAAAGCCCCCGUGUCGCCACGUCGGCGCCCGCGUGGCACGGGCCCUGUACGAAAUAUCCCGGGAUGAUGGCCAUGGCCGCCGCCGGCUGGGGCGCGUGGGGGCCGUACGGGCGACAAAGUAGUGGCCCGGUUCCCAACGCUCCUUGUAGAUUCUGCCGCGAACGUCACGCACCGAAAGCCACACAAACCAGGUGAGAUAAGCAGGUUUUUUAGUUGGGCAAUUAGCAGCAAAGUAUGUGAUUGCCGUACAGACAAAAGAGACACCAAUAAGAUCCCUGUCUGUCUGUUCCCUGCGCUGUGAUGUUGCUGUGAUGUUGCUUGUGGGUGUUGUUGCUCAUGUCUCACUUAUUGGCGGGUGUACGGACCUUGUCAACGCGGCCACCAAGUAAGUAGCGCCCACCACACCCAACGUGAUGACAAUGCCACCAAAUACAAUGGAAAAUAUAUAUAUCGUCCCACUCGAAUAUCACUGACCCAUCAUUCUUUGGUCUCAAUCAAGGGCGACAAAAGACGCAAGGGCAUAUUUUUGUCAAGAAAAAGAUAGAUGACGUGGCAGUGACGUGCACACAUGUCAUCUUUUGCGCAUUGACACGUCACCGCCAAGUCAACCUUAUCCAUUGACACGUCACCGUCCGGUCAACUUGCCCAAUAACACGUAGGCGGAUUCGACCACGUCACUGCUGCCGGGUGCAACCAGCAGGGACCGCAUUACCAAGCUGGCGCGCUCCACGUCACCCCAUUUCUGACACGCGGACAAGAUGGUAAACCACGUCAGCGCAGUCGGAGGCAGUGACAUGGUAUGGACCAUUGCCACGGCGGCGUCCAGCUGGUUGGCCCGCCCGAGCGCGUCAACCACGCAGUGGUAGUGCUCCAUGCCAGCUGGGAUUCCAUACACGCGCGGCAUUGCGUCGAGGUAGCGCCGGGCUUUGUCCCAGAGCCCCGCGUGGCUGCAAGCCGUGAGAAGCGACACCAAAGUUACACCAUUUACCUCCAAGUUCUCGUCUCGCAUUUGAUGGAACGAGGAGAAAACCAUCGCGAUGGAACUUUGGUGACUAUAUCCCGCGAUCAAACAGUUCCAAGUCACGGUGUCUCUCGUCGCAAGAGCGUCAAAGACGAGCUGGGCGUGGAUCAUGCUCCCGCAUUUGCCAAGAACAUCCACAACAGAGUUAGCGACGGUGUGGAAGUUUUCAGCUCCAUACCUGACCAUCACGGCAAAGAUCUCCCUGGCGGCGUCCAUGGAGGCCAUGUUUCCACACGCCUUUAGCACAGGGAUGAAAGUUCCAGCGUCCGGUUGACAGCUACCUCGAGCUCGCAUCGCAGAGAACGCUUCCAAGGCGAGCUUCUCCUCGCAGUUUUCGACGUAGCCGAGUAGCAGCGUGUUCCACAGCACCACGUCUCGGUCGGAAGCGGCGAUGCUGUCGAAAACCUUACGAGCAUCUGUGAGGCUCCGGCACUUCGCGUACAUGUUGACAAGCGUGCCUGUGAUCACUCCCACGGAGCCAUAGCCAUUCUCCACGACUGCCGAGUGAAUGGCCUUGCCUUUGUCCAAACUGUCGACUUUGACAAGCUUCCCAUCGACUGGUUUUCCUUCCUCUUUUGCAGCUUGAGCGGUGCAGGCCUUGAGAGCAGCGAUGAAGGUCUGAGCAUUCGGCUUACAACCUUCCAAGGCGGCGGCUAAUAACUCCAAAGCCAUCUUUUCUUCCCCGUUCUCAACAUAGCCGAGCAUCAACGCGUUGAGCGAGAGAACGUUAUAGCGAGGCGUUUUCUCGAAGACUCGAAGAGAAUCGACCAAGCUUCCACAUUUUGCGUAGCAUUCGAUCAGGCUGCUCGCCAAGAAAACGUCCGAGCCACAGCCAAGCUCCGCCGACUGGCGAUGCAAGGCCAGAGCUUUGUCCAGUGACUCGAGCUUAUAAAGCUUCCCAUCAACCUGUGUCCCAGUCUCUUUCGCGGCCAAAGCUGUGCACGCUUUCAAUCCAGCGCUGUAAGUUCGCACGUCCGGUGAAAACUGCAUGGACGAUAUAAGUUCCAAAGCCAACCCUUCCUCCCCGGCUUUCGUAUAGCCCAGUAAAAGCGAGUUCCAUGCUACGACGUUCCUGUUUUCCAUGCCGUUGAAAACUCUCCAAGCAUCCACCAGGUUCCAGCACUUGACGUACAUAUCGACCAGAGUGUUUGCCACGAAAACAUCUGAAUCCAUUUCACACUUGGAAGCUUGACGAUGGAUAGCCGAUCCUUUCUCUAAAGCCCGAGCUUUCACCAGCCUUCCAUCAACCUCCUUGGUAACCUCUUCUUUCACCGCUAGAUUGGCGCAAGCCUUCAGAGCAGCGACGAAAGUUUGAGCAUCUCCUUCAGCUGGCAUAGUGUCUAGCAGAUCCAAAACCGCUGCUUCUUCCCAGUUCUCAACGUAGCCGAGUAACAAGGCCGUCCAGAGUGCCGCAUUAUGAGCGGGAAGCUUGUCGUAAACCCUGCGUGAAUCCUUCAUGCUCCCACAUUUUGCGUACGUAUCGAUCAGCGUGGUCGCCAAGAAAACGUCGAGCUCAAAUCCAGCAUUUGCAGCUUCGAGAUGGAUGCUCAUGGCUCUUUCCAAAGCCUUUCCCGCAGUGCCAUCUUGCUGCCGAGGCUCUUCUUUGAGUGCCAGGAAAGAACAAGCCUUGAGUGCCGCAACGUAAGUUCGAGAGUCCCGGCAAUUCUCCGCAACGCUUGCAAAUAACUCAAGUGCUGUAGCUUCCUCCCCGUUGUCCACAUAUCCCAGGAUUAAAGAGUUCCACACAACGGUGUCUUGCUUGUGCAUGCCGUUGAAAACUUCUCGAGCAUUGUCCAUGCUUCCACACUUCACGUACGCAUCAACCAGUGCGCCGAGCAGAAUGAUAUCCGAGUCCAUCCCACCGUUCUUCGUGCGAGAAUGAAUAUCCAUGACAGCAUCCAGAGUCGCCGUCUUCACACACUUCCCAUCAGCUUUUUCUUUUGCUGCACGCCCACUGCAGGCUUUCAGUGCAGCUACGAAAGUCCAGACGUUCGGCGGACAGCCUUGGCUCGGCAUGCGGGAGAACAAAUCCAAAGCCAGAUUCUCACUGUCGUUCUCUGCGUAACCGAGUAUCAGCGCUGUCCAGGAUACCACCGUGUGAAGCGGCAUAGUAUCGAACACUUUCCGAGCGUCCUCCAUGCUCACACACUUCGCAUAUGCGUCGACUAAAGCGCUUGCAACGAAGAUGUCAGUGUCGCAGCCAGCUUUUUGUGCCUGAGUGUGGAUUCCCAUGACUUUUUCCAGCGAGCAAACUCUGACGAGCUUUCCCUGGACCUGCUUUCCGCCUUCUUUCCCUGCGAGACCGCUGGAAGCCUUCAGAGCGGCAACGAAACUCCGACCAUCUCGGACGUGGCCCACAGUGCUCAUGCGGGAGAAUAAAUCCAGCGCCUGCUCUUCGUCCUUGUUUUCCACAUAUCCCAGCAUCAGAGAAUUCCAGGAGACCGGGCAGUGACUUGAAACCAUGUCGAAGACCAGGCGAGCAUGGCGCAGACUCCCACACUUUAUGUACAUGUCGACCAGCGUGCUGGCAACAAAGCCUUCAUUUUCGUACCCGAGCUUGGACGCUCGAGCGUGUAUCGCCAUGCCAAUCUGUAAUGCCUCCUGUUCUUCUUCUUUUUUCGCCAAAGCGCUGCAAGCUUUAAGCGCCCCCACGAAACUUCGAGCGUUUGGUCGGCAUCCUCCUGCUUCCAUCCGGGAGAAUAACUCAAGAGCUCUCCGUUCUUCCCCAUUGUCGAUGUACCCCAGCAUCAAAGCGUUCCAGCAAACUUCAUCACGCUGUAGAGCUUUGGAGAAAACUCCAUCGCUGUCCACCAUGCUUCCACACUUCGCAAACAUGUCGAUGAAGGUGCUCGCGACGAAAACUUCCGAGUCGCAUCCCACCUUUGCAGCUUGGGCAUGAAUCCCUCGCCCGACCUCCAAAGCCGCCACCUUCAAGACCUUCGUUCCAAUCUUCCUCCCAGCUUCUUUCACCGCCAAACCGGAGCAAGCUUUACCAGCAGCAGCAAAAGUUCGAGCAUUCGGUCCAGGGCCUUCGCGUUGGAUGCGGCUAAAGAGCUCCAGUGCCAGUUCUUCCUCUCCAUUCUCGGCAUAGCCCAGCAUCAAAGCGUUCCACGAAACCACGCUGCGAGUCUGGAUACCAUGGAAAACUUUGGCCGCCUCUUCCAUGAGCCGGCACUUCGCGUACGUGCUGAUCAGCGUGUUGGCCACGAAGAUGUUUGCGUCGAUUUCUCCUUGAGCGGCAUCGCUGUGGAUUUUUCUCCCGAUCUCUGAGUCUUUGAGCUUGCUGCAUGCUUGUAGUGCCGAAAGAGAAACACCGAUGUUUGAUCGGAGUGCCUCCGGAGAAUGGCUGUGGCGUCCCCAUUGCUUGAAAGAAGAGCACAAGUCGAUAGCUGAUAAACUGUGGAUGAUCUGCGUGGCGAGAAAGAAGAAAAUGUGAUCGAUCGAUUGCUAGAUCAGCUAGUACCUGCGAUCUUGCGCUGGAAACCAAUGCCGCAUUGCAGCGCCUCGAGGCGCUUCGCAUCCCAUUGCCCUAACGCAACGAAGAGAAAUAUUUUAGGGUUCUUGGAGAAAUGCUCAAAGUGAUCGAGCAAUGGAUCUUUCGCCCGGACCGGGGCACCGAGGUACGCUCCCAGUGGAAUCGCAGUCGCGCAUCUUCGGAUCGCCAGAGAAGCAAGCUCUUGCCGUGAUUUCUGGAUUGAAGGCGUGCAUUCGAUCCAAGAAUGCCGAGCAAGGGCGGAGAAUCCACGCCGACGCAGCAGCGCGUGGAAUCGACUCGAAUAUCUUCGUGGCCAGCACGCUGAUCAACAUGUACUGCAAGUGUGGCAGCCUGAUCGAUGCUCGCCGGGUCUUCGACGCCGUGAAAUCCCGCAGCGUCGUCCCUUGGAACGUGAUGAUACUGGGAUACGCAGAGAAUGGAGAUGGAGCUCUAGCUUUGGAUUUGCUCGCCGCGAUGGAGCUCCAGGGGUUUUCCCCGGAUUCCCAGACGAUAGUGGCUGCUCUCAAGGCGUGCGCUAGCUUGGUUUCGCAAGAACAAGGCAGGGAGAUUGGUGGAAGGACUGUGAAGCUGGCUACUCUGGAGAAAGCUUUCGCGAUUCACUCUCGAGCCAGGGGAUUGAUCAAGAACAGUUUUGUGGCGAGCAGCUUGGUGGAUCUCUACGCGAAAUGCGGAAGCAUGGAGGACGCAGAGAGAGCUUUCGAGGGGAUGGACUUUCGAGACGUGGUUUCGUGGAACGCAUUGAUGCUUGGCUAUGCCGAGAACGGUGAAGAAGAGCUGGCGAUGGAAGUCUUGAGAGCUAUGGAGCUCCAGGGAUGCCGGGCAAACUCCCGGAGCUUUGUGGCGGCUCUCAAGGCUUGCAGCGGAUUGGGAGAGAAGGAAGCUGGGAUAGAACUCGAUGGAGUGAUCGUCAAGGUGAGCUCCAUCGAGAAAGGAAUGGCUUUGCACUCGCGAGCAGCGAAGAUUGGCAGCGACAGGGAUAAGUUCGUGGCCAGCGCUGCGAUGGACAUGUACGUGAAGUGUGGGAGCAUGGCGGAUGCGCAGAGAGCUUUCGAUCGGAUGGCUUCUCGCGACGUCGUCUCGUGGAACGCUUUGAUCCUCGGCUACGCAGAGACCAACGACCGCGAAAGAUCUCUCGAGCUCCUCCAGCUGAUGAUCCAAGAUGGUGGCUGCGAGCCAAACUCCCGGACGUUUCUAGCCGCUCUAAAGGCCUGCCAGAGCUCUCAAGCGCUCGACUCGACGAAAGUGAUCCACGCCCUUGCGGCGAGACGCGGUUCUUCCGAGAAAGAUGGAGUUCUCGCAAACUCGCUCGUCGACGUCUAUGGAAAAUGUGGCAGCUUGCUCGACGCGCACCAGGUAUUCGAUUCACUCCAUUCUAGUGACUCCAUAACUUGGACCUCGCUUCUCGCAGGAUACGCUCGCAAAGGCGACAGCCAGCGAGUCUUCGAGCUCUUUCGAUCCAUGCGAGACGAAGCCAUCGAACCAAACAGCGCCACUUUCGUGUGCCUCCUCACGGCUUGCAGCCACAGCGGCGCAGUGGAUCGAUCGAAGCAGCUGCUCGAAUCGAUGCUGCCCAGCCAUGGAAUUCGCCCAAAGAUCGAGCACUACAUUUGCGUGAUCGACUGCUUGAGCCGGGCCGGGAAGCUGGAAGAAGCGCUGCGCGUGGCUUAUGACAUGCCUUACGUGGCGGACGACGUGGCGUGGAUGACGGUGCUGGGCGGCGCAUGUCAUAACGGCGAGGCGGCUGGGGCGGGCGGUCACGCGUUCGAAUCCGUGGUGGGGCUGGGCCAUGGGUCGCUGGCUCCGUACGCGCUCAUGGCCAACAUUCUGGAGGGCCAGGGCGUACGGUAGGGCUUAAUAUCCCCGUAGCCGUGAGAAGCACUUGAACGUUUCCCAGGGAGGAGACGCAACGCUUACGGGCUACCGCCGGUGGCCUCGCGCGAUCGAUCAGUGGCGCCGCCGCGCCGCCGCGCUGUCUGGCCAAUCCUCCGGAUCUGCGACGAGCGGGCAUCGAUCUGAGCAGCAGCGCCGGGGAUCUUGGAGCCGCGCGAUUUCCAGGUGCUUGUUCUUGCAAUUAGGGUAGAGAUUGUUGGCAAUAAUCCCCCUUCUCUUCGUGGAUCUUGGCGCAGAUGCGAGCGAGCGAGCGAGCUAGAGGAGCUUGCGCUCUAGGCGCCGCGCGGCCAGCGAGGGCAUUUUCAUUCUUGCCUUGUCGGUGAAGCGAAGCUCUUGCCGACUGAGGAGGGAAGGAAGAACAACGCGAAAAAAGAGGAUGCCGAAGGAUGUGAGCAAUCGAUCGUCACGAAAAUCUCGCCCGCCACACUACCAUCCUUACCAGAGCUCCUCUAAAGAGGGUGGCGACGAGGCUCUGGUCUCGAAAGAAUGGGAGGACGCGACAUGCCCGAUUUGCAUGGAGAUCCCACACAACGCAGUGCUACUCCUUUGCAGCUCCCACGACAAUGGAUGCCGGCCUUACAUGUGUGAUACGAGCUAUCGCCACUCGAAUUGCCUGGACCAGUACAAGAAGCUCUCGGGAAGAGGCGGCGGGCAGUGUAGCAGCCGAGGCGAGGAGGUGAUCCACGAGCCACUCUCGUCGGCCGCCGCUGGAGGAUCGUCCAGCGCUAGAACUCGCGAGCGAUCGGCCGUGAGGAUGAGACCUCUCCGGGAGCUCUUGCUCAUAGGUGACAGCAACAGUAGCAGCAGCUCUAGACGAGGUGGUGGAAACGGUGGUCGUGAUGGGUCUGGGACUCCGGGGCGAGCUCUCAGAGGAGUUCCGGGUGUAGGGGUCGUAGAGGAGGAGCCCGAGGCGGAGGUGGCCGACUUCCAGGAGCAGUCCGAGGCGAGGGAAGCGUCCGAGGAGCAGCCGGAAGUAAGGAGCAGCUGCAGUGGAAUGGGGGAGUCACUCGACUUGAUGUGUCCUCUGUGUAGAGGCAAAGUUGUGGGGUGGAAGGUGGUGGAGCCGGCUCGGCGGCAUCUAAACUGCAAGUCGAGGAACUGCGCACAGGAGUCGUGUGGAUUCACCGGGAGCUACGACGAGCUGCGGAAGCACGCUCGGUGUGUGCACCCGUUUGCUCGGCCCUCGGACGUGGAUCCGGCCCGGCAGAGGGACUGGAGGCACCUGGAACGCGAGCGGGACAUAGGGGACGUGUUGAGCACCAUCCAGUCGGCCAUGCCCGGAGCUCGGAUCCUGGGUGACUACGUGAUCGACGAGGACAACGAUGACCAGGAAGAUGAGGGUGAUGACAAUGAUUUUCCUGGCGACGAUGGUAAUUGGUGGACAGUCUUUUUGCUUUUUCAAGUGUUUGGUCCUGUAGCAGCGACUGGAGCGACUGCAGGUGGUAGUAGCAUCCCAAGCAGGCUUAGAGGACUUUCGUCCAGGGUGGUGGCGGCGGCCGCGGCGUCGUCGGCUGCCCCGAGGGAAGCUUUGUGGGGGGAGGAUAUCCAGAUGAACCGUGUUGUUGGCGGUGACGAGGGAAGAACAGGGACUGUGACUAGUUCUUCGUCUGGAAGCGGUGGUGGAGCUAGCUCGAACUCCACUGCUGCUGCUGCUGCUGGAGAGAAUGGAGGAGAGAUUGUUGGGCCUUCGACAACUCGGAGACGACGAACCAGGCACCACCAUCAGCACCAGCAGCACCAUCACCAGCGGCAGCAGCACCAGCAGUGAAAAGUUCUUCGUCCGGAGGAGAGAUUUGCUCGUGAAGUGAUCGACAUUUGCUCGACGUCGUAGCGAGAUCGAAUUCUCGAGGUUGAGAAGUGGUUUUCGCUGGAGAGAUCGCUACUUUGCUCCAAAUGCCGAGGAGGAAAAGAUCGAGCUCGAAAGACUCUUAGAACAAUGGAGACUCGCAGGCUCUAAAGUAUGAAUUUUUUUUCCUCGUGGUUAAAGUUAUGUCGUUCUUUGGUCUCUUCCUGACCGUCGGAUUCUCGGCUUGGGUAUCCAACGGCCGGCGUUGAAAUGUAUGCCGUACACCUUUUUUUUUGGCCCAGGUAGGGUUAGGGUCCUGUGCUAGUGUUCUUGGCGGAGGAGAGGAGCAGUGGCGAUGCGGCUCGCCCGGAUUCGGGCACAUUCCCUGCCGUAAGAAAGCAUUUCCUUGCAGGAAUGGUCCGCGUCGGGAUGGCGGAGGAGGCGGGGCGAUUCCGGCACAGGCUGCGGCAUUCGGAUUUCUACUGGAAGAAGCGCAAGGGAAUCAGGCGUAGGGAGGGCUGGAUCGGUGGCUGGAGCUGAGAUUUGGGGGAUAAUGCAGGGGUAGAGGCGAGAUUCUGGCUAUGUCGUGGUUCCUGUGGCUCCUGCUGCUGGCUGCCUCUCUCACUCCGUCCCUCGCACAGCUAUCCGGCGACGGCAUUGCGCUCCUGGCAGUAAAGAAGGCGCUUGACCCCUCGGACGCUCUCUCUGGGUGGAACGCGGGCAGCGUUGAUCCGUGCUUGUGGGCGGGUGUUAGUUGCGCACAGGAUCGUAGAGUCACGUCUCUCAACUUGACAGGGGCCUUCUUGGGCACUUGUAGCAGCAGCCACAGCGACUCUUGGGAGAAUGUCCAAACGCAGCAGCCGGGAUCGUUGGCUUGUUUGCAAGGAGGGUCUUGCAUCCUGGAAGGAGUUUUGGCACCGGAGAUUGGCAACUUGUCCGAGUUGAGGAGUCUCGUCUUGGGGUAUAACAGGUUCAGGGGUGGAAUUCCCAGGGAGAUUUCCAAGCUGCGCAAGCUCCAGGUGCUCAGCCUCCAGGAGAAUUCCUUUUCGGGUGGGAUACCGGCAGAGCUUGGAGCUCUUUCCAGCUUGGAGGUGUUGGAUCUGGAAGGGAAUUUGCUCGACGGCCCAAUCCCGCCAGCCAUCGCAAGCUGCCGCAGCUUGGUCCACAUCAGCCUUGGUAGAAACAAGCUCUCUGGGGGGAUUCCAGCGAGUUUGGGAGGACUGUCACGCUUGCGUCACCUUUCUUUGACGUCCAACCAGUUGAGCUCUGUCAUUCCUCCGGGGCUACAGGGUCUUUGUGGAACAUUGGAGUACUUGGACCUGGGAAGUAACUUUUUUAUUCGCGGCAUUCCACCUUGGCUGGGAAACUGCUCGAAGCUACAGGUUCUCGUCCUCGAAUCGAACUAUCUGCAAGGAUUUAUUCCUUCCGAGCUCGGCCGUCUGGGAAUGCUUCAGGUGCUCGAUGUAUCGAUGAACAGGCUAACAGGUCAGGUUCCGGCAGCUUUAGGUGACUGCUUGGAGCUCUCCUUUCUGGUUUUGACACAUCCGAGCUCGUGUGUUUCGCCCUUCAACUGUACUACUGGGGAUGGUGUCCGGGGUGUUGACAAGGCAGAAUUUAAUCAGUUCGAUGGUCCGCUUCCGAGCAGCAUCUCGAAGUUGCCCAAGCUCCAAGUUCUCUGGGCACCUCAUGCAGCGUUAACAGGAGGUAUUCCCGACGGGUGGGGGGCCUGUGAGAGGCUGAGGAGCCUCAAUCUUGCCGGUAACUCGUUCACGGGUGACUUUCCUCAGGGCCUUGGAAAGUGCUCGUCACUCACGUACUUAGAUCUCAGCUUGAACAGGCUAGAGGCUCAGUUACCACCACAGCUGCCAACUUCUUGUAUGAUCGUCUUCAACGUAAGCAGGAACAGCUUGUCCGGAGAUGUUCUACCCCGAAGGAGCAUCGAGUGCAAUGACACGCAAGAGCCAGUGGUUUACCCUUCGUUUUGCUCGGGAAGACCGUUUUGCGGGAAACGGAGAAGCGAGACGUGUCUCAGCUCUGGGUUAAUCGUUGUGCAUGAUAUAAGCGGCAACAAUUUCUCGGGUCCUGUUCCAGCACCUUUAAUAGGCGACGAGCUGCUGGAACAAGAACCGGUAUACGAGCUCCUCAUGUCGGAGAAUAGGCUGGCCGGCAACAUCCCGUCCUCCUUUUUUGCCUUCUGUGGAAGGUUCAAGGCGUUCAUGGCAAACUUGAGCGACAACCAGAUUUCGGGCGAGCUGUCCGGCCAGGAUAUAGGAGGAUGCAAAUCCCUGGUACAGUUCAGUGCUUCGAACAAUCUGAUCGAGGAGGCUUUGCCGAAGGAGCUUGGGACUCUAGGCAACUUGAGCCUCUUGGAUCUUUCGCGCAAUCGGCUAAGCGGCAGCAUUCCAGGUGAACUCGGCGAGCUCCAGAUGCUGACGAGCCUUUUCCUCGCGAAUAAUUCUCUCGUGGGAGAUAUUCCGGAGAAGCUGGGCCAGGCGUCCUCUCUGAGCCUGCUCGACCUCUCCGGCAACACUUUGAACGGGACCAUUCCUUCCUCCCUCGCCAACCUCAGUCACCUCGAGUACUUGCUACUGAACAACAACGACUUCUCCGGGACAAUACCCCCGGUGCUCUCCGACAUCACUUCCUUGGUGGCCGUCAACCUCGCCUUCAACAACUUCUCCGGCUCCGUUCCAAGCUCGGGAAGCUGGGUGGGGAUGUGCGACAAGGAGCACUUCCAGGGAAAUCCAUAUCUCAAGCCGUGCCCGACGUCGCUGGCUGCUUUCGGACCCGGAUACAUGGAGGAAAAUCUUGACCCGGUCGCGGCUCCACAGGACCCUCCGGCCGGUGGCGGACUGAGCGUCGUUGUGAUCGUGGCGAUCACGUCAGGCUGCGCUGUUGCCGUGGUGCUGCUGGUUCUCGUACUCCUGGUCCAGUGCACGAAACAGCGAGUUCCCAGGCCACCUGGAAACCGGGGUGGCAGGAAAGAGGUGGUCAUUUUCACCAACAUCGGUUUCCGGUUCACGUACGAGAACGUCGUCCGAGCGACUGGGAACUUUAGCGUGGACUACCUGAUAGGAAACGGUGGCUUUGGAGCAACUUACAAGGCGGAGAUGAUGCCCGGCUUGGUGGUGGCCGUGAAGCGGCUCUCCAUUGGGAGGUUCCAAGGCGUGCAGCAGUUCGACACGGAGAUCCGGACGCUGGGGAGGAUCCAGCACUCGAACCUGGUGAAGCUCAUCGGCUACCACGCGAGCGAGGGGGAGAUGUUCCUCAUCUACAACUACUUCCCGCGGGGCAACCUGGAGAGCUUCAUCCACAACCGGAGCCGGGGGGAGAUAAGCUGGGCGGUGGUGCACAGGAUCGCGAUGGGCAUCGCAGAAGCGCUGGCCUACUUGCAUGACGAGUGCCAGCCACGGGUGCUCCACCGGGACAUCAAGCCGAGCAACAUCCUCCUGGACAACAACUUGACGGCGUUUUUGGCCGACUUUGGGCUGGCCCGGCUGCUCGGUGCGUCCGAGACGCACGCCACGACGGACGUGGCUGGGACCUUCGGCUACGUCGCGCCGGAGUAUGCCAUGACGUGCCGGGUGUCGGACAAGGCAGACGUUUACAGCUAUGGAGUGGUGCUGCUGGAGCUGCUAUCGGGGAAGAAGGCGCUGGAUCCGGCCUUCUCGGACUAUGGACACGGGUUUACCAUCGUCGGGUGGGCGUGCUUGCUCAUCGGACAGGGACGAGCUCACGAGGUGUUCAUCGUGGAGCUGUGGGAGAUGGGCCCCGAGGCGUUCCUCCUGGAGACGCUCAAGCUGGCGGUGAUGUGCACGGUGGAUUCGCUCACGGUCAGGCCAACCAUGCGGCAAGUGGUGGAUCGUUUGAGACAUAUGGAUCAAUCGAGCCUCCCAUUCUCGUGACGCUACUACUCCAUCCAUCCCAUUCCAGGUUCUCUCUUUUUUUCCUGUUUUUCUUUGUUUCUUUUUAUUUUCUCUCUUUUUUCUCCUCGGACAUUUUUUCUUUCUUGGUUAUUCUUUUUCUUUUCUUUCUUUUCUGGUUAUUCUUGUUUCUUCCUGGGGAGUGAUGGAGGAGAGAGUGUCAAGCAAAACUUGCAGGAAGUUUGUCUAUAUAUGAUUUAUAGAGCAGGGAAGGAUUCCUUCUUGUGUUGUAUAUUGGAAAUAUAAAGAGGAAAACGCACCUCUUGAGUUUCUAAAAGCAUAAGAGGCCGAGAGAAAUUCUAAACAGAUCAAAAUUUCGUUUUUGGAAAAGUAAAACUCAAUUAUCGAAAUCCCACUUACAUAGGUGCCUUUAUGCCUAUAUAAAGGGUAUAAGUGAAAUAGGAGGCUAUAAGUGAUAAAUGUUCAAUGUUAUCUAUAUUGUAUAUAUCAUUUGUAUGAAAGAAAGACAUUGAGAUUGGUAUACACAAUUUGUAUAUUAAAGUUUUAAUCUGUUGGUAGCUAACUAUUACAUUUUCUUUUAUUAUCAUUUGACACAGGCAUUGACCAGCAGUAAUGUUGUCUAGAAGGCUCUAGAAUAUAAUUUGUUUAUAGUCCACUUGCCCUAUCUGCAUGGAUGUAAUGCAUAAUUCAUUCUUUGGUCCCUUAGUCUUACUCGGAGUGUGGUUUGAUCCCGCAAUGGCUUAUAACUCGGGCAUUAAUAGAGGAUGUGGAAGACAUCCUCUACUUGGCCCAAAUUACAUUUUUGACAUCGCCUUUGCUCCCAGGGGUUGUGUGGCAUCCAUUUUCUACUUGCAACUUGUAUGCUCCACAACAGUAGGUGGCUAGUGUUGUGCACACCCACGGUGCUAUAGGUAACUGGGGAAAUCCAGGUGGGCCAGUUGGAUUUAUCAUCGUGCAGUAAAUACCAUAGCAGAUGGCACCUAUGGUCAGUGCUAGAUCCAUCCACCAUCUGGUAGUCAUCAGACGGGUCUGACUAGCUCCAUGCGUCCUAGGUUGUGCCAUAUAGAAUCGUCUAUGGCACGAGUAGUUACUUGGUCUCUUCAUAGCCAACCAAGAGCUCAAGUCUAGAGAAUCUUGGUGCUGGAAAGUGGAUUAUUGUCUUUGUUCAAAUCCUCAAACAUAUCGCCUUUUAUACAACUAUUAAGAUCUUAUUAAGCAUAAGAUUGAACCCAUGAACUCAAUAGAGAAGAGUCUUUGAAGGGUAUCUAGAUGAUGUAUUUUAUGAUGGUUUUUAAGGAUCUUUUCACUUGGCUGUAUUAAGGUAUAUUUUAGAGUAAUCCAGAACCAAGCUAAAGAUAAAGAGACAUACUUACUAGCUCUUAAUUUAUUGGUAUGAAUAUACAUGCAUUUUUCUCAUCAAGAUUUUAUUAAGGAAAGUAUGAAUUCUCUCUAUUUCUUGGUGGUGUUGGUUCUCUCCGGUGCUUGGAGGAAUUUCAGGAGUUAAACCUCAAGCUAGGACCUCAUGCCUCCAGCUGGGCACUAAUGAGUAGCACUCUGAUGUAAUAAUAAUAAUUAGUUUUUAUAUUGUUUUAAAUGUGGUUGCAUACAUAUGAGGUUACAUGCUAAAUAAUGCUAACUCCUUUAUAGACUUGCAUAGUAUGAGUUGAUAUGGUUUAUAAUGAGUUGAACUAAAUGCAUUAUAUAACUUAUUUGCAAGCUUGUAUUUAGAGAAGUUCAAAGUUUAUGUGGUCAACACGGACAAUUUUUACUUUUAUUGAACUUGAAUCCAAUUAAUCUUGUGUUUAUAAUAAACUUUUCUAAACACCUCCUAAAAUAUUCGUUUACCCUUGUGACGUGUCAAGUAAUUCACCACCAAACGCUUUACGUGGUGGUCCAAAGCGGCCAAUAGGGCUGUUUUGCUUACUAAGCUGGACCGCUCUUGGAAGAUUCGUGAAGGUAAUAGCAUCCGAGUGCCUUACAAUCUUCUCACAAUCGUGACAUUGAGCUUGCUCUGAUACAAUGACAAGAUCAUGAACUGAGGUGUAUUGCAAAGAUCUGCAUGAUGGGACAGUAAAUCGUCUCUCCUCUAUCCACGUCCACGCAACACAACAAAGGGGAGUCAGUGUGGGGAGAGAUUUUCAGCCAUUUGGAAGAAAGGAGAUAGAGACCAACUGGGAAAGAGGAGUUCAAGAGGUUUGAUAGAAAUCCUAUUCCUUUGGUCAAAGUAAAGAUUGGGAUGGGUGUGGGAGCUUUGAUUCUACUUGGUUUGCUCGCGUUUGUGUUGUGGUGCGGAAUCCAGUGCAUCCGGCAGAUUGGAACUCCCGGGUUUAAGACUUGGCCCCUGUUCGGUGUCACUCUGGAGGUGGCCGCGAACUAUCACCGGCUUUACGACUGGCUCUCGUGGAAUUUCCAGGUCAAGGAGACGAUGACAAUGUCCGCCACCAUGCCCGGACGAAGCUUCCUCUUCACGGUGGAUCCAGCAAACGUGGAGCACAUCCUCAAGACCAACUUCGCCAAUUAUCCAAAGGUAUAGAAGAUCUUGUUUGAGAUCGCUCUCUUCCGAGAAAACUCAGAAAUGAGGAGAAUUUUCUUGAUCUUCUUUUCUUUGUUCUUCACAGGGGGAGGAUUUUCAAGAGAUUUUCCAGCCCCUGCUCGGGAAUGGGAUCUUCAACUCAAAUGGAGAGGCGUGGAGAUUCCAACGCAAGACUGCCAGCUUCGAGUUUGCGUCGCGGGUGUUGAGGGAUGUGAGCUGCAGGGUUUUCAAAGAUCACGCGCUCAAACUCGCCAGGAUUGUCCAUGGUAGUCAGGAAUCGGGAGGAUCUUUGGAAAUGCAGGCAAGGAUCAAAAGCUCUUCUUUUUUUAUUGAGAUCUUCUAGAAAAUUUAUCCAGGAUUUAUUCAUGAGGAUGACUCUGGACACAAUUUGCUACCUCGGUUUCGGCCUCCAUCUCGGCGUCCUCGCUCCAAAUCUCCCCCGGAACGACUUUGCCACGGCCUUCGAUGCCUGCAACGCCAUCAUCUCCUACCGCUGUGCAGACCCUUUCUGGAAACUCAAGAGGUUCCUCCGGAUUGGACUGGAGCGUAACCUCCAGCGCCAUCUCCAAGUCGUGGAUGAUUUCACUCACAGCAUCAUACAGCAGAGGAGGCUCCAGCUCCAAGAUCAGUACAAACACCACCAACAUGUAAGAGAUACUCCAUUCCACUUCCAAGGAUCGCCAGUCACGCUCGUAUUUAUUCGAUUCCUUCGUCUUUCUUUGCAGAGCAAACAAGAUUUACUGUCGAGAUUCAUGCUGCUAGACGAGAGCUUCUCCGAUGAUCAUCUCCGCGACGUGAUCCUCAACUUCGUCAUCGCCGGGAGGGACACCACCGCCAGCACUCUCUCGUAUUUCACCUACAUGAUAGCCUCCCAUCCGGAUUGCGCCACCAAAAUCUACCAGGAGCUCCACGAGUUUGAAGAACUCCAGCUCAGUGACAAUUCCCAUCGCCCAAGCAGCUUCGAGGACAAGAUCCACGGAUUUACCCAGCUGCUAACAUACGAAUCGCUGGCCAAGCUCGUCUAUCUCCACGCCGCGCUCAUGGAAACUCUCAGGCUCUUCCCUGCCGUACCUCUGGUGAAUGAGAGAGAAUCCCUUUGGAUUCUCAUUCGAAGCUUCUUGAACUAAUGAUUUUUCUUCCCAGAACUUCAAACGAGCUGCCACGGAUGAUGUUCUUCCAUCGGGUGCUGUGGUGAAAAGAGGAUCCACGGUUUCAUACGUGCCGUAUUGCAUGGCUCGUGUUGAAUCAAUCUGGGGCUCCGAUGCAUCGCAGUUUCGUCCCGAGAGAUGGCGCAGAGAUGGAGCCUGGGAUUUCAGCGUCUCUCCAUUCAAGUUCACGGCAUUCCAGGUACUCUAUCGAUCACGAGAUUGAGGAGCGAGCGAGCAACAUUUUCUUAUUGCAGGCAGGGCCCCGCAUUUGUUUGGGCAAAGACAGUGCCUUUUUGCAGAUGAAGAUCACAGCAGCACUCCUGUGCCGAUUUUUCGAGUUUCAACUUGUUCCUGGGCAGAUUCUGACGUACCGAGUCAUGGCCACCAUCUCCCUUGUGAAUGGUGUCAAAGUCACCACCUCCAACUGCACCUGAGAAUAAGAGAAUUGGAAUUUUUGGGUCCUUAUAUAGAAUAAGGAAAAAAACUGUCCAUUUUCUCUGUCUCAUAAGAUCAAUUGAAAGUUAGUACUUUCUUUGUUGUUAGUUCUUUUCCAGAACGGCUAGAAGGGUAGCUCAAAGUCUGGCAAGAAUGCAAUGGUCAGGUGGUUUCAAGUCAAGUAAAAGUCUACUACGUUUGCUAUUUGUGAAUAUGUGAUUGCACAUGAGUGGAUUUUUUAUUUACACAUGUGCAGAUAUAUUAUUUUGUUUUCAAUUGCACACAAGAUUAUAAUGUACAUAAUCACAUUUUGAUUGUAAUUAAGAUAUGAUUAUAAUAUUUUUAUGGGACAUGUCAGACACCUAUAAGAAAUAAAUCUAUGCAAUUUUCACAUGAUGUGUUCACAAAAGCAAGAUGCUCACCUAGAUUGAAACUAACAUUUUCACAAGCUUUUUCUGGUCACUAUGUCAAACUUGCAAGGAAAAAAUGAGCUCUUAUAUUCCCCAACCUUAGAGUGAAAGAUUAAAAAUGUUGCAGCAAAUAUCAUUAUACUAUAUCCUUCUUACGGGUUGUAAAUCAGAAUCAUUAUACUAUAUCCUCCCUAUGGGUUGUAAAUCAGAGGUACUUAAGGACCAUUGGUAUGUGGUUAACAAUCCAUGAAGAUUUGCAUCACAUUAUCAUAACACUUUGUUUGAAAAUGAAUGAGAUAAAAAUCUAAAAUAUAUCACAUCCCAAAAAGACUGCUAACAUCUAAGGAUUCCACAUAGCUUUUAGAUAAAGUGUGUGUAUGGGACAAGCACUCACCUUUAUAUUUGGAAGAUGUACAAUUUGGAGAACAAUGACAACCUUGCAAAAAACCAAGAGCCUCUUAUUGGGUCAGCAUGACUCAUUAGUAUAUCUUGAGCAAUCCACAAAAAGUUUAGAUGCUAGUAUAUAACCCACAAGACAGCAAAUAUGAUGUAGAAUGGUGACACAAACAUUGAGAGUAUUGAGACACUACCAAGCUCGUGAAGAAGCUGGUAAAGAAGUACCAUGCUUUCUUAGUUUAGGAGGCAGUGAUCAAGCAAAUCCCUUGGCUGGUUGGCUUGGCCUUGAACAAGGCAGCAAGUUCCCCACUCUUCUGUUGCACCAAGAGAGUUUGAAAAGUAAAUUGAAGGUCAAUGUUCAACUCAAUGCUAACUUCUUCAUCUUGCUACUCAAGAAGACCUGGCAGAACAUAAAGGUAGCAUUCUCUCAAGGUAUGCAAUGCAGUCCAUCUCCUCAAGUUUGUUAAUUUUUAAACGGCAAUGAUGUUGAGUGACCAUUCUUUCCAAAAAAAACUCUCAAACGUGUGCAGAAAGUGUUGUUAAUUCAACUUGUGUGCAAAAAUGUUGUUAAAUCAAAGAUUAAACCCUGUUGAUGUAAAUUGAGCUAAUAUGGAUUCACACAACACUCAGAAAAUGCAUAUGUGGCACUAACAUGGAUUUUGCAUAAGCUAGCAAUUGAAGAAUUUAUAUAUGAUAUACAUGCCUAUGAUUUGAAAAAAAAAAAGUUGCCCACUCCCCUUCUUGGGAGGUGCAUAAAACUGCCAUGGAUGCUUAUUUAAAUGAACAUAUAUUAUAUUAGAAAAAAAUCUUCACCUUAUUUACUAAAAAUAAUUACCUAGAGCUUAACAAUUCUAACUUAACCAACAUCUUUUCACAGAUGACUUUAUUCUUCUAAUUUUAAGUGCGAUUCGAGGUGGUGACUUUGACACCAUUGGCGAAGGAGAUGGUAGCCAUGACUCGGUACGUAAGAAUCUGCCUGGGAACAAGUUGAAACUCAAAAAAUCUGCACAAGAGGGCUGCAGUGAUCUUCAUCUGCAAGAAGGCGCUAUCCUUGCCCAGACAAAUGCGGGGCCCUGCCUGCAAAAGAAAAUAGUGCUCACUUGCUCCUCAAUCUGUUUGACCAAAUCUAUUACCUGGAAUGCCGUGAACUUGAAUGGAGAGAUGCUGAAAUCCCAGGCUCCAUCUCUGUGCCAUCUCUCGGGACGAAACUGUGAUGCAUCCGAACCCCAGAUUGAUUCAAUAUGGGCCAUGCAAUACGGCGCGUAUGAAAGUGUGGAUCCUCUUUUCACCAUAGCACCAGAUGGAAGAACAUCAUCCGCGACGACUCCUUUGAAAUUCUGGAAAUAGAGAAAAGAUCCAAGAGAUCAGCCCAAGAAGCUUGGAUUCUUUCUUUCAUCACCAGAGGCACGGCAGGGAAGAGCCUGAGAGUUUCCAUGAGCGCGGCGUGGAGAUAGACGAGCUUGGCCAGCGAUUCGUAUGUUAGCAGCUGGGUAAAUCCGUGGAUCUUGUCCUCGAAACUGCUUGGGCGAUGGGAAUUGUCGCUGAGCUGGAGUUCUUCAAACUCGUGGAGCUCCUGGUAGAUUUUGGUGGCGCAAUCCGGAUGGGAGGCUAUCAUGUAGGUGAAAUACGAGAGAGUGCUGGCGGUGGUGUCCCUCCCGGCGAUGACGAAGUUGAGGAUCACGUCGCGGAGAUGAUCAUCGGAGAAGCUCUCGUCUAGCAGCAUGAAUCUCGACAGUAAAUCUUGUUUGCUCUGCAAAGAAAGACGAAGGAAUCGAAUAAAUGCGAUCAAGUGAAAUGGAGUUUCUUUGUACUUGUUGGUGGUCUUUGGGCUGAUCUUGGAGCUGGAGCCUCCUCUGGCAUAUGAUGCUGUGCGUGAAAUCAUCCACGACUUGGAGAUGGCGCUGGAGGCUGCGCUCCUGUCCAAUCCGGAGGAACCUCUUGAAUUUCCAGAACGGGUCGGCAAAGCGGUAGGAGAUGAUGGCGUUGCAGGCAUCGAAGGCCGUGGCAAAGUCGUUCCGGGGGAGAUUUGGAGCGAGGACGCCGAGAUGGAGGCCGAAACCGAGGAAGCAAAUCGUGUCGAGAGUCAUCCUCAUGAACAAAUCCUGGAGAUAAAAUUGCUAUGAUCGAGAAGAUCUCAUUGAAAAAACGAUAAGAUCCUUGCCUGCAUUUCCAAAGGUUCUUGACUGCCAUGGACAAUCCUGGCGAGCUUGAGCGCGUGAUCUUUGAAAACCCUGCAGCUCACGUCCCUCAGCACCCGCGAUGAAAACUCGAAGCUGGCAGUCUUGCGUUGGAUCCUCCAUGGCUCUCCAUCCGAGUUGAAGAUCCCAUUCCCAAGCAGGGGCUCGAAAAUCUCAUGAAACUCCUCCCCCUGUGAUUCACAAGGAGCCAGCUCUCCUCUUUUCUCGGACGAGAAGAUCUUACCUUUGGAUAAUUGGCGAAGUUGGUCUUGAGGAUGUGCUCCACGUUUGCCGGAUCCACCGUGAACACGUAGCAUCGUCCGGGCAUGGUGGCGGACAUUGUCAUCGUCUCCUUGACCCGGAAAUUCCACGAGAGCCAGUCGUAAAUCCGGUGAUAGUUCGCGGCCACCUCCAGAGUGACACCAAUCAGGGGCCAAGUCUUAAACCCGGGGGUUCCAAUCUGCCGGAUCCGGUGGAUAGCGCACCACGACGCAAACGCGAGCAAACCAAGUAGAAUCAAAGCUCCCACACCCAUCCCAAUUGAUCAAAAAAAGAAUAGGACUCUGUCAAAGCUCUUAGAGCUUAGUCUCUAUCUUCUCUGUUUCCAAAUGGUUCCAAGUCUCUCUCCACAAGUCCCCUUCUCUCCAAAUCUCUCUCUUUCCAACUUGUUCCAAAUCUCUCUCUCUCUCUCUCUCUCUCUCUCUCUCUCUCUCUCUCAUAUCUUCACGAGCGUGGGCCUUGUGAUUCCUAGUGCUCAUCGCAUCCUCUUACGCAAGCCCCACGUAUAUGUGCUCAGAGCUGGCCAAGAACGCGACGAAAGAGGGUGUUAGAAAGAAAUGACCACGUCCAAAUUAUCACCUUCUGCUCUUUACAUGGUUUUAUUUCUCAGCUACAAAAUCUUACUCGAACGAACCACCAACAAAACAAACUCACGCUCUCCUUCUUCUUCUUCUUCUUCUUCCUUUUUUCUUGCACCUGAAUGGAUGGAUGGAUGGAUUCAUUAUAUACACUGCUUGCUUGCCUCUUGCCCCCAGCGACUUUACACCAUAUGGCUAUCAGUGGCUCCAAAAUCUCUAUACUUCCAUCACCCCGAGAACGCCAAACCCCACGUAAGUAGAAAAAGCACGAAAAUUCCACUGCUUGCCUCGACCAUGAACGAUGAUGACGAUGCUGCUGCGAUGGAUGAUCGUCGCUAGGAACUUUGCUGCUUCUGCUGCCCCUGUACGUAUCCCUGCUGCUGCUGCUGCUGCUGCUGCUGCUCCUGCUGUUGUUGGGUCGGACUUAUCUGUCCAGCAGUCGGCCUUGCCAGCGACAUCAUCAUCGACCGCAGCUCUCCGACGAUGGCUGGAAACGUUGGCCUCACUGCUGGAUCGUCCGCCCAGCAGCGCUCCAUCAGGGACUGCCACUCCGGGUCGCAGCUGCUGGGAACCUGGGGGCGCAGCUGAUUGCUCACGAUACCGCCUGGAGAAAGAAAAGCGACGAAAACGUUCGUUGUUGGCGAGCUACACUUGGAAAGAAGAAUCUAGAGUAGUUUACCGAUGAUUGCACCGUAGUGAAGGUCCGCGUAUGGCUCCUCGCCAGUCAGGAGCUCCCACAUCACAAUGCCAAACGAGAAAACGUCCACCUACACGCGGCAGAGAGCAUUUUGCAUCAGGCCAAGCUCAAGUUGGACAAACGUUUACAACCUUUUCCGACACCGAGAUGCUUCUUCCAUUAAGUAACUCCGGGGCCAUCCAUGGCAGUGUCCCUCUCACUCCGCCGGUAACCAUCGUCUUGUGUUUUAUCUUGGACAAUCCCAAAUCUCCCACCUGCGCAACACAUUUACGAAGCAUAAAUCACUAUUUGAGUCGUGACUGUAACCACGAUACCUUACAAACAGGCUUCUGUGAAUCCCGCAUGUUAACAAGCAGAUUCUCUCCUUUGAGGUCGAAAUGUAUAAUCUUCUUGUCGUGGAGAUACUCCAUACCAAACGCAGCAUCCAUGGCUACCAAGAGUCUUCGACGCCGAUCCAAGAUUCUAUAGUACAUUCACCCCAGUCAGCUCACAAACCAGCAAAAGCACAAGAAAAGAUCGCUCACCGCUCUUUUUUGUGCAGGACCUGCUUCAGCGAUCCAUUAACCAUGAAUUCCGUGACAGUAGCCAGUGUACCACCUGGACUGUCUGGUACCACUCCAUAAAAGGCAACAACAUUUGGAUGGUGCAGGUGAGCUAAUAUACACGCUUCACUCCAGAAAUCGUCCUUCUGGAAAACAAAUUAAAAACGUGGCAAUAUACCGAAAUGAUUGGACUAAGUACCAGCCGAUCCUGUUCCGAUGGAGGUCCAAAGAAACAACUAGCUUUGAUUCUCUUGAUGGCAACAUCUGUUCCGCGCCAUUUGCCAUGGUAGACGGUACCGAAUGUACCUGAUCCCAAUUCUCGUAUUUCCUCCAGAUCUGAAUGCUUAAUUACCUGCAAACGUGUUGGAAAAAAGCACGAGGAUUGUACAAAACAACUACUAACCUGUAAACCACGAGCACGGGCGGUAGCUUCCGACUCUGCGGCAGAAAUGGGACGCUCUUCAAGUUCCAGGUCCGCCAAAUCGAUCAGUGCCGCUUCUAUCCUGGAGGUAGUAACAUCCGUAACCUCCGUGACUGUGAUUUGAAGGUCACUGGUGUCAAGUGAUCUGUCGCACCUGUUACCCUCGGGUUCAGCUACCGCUUUCCUGUUACUGCUUGUCUCUGACACCGAAAGAUCGGCCAUUUCUUUCAUAAUGUGCACUUCAGCGGCAGAAGGCUGACAGGGCGUGUGGCCCGUAUCCCCAUCGGUGAGACAUAUCAGAAGACCUUCAUUGGAGUUGCCGUGCAAUGGCCUGGAGACGGGUGACGUAUCAGAGUAAACUUGUGCACAAGCCUCUAAAGCGUGUGACGACGUCGAGGCCGAGCUAGCAGCGAUGGACCCUCCAGACAUUGUUGAGGUGCAAGAAGUCUUGCAGAAUACUUCGUCGCUCGUGAGCAAGUCCAUAAACAUGUUGCUGGAGGAGUUCCCGGAAUGCACCAUCUGCGUGGUAGUGCUGCUGUCACUGCCACUACCACGACCGCUCUCAACCACAAGAGGUCGCUCGGUCCUUACGGCAUGGAGGCUGUCCUCGAGAAAAUUUACUAGUGCAUCCGGCAGCUGAGGCUCCAGCGCCUUACCCGUAAGUUCGGGCUCAGAUCUUGGAGCUAUCAACGUCGUCAAAGACGGAAGAGGUGUGGACCACCCUGGGAGAGUAGAUGUUCCAGCUCCCGUGCUAACUCCCUGAGUAUCCCUGUCCUUCCACUCGGAACUUGACGCUUGAACCAUAUGAUCGGCUAGUUGCCAGCUAACCCCCCCCUGAUGCAGCAUACUCUCCUUCAUGUUCACCUUAGAAGCAGGAGGCGUCUCUUGUAAGUCUUUUGGACUUGACCUCUCCUGAUAGUCAUAGGAUGGCUCCGUAGAUACUUGCUCAGGCAGUUGCGGAGGGUUUGAAUAUAGCUCAUUGUAAGCCGUAACCUGAGGAAGCACAGGGGAAAUUCCCAGUGCAUCAGAUCCUACCGCUGUCGACCAUACUUGCUGCUUUUGCUGAAAGAGGCUGUCACCUGCAUAAGUAUAAUUGUGCUCAGUAAAAGCAGCCUUCUGAGGUUGCGGCUCCACGUAUCCCUGAAACUGAGGAACCAAUACUGUUUUUCUCUGCACAUCUUGUAGCGUCGCCUGCGAAACCUGAAGCGGUUGUAUCACGGACUGCUGAACUUGCGGAGUCGCCUGAGAUACUUGAACGUGUUGCAUGACUAGAUGGUGACGUGCGGCAUUCUCGGAAUCGCUUGAAACACUCGGCUCGGUUAUAAUGUACUGACCAUGUCCCAACAGAUUCCUGUCUACCGGCUCCGAAUGCCCGUUGACAUAUCCAUAGUGAAAUCCAGAAGCCGGCAUCAUCGAAGGAAGGAUGGUGCCAUUGGCUAAAGCUGGAACCGACGUAUACUGAGCCAUGACGGGGACGCCCUGAGAAACCUGAGGUACUCGUACCGCAGCUGGAGAAACCUCCUGAAUGCCUUGCGGGCUCGUGCUUUGUGCUGAAGCGUCUGAACUCUUUCUCGAAGCCCCUUCCAUAAGACCAUUAACAGCGUCCAGAUACUGCUGCUCCGUGUUCUUCAAAUCACCAGAACUGUCCCCGAUCACAUCGUAAUCCAGUGACGUGAAAAGAAACACCCUCAGCCUUGCAUGCCCGUCCCCAGCUUCUAGCUUGUCAAACUCCUCCAUCAUAUUCUCGAGGUCCUCCUCCGAGGAAACGGAGACCAGAGCGUCCAGAUCCUCGUCGGGAAGCUGGUACUUGAUAGCAACAGUCUGUGGCUGAAUCUCGACCAUCUUGAGCAUCAAAUUCAGAUAGCUCGUGUCGCGGGUCACUGCGAUCAUUCUCGUAUCUCCACCGGCAUAUCUCAAUCUCCCAUCGCUGGGCCUGGGAAGAAUUUUACCGCCAUAACUGCACAGGAGCUUCACUCUCGUUGGCAUCUCUUCCGAUAAGUUUGACACAUGGUCUGCCAAGAACAAAAAACAACAAAGAAUUUUAAAAAAUGAAAAAUCAUAGAAGGAAGAGCAAUUGACCAAAACAACAAAACGUACCAUCGUCUCGGCUGGUGUGGGCUGAUGAUAUCGUCACGCCUUCCUGCGGCUUGGAAGCUCUCAUGAAAACAAAUCCUUCUUGGGGAACGUUCGCGGUUGCUUGCAAGUAGGGCCUCACCGACGGAGCUCCUGGAUCCAGCGGCGACAUGAAAUGGCUCAUAGCUUCCGUGGGGUUAGCCCCAGUCGAUUGGAUGUAGAAACUCAUCGGGUCGGCCACCGACACGAAAGAGGCUUGAUGGAGAGCUCCUGAAACCUCCACAGGAACUGACGGCGCGUAACCCUCGACCCCUUGAUUCGCGAAGGGCCAGGCCGCCAUGACUCUCUGAUCCAUCACUUGAGCUUCCACAACCGGCCAAGAACCAAAAUAUUAUAGCUCACCAGAAAUUCCGAGGCGACAUUUCCAAAUCUCGGGAGGAUGAGCGCCUAAAUCUUGCCGCGACGCCGACCCGACGCUCGCUAUCGAUCGAUCCACCGCUCGCUGGAAGAUCCCGAUGCGCCACCGCCUAGGGAGCGCAAUCCUGGCGCCGGCAUCUCCUGCGCCUCGCACAACGAUGCAUCAAUCCCAGAGCCUUCUUAGGGUUUGCUCCCCCUUCUCAUUCUGACGCUUUACCGCAUAGAAUAACCUUUUCCCCCGGGUAAUAAAUGGCCUAUAGGGUUCUUGCAAGAUCAAGAUUUCCUCCAAAAUGGCGAUCCGAUUCGUCCUUCUGGUGAACAAGCAGGGCCAGACGCGAUUGGCGCAGUACUACGAGCAGCUCACGAUCGACGAGCGCCGGGCGCUGGAAGGCGAGAUCGUCCGCAAGUGCUUGGCGCGCACGGAGAAUCAGGUAUGAGAUCUUGCGCCCUGCGAGAUGGAUCCACACAGCGCUUGUGAUUUCCUCCAGCGCAGUGUUCGUUUGUAGAGCAUCGGAAUUACAAGGUCGUGUAUCGGCGCUACGCCUCCCUCUUCUUCCUCAUUGGAGUGGACAGCGAAGAGGUAAAAAGAAAGUCUCUCUUGUUUGUGAUAUUUUCUUCUUGUCUGGCUCGAUUUUCUUCUUGUCUAGCUCGAUCUCACCCCCAUUUCUUGUUUUUCUUUGUAGAACGAGCUAGCGAUUCUGGAGUUUAUCCAUUGCGUGGUGGAGACGAUGGAUCGCUACUUCGGCAAUGUGGUAAGCACGAAUUCCAUUUUACUCACUUUUGGACAGUCUUACCGAUUUAUCGAUCGAUGGAAUUCGAUCGACUCUUGGCAGUGCGAGCUCGAUAUCAUGUACCACUUGGAGAAAGCCCACUUCAUCCUUGAAGAAAUGGUGAUGAAUGGCUGCAUUGUAGAGACCAACAAGAGCAAUAUCCUGGGGCCUAUACAGCUCAUGGACAAAUCCUUCUAGUAAAAAGUACGCGGUGCUUUUUCUUGUCUUUUACCCCGAGGUAGAUUUCACGCUGCCACGAAUUGGAAAUCUCGACGUGCUUGGUCGUUUUUGCCAGCGCCUGCUAAAUAAGUAUGGGGAUAAAGAGGGGAUUUUGUUUAAAGCAUGUUUAGGUCUUAGACGCACGCGUGGCCGUUGGAUCCCGUUCACAUCCAACGGCGGUCUGCUGGGGACGAAGGGCUGAGCUAUGGAGGAUAUGGGGUUUUCGCGCAGCGCCUAGCGCGGGGAGCGCGACCAGCGCGACGAGCUCUUGCGGUGCGAAAUUCUGGCAGGGAUGGAUUCCGAGGGCAUGAAUCCGGGGAGCUUCGACGAGAACGACGACGCCGGCAAUGGUCCCGAGGAGGAGCAGCAGUACAUGGCGCCGUGGGGGGAGGAGCCCGGGGAGGAGGCGGCGGCGGCGUCGCCGACGCACAGCGGAUUCCAGGCUGAGGAGGUGAGCUACGAAGGCAAGGAGCAAGAGCAUGAGCAAGAGCCCGGCGUAAGCCAGGAAGCGAAUGGCGUGGAGAAUGAGUAUAGCGGCGGCGAUGGCGCUGGGAACGAGCUCGCGGCGACGCAGUACACGGAGUCUUCGGCGCUGGACAAGGAUGGGAACCUGGAGGAUGGGUUUGCGGAGACCUCCGAGGACGAUGGCGAUGGCACUGUGGAGGAGCAAUUGGCAUUCGUCAAGGAGCUGGAGAAGUUCUUCCGGGAGAGGAGCAUGGAGUUUAAAGCUCCCAAGUUCUAUGGAGAGGAGCUCAAUUGCCUCAAGUAAGCUUGUAGUUCCAUAGCUUGUUCUAAAACUUUUUUUUUUUUUCUCUGGAUGUUUUUCUCUUUGCUGCCAGGUUGUGGAAGGCUGUGAUGAAACUGGGAGGAUACGAACAGGUUAGUCUCUAUAUCCCGAUUAUAUUUGUUUUGGACAAUGGAAAGUCGAUAGAUGUUUUGAUCGUAUUUGUGUUUACCAGGUGACCUCUGGAAAGCUUUGGCGUCAAGUCGGCGAUUCCUUCAAACCCCCCAAGUAAGUUGCUUUGCUUUAAGAGCUCAUGCCUUUAGCAUUGAUUCGUGUGUCUUCUUGCUCCUUUAGAACGUGCACAACCAUUUCGUGGUCCUUCCGUGGCUUCUAUGAAAAGGUUCACGUAUUCUUAUGUCUCGUGCAUUUCUAAAAGGCGAUACUUUUUCUUUUCUUCCUUGCUUUCUCAGGCACUUCUCGAGUAUGAGAAGUUCACGACGGGAGUUUCGGUCUACCAUGAUCAACCGGGCGAUCCUUCGAGGUCCGAGGACGGUUUGUCUUCGGCCCCUAUACAGGUGAGACUUAACUUAUCGGUUGGAGUUAUGGAUCCUGACGAAGGUCCUCGUUUGUUCUCGUUUGUUUUCUAAUGUAGCCUCCUGGAAGGGCGAGGCGAGAUGCAGCGGCAAGAGCUAUGCAGGGAUGGCAUUCUCAACGUGGGAAUGGAGACUUAGUAGAACUGCCCUCGAAGGUAUGUUCACGUAAGCUUUCGCUAAGCUAGCAUUUGUCUCAGAGCUUUUACUUCAGGACAAGAGCUCGGCUAGACGUGAUAAACGAGGUCAGCCAACAUACUUUCCUGUUUUUUUCCUUUGACUAACAGCCUGGUUUUGUUUUUGUCUCGAUAAUAGGCUUCUUGAAACGGAAAGAUGGUUCUGGCAAAGGGAAGAAGGAGAACAGCUAUGACGACUCUCAUCUUUCCGCAAAGAAGAAGCUCGCAAAGCACGAGCCCUUGAAAGGCAAGGCAGUACACAGCGGCCUCGAUCUGGACGUGAUUGACGAAGGUCCACAAGCCGACUGGGUGAAGAUCAAUGUCCAUCAAACGGUGAGUUCUUCCUUCCUUCGUAGCUGUUCUUCCUGGUCGAUAUGGCAUACAGUCCGUUGAAAACCCUUCGGGGUUUUGAGUUGUAGAACUGCAUUUAGAGUGGUAGGAUUAGUGACGACAUGCUCAGGCAGGAGCACUGCUCGUGUGGCAGAUGGUAAAUUGAAGUUGGCGCAAGUGACCCACUGAUCGGAACUUCUGGUUGGGCUUGUGAGCAGCGCGAAUGCUUUGAGGUGUAUGCUCUUGUUCCAGGACUAUUGCGAGAGGAGGUGUGUUCUUCUUUUCCUUGGGUUUGAUCUUGUUCUUGAUGAUCGUUUCGUUUGCUUUGUCAGGUAAGGAUACAAUGCGAGGCCGGAGGAAGGCUUGUCAUUGCUGGAGAACCCGAACAACCUGACAAUCCUUGGGGAGUUACUGCCUUUAGAAAGGUUUGGGUUUUCUUCUUUCAGCUACCGUUCUCUCCGGGAAGUUUUUUCUCAUCGAUUUGUGCAGGUGAUCAAUCUGCCGCUAAAGAUCGAUGCUCAUCAAACAUCGGCCGUUGUUACGCUCCACGGGCAGCUGUUCAUCAGAGUUCCAUUCGCUCAAUCUUCGUCGGAGCAGCAGCAGUCAUGACGAAAGUUCUAGCGGAGAAAAAAAAGAAUCAGAAACGAAAGAAAAGAAGAAUGAUAAAGCGCGAAAGAUUUGGAGCUGCUGUGUGAUUCAUUCGUGGGGAAGAAGGCGAAGGGAUGUAAAUUCUUUUUAAUGGAGAAACAACAAAGAGAAAGUAUUGCUAUGGGUCUACCGUACGAUGGGCCAUGGUGUGUACGGAAGCCAUAGAGGUCAUUUUGUGACCGUUGUGUGUCAAAAUUGUCCUCUUUCAAAGUAACAACACCUAAUGUGAAGGAAGGGAUUGUGAGAGGAGGGGCUGUGUUUCUUGAGCUAGGGCGGCACCUAGGGUUUCACUGCGCAUUGGUCGAGGCGCUGCGAGAUCGCGGGUAAUCGGCUUGGUUUCUAGCGAUGGUGGAGGCGCCAGAGGCUGUCCCCGAGGAGCGGCGAUGGAAGCUUGCGGAUUUCGACAUUGGGAAGCCUCUGGGCCGCGGGAAGUUUGGAAACGUGUAUCUCGCCAGAGAGAAGAGAGUAUGUGUUCUUGCAUUGCAUUUUGCGCUGCUUGAUGGUAGCUAACGUUUCUUACUCCCUUAUUGAUGUGUAGAGUAAAUACGUUGUGGCGCUCAAAGUGCUGUUCAAGAACCAGCUCCAGCAGUCGCAAGUCGAGCAUCAACUGCGUCGCGAGAUUGAGAUCCAAAGUCACUUGAGACAUCCCAACAUUCUCCGUCUCUAUGGAUACUUCUAUGAUCAGGUUGGGCAUUUCUCGAAUUUGUUCUCUUCUCUUUCCAGUAGUUCCUGAUGCUCUUGUUUUGAUCACACAGAAUAGAGUGUAUCUUAUACUCGAGUAUGCUGCCAAAGGCGAGCUGUACAAGGAGCUCCAACGGUGCAAAGUUUUCUCCGAGAAGAGAGCGGCGACUGUAAGAUAACGUCCAUAUGUUGCCCUGAUUUAUUGUUUCUUUCUGCAGUACAUCGCUUCUUUGGCAAGGGCAUUAAUGUACUGCCACGAGAAACAUGUCAUCCACAGAGAUAUCAAGCCAGAAAAUCUCCUCAUUGGGAUGAAGGUAAGCCUUUCUAAUUCGUAAAACGAGAAGUGGUUACUAGUUUUGUAUCGGCAGGGUGAACUGAAAAUAGCUGACUUUGGGUGGUCAGUCCAUACAUUUAACCGGAGGCGGACGAUGUGUGGAACUCUCGACUAUCUCCCUCCAGAAAUGGGUGUGUACUCUACUGCACUUCGUUUUCUCUCUGGUCGUUGCUAACUGGGAGUUCUCACAGUGGAAAAUAAGGAGCACGAUGCAAGCGUAGAUGUGUGGAGCUUGGGUGUUCUCUGCUACGAGUUCCUGUUUGGGACUCCUCCUUUCGAAGCUCAGAAACUGUCGGAUACCUACAGACGGUACAGAAGAAGACGUGUUUGAUUUCUAGCUAUUUUACUUUGAUCAUCCGUGUGCAGCAUUGUCCGAGUGGAUUUGAAGUUUCCAAUCAAGCCAGUGAUCUCUACAGCGGCAAAAGAUCUCAUAUGCCAGGUACUGAACUUCUCACACAAAGAUCUUUGCUGAUCCAUCGUGGUUUGCAGCUUCUAUGCAAGGAUUCUUCGCAAAGACUUCCUCUGAAAGAACUUCUCGCUCAUCCAUGGAUUACUGCUAAUGCAGAUCCAUCGGGGAUUUAUGCUGGCUGCGGUGGAGCUAGUGCAUAGCGAAAGAAAUAAAAUGGAAAAGAAAAAUCUAAUCUGUGAAAAGAUUAAUAUAAAAAACCGUCAAAGAAACUUUGUCUCCAGAUUUUUUAGAGUGUUAGUAUCUCAAUACUUGUUAAUGUAUGAGAACUUGUUAAAGAUCUCAUAACUUUAAUUUUUGAGAAAUAAAAUUGAAUUAGUUCAAUUCAUUAUGGGAUUAUUUAUAAUGUGAUUGGAAAAAAAAUAAACACAUAAUCUUAACACAUGUUUUCCCACAAAAUCCUAAUAUACAAUUAUAUAAUGCCCUUUUGUCUUGAGUUGUAUGUUACACAAAAACAAUUUCAAUAUAAGUUAUAUAAAUUUAGAGUUUAAUUAGUUAAUAAAUUUUGCAUUCCAUAGUGUAAAUUUUAAAGAAUUCAACUUCCACAAUUAAAUAGUUUAAACUUUAAUUAAUUUUGAAAUUUGACCACAAUUUUAAAAAGUUUUUGGUCAAGUGAAAUUUUUUUGGGUGGUAUAAUAAAUUUUUAUAUAUAAAAUUAAUUAAAGAUAUAAUUGGAGGAAUUAAAUAUAUAAUAAAUAAAAUCAAUGGUGUUUGUAUAAGAAAAAUUUAUAAAUAAAGAUGUAAAGAUUAUUGUUUACAUAAAUUAGGUAAUUCUUAAAUUCUUAAAAAUAAUAAAUCUUUAAGUUAUUAAAGUACUAACCAAAAAUUUUAUGAAACACAUAUUAAUUUUUUUUUGUGACUAGGCACAAUAUAAAAUAAAUAAUAAAUAAUUAAAAUAUAAAGAUAAAGUUUUUUUUAUAACAUUUACAUAUUUAAACAUUUACUAAAAAUAAGUAAAUAUAAAAGCUGCAUUUGGGUAUGUUUCAACAUCAAUCACACGGAUUCUUUUAGCUUCUAUGAUUGAAAAAGCUGUGGGUAUAUCAUUAGAGGAUAUCUACACCGAGAUUGGAGUGUAUUUAGAUGGAUAACAUAAUUAAAAUCAAUAUUCAUAUAAAUAAAUAAAUAAAUAAAAUAUAUAUAAUUAUUUUUUUAAUAAGAUAUUUUUAUUUAUGUUUUUUAUAAAAAUAUAUUACUCAUGAUAAGUGGGUUUAGGGUUUAACCAUUGUAACAAACAAUAUAUCAUAUUUCUAAACCUGUAUAUUGACCAUCAUUUGAGAUUAUCUUUAAUUCAAAUUUACAACUAUAAAUAAAACUUACCUUUGUGUUUUACUUUCGGUCAACCUGGCUUAUGUUAAUUUAAACUCACAAUAUUCAUUUUUUUGCAACAUCAUAUAUAGAAAGUUUGACUUACUUUAUUUAUCCUUUUUAUCCACUUCUCAAAAGAAAUUUUGAAGCACCAAAUUCUAUUCAGACUUGUUACAUUUGUCAUUGGUUAUCAAUUUUUAACCUUACUCCACUAUAAAAUUUAUUUGGCUUCACUAUAGUAAAGUAAAAUAUUCUAUUCGAACUAAUUAUAUUUAUCUUCACUCUAAAAUUUAUAUUGUUCAUCUUUGCUAUAUUACUAAAUUACUUAUCUUCACUUUAUCUAAACUCUUAUUUAUCACUCUCUCCCCUCCUCCAAAAGUUUGAAAUGUUAAAGCAAAAAAGAAAAAGUAAAUAUUGUGGAAAAAAAAAAUAGAUGAAGAAACAUUGAAAGAGGAAUUUUUAGUACCUAAUGGGGAAAUAACAAAAAGGAAAUGUGUUUAAAGCUUGGAGAAUAAAAACCUUCCUAUUUUAAAAUGUCAUAAAAUAAAUAAAAAAUUCACACUAUUCAAUCCUUUUAACACAUAACUCAACACUUGAGAUAUGAAAAUUAAUAAAAAUGUCCACAUUCUCAAGAAAACAUAUAAAACCAUUAAUAACAAUGAUAAAACAAAAACUUUUAACAUUACUCACAACUAAAGAUAUAUAUUUUACCCAAAACUCUAACAAAAGUAAUUUAACCUUUAAAAUAGAGGAUACUAACACUAGAAUUUAAAAAUAUGAUAACAUGGAAUAGAAAAAAGAAUUAAAAAAGGUUAUAAAAGAGUAAAAAGUAAAGAAAAAAGAUCAAAAGGUAAACUAAAUGAUACUUUGUGAAAUUUUUAACUUAUCUCUAAAUACAUUUUUAUAGUAAUCAAGCUCCUUAUCACAAUUUAGAAUCCACUUAAGAUCAUAUAUAUAGUAUUCCUAUGAACUUUAUCUUUAAACAUUCUUCAAAACUCAAACUAUAACUAUCCAAUUGAUAUUAUGAUUAUGCUCCACAUUAAUGGGAAAUAGUAGGACACUAAAAACAGAAAUAUCAUGUAAUCACAUCCUAUAGAAGUUGGAGAUUGAUAAUAUAAUUACACCCUAUAACAUAAAAAACUCAAUCCAACUGAAUAACAUCAAUAGCUUCAAGUGACAUAUUUGUAUGGUGGAAAAAGGAAAUGCAAUGAAGUUCAAAAGGAAGAGAAAAUCUAAGUAUAACAAUAAUUAAAAGUUUAGAUUUGACGAAAAGCUAAUAUAAAUCUAGACUUAAAAGAGAAAUAAGAAUAAGAACAAAUAAAGGAAUAAGAAUAAAAGCACAACCUUGAACACUAUGUAAAGCAGUGCUAAAAAACUUUACCCUCUAGGAACAAGUUAUAAUGCCUUCUACUUCCAUCAAUGUGAGUGUUCAAGAUAUGGGAAUAUGUAUAUAAAUUGGGGUUUAAACCCUUGUUUAUAUACAAGAAUGGAUUGACUAGAUAUUAUAAUUAUUAUAUUAUUAAUACAUAUAUUUACACACACACAGAGAUAUAUAUAUAUAUAUAUAUAUAUAUAUAUAUAUAUAUAUAUAUAUAUAUAUAUAUAUAUAUAUUAUUUUAGUUUAUAUGUAAAUAUUUUUCAAGUUACUUUUCUAUUGUUAUUUUUGAAAAACAUUAGAAUACUUUAAUAAGUUUUUGCUGGUUAAAUCAUUGCAUUCAAGUUUUAUAAAUUUCCGAGCGCUCAAGUUUCAUAUGACAAACUUGGAAGACACUAUUCAGAUCUCAAAAACUAAAAAGCUACUUUCUGAAUGAUACACCAAUGAUUUCAUUGAUAGAUUGCACAAGAGCCUGGAAAAGUCGUUUACCACCACAGCUACAAUAGCUAUGUUGAAUGAGAAGUAAAACAGCAUAGGCGCUUGAAAGUUUUCUGGCGUGUCCAAAACUUUAUUGCAAAAUACUUUCUCUCACAUUUUUUCCAACUGAAUAUAACUCAUUCUCAACACAAACUUGAGUGAGGUAACAUUGGAACUUGUCAAAGAGUGACCUUGAAAUUGUUUUCCCCACUGCAAAACCCUAGCGCUCUCUCUCUCUCUCUCUCUCUCUCUCUCUCUCUCUCUCUACACCAAAACGGGAAUAUGCUUCGAGUGGCAGGGCAUCAGGGUUUCUCGACGAUUGAGCUUGGGGGAGAAUGCAAGAGCUGGAGUAGCGGCGGCAUCGGAUCUGCGACUCGGCUGCGGCCGUGAGUAGCUGCGCAGCUCGAAAAUCUCUGGAAUUUAGGUCUGUAGGAUCUCCUGGUGGAUGGAUUCAGACGAUGACAUGCAAGACGCCUACACCUCCGACGGCGACUACUAUGGCGAUGAGUACAGCGACGCGAUGCCCAGCGACGAGGAGGACGAUGACUCCGUCUACCCGUUUGAUGAUAAUUCCAUGGACGAUCUUUCCCCUUCCACUCGGGCGCCUCAGGUAUAGCUCGGGAAAUCGCGCGCUUUACAUUUUGGCUGCCUUGUGCUUUCCAGAAUAAUUUCGUGGUGCUGAGUGAAGACGAAAUUAGCAAGAGGCAAGAGGAGGCUGUGAAGAGCGUAGCGGGCGUGUUAUCGAUUUCCAAGGGCGAUGCUAGUGUUCUUUUGCGGCACUUCAAGUGGUUCGUGUUGCGAAAUCUCGCUCUCUCUUUUUUUUCUUUGAUCGUGGUCGGUGAGCUUGAGCUCUUUUCUCUUUCCCAGGUGCAUCAGUACUGUAAAUGAUGAAUGGUUUGCCAAUGAGCAAGCUGUUCGCAAGACAGUUGGUUUGCUGGAGAAAUCCGCGGGGAGGAGACCUCCCAAAGAGGUGAUCCUUGCAAGUUUGCUUUGUUUUUUCGAUGCUUGACGUGGACUCUACUUCCAGAUUGUUUGCGGGAUCUGCUUCGAUGCUUUCGGGGUUGACAAGAUGAGAGCAACGGUUUGCGGGCAUUACUUUUGUAGUUUAUGUUGGACAGGUUGCUAAACGUAGCUGAAACGCUUGGCUUUGCUCACUGAUUCGCACAUUUUUCUUCUACUGAUCAGGAUAUGUUCAUACUGCGAUAUCCGAUGGCCCUGGAUGUCUGACACUUCGAUGUCCUGAUCCAUCUUGUAACGCUGCUGUUGGAGAUGAGCUUGUUAUGUCGCUGGUUUGCGAGGAAGACCGUGUCAAGUACAAUAGAUAUUUGUUACGCUCGUUUGUCGAAGACAACCGAAAGGUGUCGCUUUCUGUUAUAGCUGGAUUGCUUAACUGACAAACUUGUCCAGGCAAAAUGGUGUCCUGCUCCAGGAUGUGAUUUUGCGCUGGAGUAUUUUCCAGGUAGUGGUUCACAUGACGUUGUCUGCAAGUGCGGUCAUCCAUUCUGCUGGAGCGUAAGUAUGCGAAAGCUGUUCAUGUUUUGGCUUUAACUUUGUGAAGCUGCAGUGUUUGGAGGAUGCCCAUCGGCCCGUUGAUUGCGAAACUGUGACGAAGUGGAUACUGAAAAACUGCGCUGAAUCCGAGAACAUGAAUUGGUAUGCUGUUGCUUCCUAGUUGUAACGGCUGAAUUCAUCGUCUUUUCUUGCUGAUCAGGAUUCUCGCCAAUUCCAAACCUUGUCCAAAGUGUAAAAGACCGAUCGAAAAAUCUCAAGGAUGCAUGCAUAUAACGUGUACGCCUCCGUGCAAGUUUGAGUUUUGCUGGUAGGUGUUUUCUUUUUCUCGCUGAUGACUGAUUGAUGUGUGGUAGGCUUUGUCUUGGACCGUGGUCCGAACACGGUGAGCGCACAGGGGGAUUUUAUGCUUGUAAUCGGUAUGAAGCUGCUAAGCAGGAAGGAGUGGUACGUAUCUAGGUACUUCUCACUGCCUCAACUUUACAAAUUUUCUUACAGUAUGAUGAAGCUGAAAGGCGUAGAGAGAUGGCUAAGAACAUGCUUGAACGUUAUACACACUACUACGAAAGAUGGGCCACAAACGAGUCAUCCAGGCAAAAAGCGCUCUCUGAUCUUCAACAGAUGCAAGCUUUACAUGUUUGUUGCUAUGUUUUGUUUGUUCAGUCCUAAUGUUUAUCGUGUGAUGCUUUCCAGAUGGAGAAAUUAAGCGACAGACAGUGUCAGCCUGUAUCACAGCUAAAGUUUGUGACGGAUGCUUGGAUGCAGGUAGGCUCUAUCCUGUAUAGUUGUUCUUUUCUGAUAAGUCUUUUGCCGUGUAGAUCGUAGAGUGCCGACGGGUUCUAAAAUGGACAUACGCGUAUGGUUAUUAUCUUCCAGAAAACGAGGAUGCGAAGCGGCAGUUUUUUGAGUACGUGCAAGGUAUACAACAUGGCCUUUUCUCUCGAGCAUCGCUGAUACCAAAGUGGAAAAAUCAGGUGAAGCGGAGGCCGGCCUUGAGCGCCUACACCAAUGCGCAGAGAAGGACUUGCAAGUCUUCCUGGGCGAGGAUCCUCCGGAUGUCCCGUUCAACGAGUUUCGCACCAAACUGGCUGGUCUCACAAGGUAAGGCAAAGUUUGCAGUGGCAUUUGCUCACGAUCCGCGGCUGCGCGCAGUGUAACGAGGACUUACUUUGAGAACUUGAUGCGCGCGCUGGAGACGGGGCUAUCGGACGUGGACAACUCGAAAGCGGCGGCCAACAGCAACAAGAACAGCAGCAGCAGCUCCAAGGCGUCGGGAAGCUCCCGGAAGAGCGGCAAGAAAGGCGGGAGCUCCAAGAACAAUGGGGGCUCGAGCCGGAGCGCCAUUGACGAGAGCGGUGUGUGGUCGUGCGAGCGCUGCACCUUCGCUAAUCCAUCCAGCGUGCGUUCGUGUCAACUGUGCCACCACAGGCCCUGAGAGAAGGAAGAAAAGUUGUCUUUAAGCAAAGUAUAUUCUUGGUAUUUUAGGGCUCCGUGAAGGGAAUCCUGUAUAUUCCUAACGGUCAGCGAAUCUAAGCAUAUUCGAAUCAACAAAACUUCUCGUUUGAGUUUAGAGCAAAAGCUUGCGAUUGUUCCUUUACACCGACAGAAGAAUAGAGCUCAAGGUUCUGGGCUUCCUCCGAUAAUGGGAAUUGGCAUUCCCAUCCUGGCGAGAACAUUAGAGUUUGUAAGUUUCAAACCAGGCACAAAAAGCAAGAGCAUCGACACUCACCCGCUGUGUCUCGAGAAGUAAUCGUUGUCGAGAGAGACGGCAAGAGCUAGAACAAUCGCUCUCUCGGUCAGUGUCAAAGAGCGAGAAACCGAAAGAGGCUCCACCUGGAAAAAGAAAAAUCUCGCGAGCUCGCAAGAGGAAAACGCAAAGAUAUCCACCUGUGGAUCAACGUUUUGAGCUUGCUCGCCGCCCUGCAAAACGUACUGGCCAGCAACUCCAGCUCUGUUUGUACCAUCAGCGAGGACUUCGCCAAAUCUCACGACAUAUUGCCCAGCAUCUGUGAAGAACUGCAUUCCAAGCAGUGAGAUACUCGCUGGCCUGGAAUUAUCACACCAUACCUCGUAGCCAAAUCCUCUCCAGUUGCGGUCCACGACGGCCAGAGUGUCGCCAUUCUCGUCACACACAGUGAAAGUCCAGUUCCAAAAGCCCGGAUUCUCAACACGUCCAAACUGCGUCUUCCUGCAUUCGUGUCGCACUGUCAAGUGACUCCAGGAAUUUCGAGUUUCCGUGGUGCUUACCCGAGAUAGAGAUCAUAGAUUCGUCUCCAGACAUGCCAUCUCCUGUGAACCUCACCAACAAGCUGCGAAAGUCGUGUUAAAACAUCUCGAGUAGAAAGAGUUUAGUGCAGUACAAUGCCAUCAACUUCCACAAAGAUUGUGCUGUUGAUCAACCAGGCUGGUCGUCGAACCUGACAGAAAGCGUCACAAGAGUAGAAGAAAGAAAAGAAAUGGUAAGAUUUGUAACCUGGAAAACCUGGUUGCCGUAGGCAUCUAGAACAUUGGCGAUGAAAGGCCUCCUCGUUCGCAGUAACUGCGACAUAGCUGCAAUUAAUCAAUAAGCGAUAACUGGGAACUCGUUCUAAAGCUUUACCUGGCGCAUGAUAAAGCUGCUCUCUUCAAGAAGAUAUCCAACAGCCUACCCAAACACUCAGUCCAAAACAAUGCCAUACACUAGAGAAACUACUUACUGCUUGCGGCUGGCGAGGAUCCAUGAUAACGUAUCUGUUUUGCUGCAAAGGAAAAAAGAGAAGAUAAAGAAAAACCAAGAGAAAGAGCUACAAAGGAAUUACUUGCUCCAGACCGAAGGCAACGUUGGCCCACUCUAUGUUCCUGGUGACCAUCAAAUCGGGCCUCGCUAACACAGGAACAAGCCUGUGCUGUUAAAAGGAAGGGAAAGAAGAAGCAAAGCAUGAGUUAUAAGAGUUUCCAAAGAGAAAGCUUUACUUCUUGUGGAGAAUCUGGCGCCAGAGCUCCAACAAGAGGUUCGCUGGGAGGAGGCUGCUCGGCAUUGUAAACCCCUGCUAUCAUCGAUCAAAAUAAAGCUCCAAGAGCCAAUUCAAAAAAAUUUACCAGAGGAAGCGACUGGCUUGGAAAGCUUGAGCCUGAGCUUGCGCUCCUCGUCGCGCCGGCGCUUGUCGAAAAGCAUCCGCUCAAUCAGCCUUCUCCUGCUCAGAGACUGAUCGUCGCCAACGCUCUGAUUGCAUGCCGGGGAAAGAGAAAUCUCCCUCGCGCCGGCGGGAUUGCUGCUCCAUCUAGCGAAAUGCGCGAGCUGAUCGUCCGGAGCGCGCACUUGGAUCCGCCGAGCCGCUCGUAAGAGGCGCCCAGCCAUUGCAAGGCCAGAACCCUAACUCUAAACCAUUUUUGAUGUGGUAUAAUGUCAAAAUUAAAAAUAAACUAAUGACGCCGUUGCCGGGGAUCGAACCCGGGUCGUCCGCGUGACAGGCGGAAAUACUACAACGACAUCACAUUAUCUUAACUUAAACAAUGUAAAUAGCUUUACCAAAAACUGAAAACUGAUUAUUUUUAAUAAAACUAACGCCGUUGCCGGGGAUCGAACCCGGGUCGUCCGCGUGACAGGCGGAAAUACUUACCAGUAUACUACAACGACAUCUCAUUAUCUUAGUAUUAAACGAAAAUUAAAAUCUCAUUUCACUAUUUAGAAUGAAACAUUAAAAUGAUAAUAAUAUGGAUCGGCAAUCAUGGAUAAAAGCCAUACAAAAUUGCAAGACACUUCCAAUAGCUUCCAAGAUCGAUGCAGAGUUGAGACAUAAGAUUGCUUCUCAUGACACUUUCCUCUUUAACAAGCUCAUUGAAAUGUAUGGCAAAUGCGGCAAUCCAGGCCAAGCCAAGAACAUCUUUGACACAAUGCCACAAAGGGAUAUAUUUUCCUUCCACCUUAUGAUCUUAGCCUACUCCUACAAUGGCCACCUUUGCGAAGCCAAGAUCAUCUUUGACAGUCUCAUGCCAAGCCACACCACAGUCUCUUGGAACACAAUGCUAUCAGCACUUGCCCAAAACGGGCAUCUUCACUCUGCCAGAGAGCUCUUUGAUCAAAUGCUCGAAAGAAACAUGAUCUCCUGGACCACAAUGUUGGCUGCCUUCUCGCACAGCGAUAACCUUCAAGAAGCCCUGAGUAUAUUCCAUGAGAUGCCACUGUGGGAUCUGGUGGCAUAUACCACAAUGCUGGGUGCUCUCUCCCGUGGUGGCGACGUUGACGCUGCGAAAAGGCUGUUUGACCAGUCCCCGCUGUGGGAUCUUGUGUCCUGGACCGCGCUGCUAGCGGUAUAUGCCCAGAACGGGCAUCUGGAAGAUGCCAAGUUUGUGUUUGAUGAGAUGCCAGAGCACGAUUUGGUAUCUUGGACCUCGAUGCUAACAGUAUAUUCUCGAACCGGACACGUACAAAAAUCUCGGGAGACGUUUGAUCGCAUGCCGGAGAGGAAUCUAUUCUCGUGGGCUGCAAUGGUGGCGGUAUAUACGCGAGAGGGUGACAUGGAAUCCGCGGAGAAAACUUUUAGCGAGAUGCCACAGUGGAAUCUAGUCUGCAUGAACGCUAUGGUCUCGGGAUAUUCUCACACCGGGAAUUUCUAUGCCGCAAGGAGCCUGUUUGAACGUAUGCCUCUUGGCAAUGUAAUUACGUGGAAUAUUAUCCUGGCAGCGUACGUAGCACGUGAAGACUACAACAAAACGUGUGUCAUCUUUAGCCAAAUGCCUCAAUGUGAUUUGUUCUCUUGGAAUAUGCUCUUGACAGCAUAUGCCCGAAAAGGGUAUCUGGAGGAAGCAGGACAUAUUUACCACACAAUGCCACAAAGGAAUCUUGUUUCAAUGACCGCAAUGCUAACAGCAUAUUCCCAACAUGGGUAUCAUUUUGAAGCAAAGAUGCUGUUUGAUGCUGCCCCUCAACAAGAUCAGGUCCUUUGGAACUCUAUCCUUGCAGCAUAUACCCAAAACGGGUAUAUUCCCGAUGCUGAGCUUCUAUUCUACUCCAUGCCACAAAGGGACAAUGUGUCCUGGAACGCAAUGCUGGCCGUUUAUGCCCGACGCGGGCAUAUUAUUCGAGCUACACGGCUGUUUGAGACGAUGCUCGAGCAACACAUCACUUCCUGGAGCGCUUUGCAAGCGGCAUACGCCCAAAACGGCCACUCUUUCCAAACUUUCGAGACCUUCGACAAGAUGGCGAUGGUGGAGUCACCCGACGAGAUCUGCUUCAUCCUCUAUCUCGUCGCUUGCAGCCAAGCCGGAGAAACUUUCAGAGGACGGUGUUGUUUCGUGUCGAUGGCGAUGGAUUUCGGCCUCCAGCCCGGAAAGCAGCACUACAGCUGCGUGGUAGACUUGCUUAGCCGAGCAGGAUACUUGUCCAGUGCCAAGGAACUCAUCCAAACCAUGCCUUACGUUCCGGGAGUGUGGGAGUGGACCUGCUUUCUAGGAGCUUGUCGGAGCUAUAGCGAUUCCUAUCACGGUUCCCAAGCUGCGAGCGUUGUUCUCGAGUCGUAUCAGCAGCUGGGAUCCGGCUAUGUGCUGCUUGCCAACACUUACUUCGGAUUCCAACCUGAGAGUGCUGUACAAACUCCGAAGCUCGAAAGCACAAAGCCUAGAGCAUGGGUGGAGUGUAACCCAAACUGUUGAGAUCAAUGUACUGCGUGGGUUCCUGUCUGUGCCUGUGAGCCUUGACGGCCGCCAGGAAUGCUCCUACUGCUAAAACGAGGAGUAGAAACCAGACCUGCGUGACGAGCCUGGUUGGCUUUCGUAUCGCCUCCGGACAAGCUCUGUGCCCCGGAAGAAUUUUUGGGACCAGCAGCAACGUUGACUACAGGGUGGAGUCCGUUCUGUAAAACCACGAGUGUAAAUCGAAAGAGAAAUGUAUGUUUUGCAUACCUCCAUCAUUCCGUGAGAGCUGAAUGACAAUUUGCUCGUAGAAAACCGAGGCAGGCUGUGAUCUUCCCUUGCACAAAUUGCAUUUUGUGCUGUCCAACGGUCCAUGGGAACCGGGAGGUGUCUGCUUCUGAGAAAAGGUGGCACACAGGCUUGUGCCAUAUUCCAAGAAAAAUCUCCUUGGCACUAAAGCCAGAGGUGGUCAUGUUGAAGAGAUUCUUCCCCAGAAAAAAAAUGCGCUUGGAGUGCGGCUAGAGCGGACGACUCUUUGGUUACGACAGAAGCUAGUGAACAAAUUAAAACGUGUAAGAACUUACAAGAAGUUCGUCCACAGCGUGAUCGAACAUUCCCGCACACCGAAAUUCCUGUUGCUGCUGUAUGUUACGACCAGAAGACAACUCUAGACUCAGAAAAUAAUUCUAUCGUCACCAAAUGGUGUUGUAGUUAUUUGUCUGAACAAGUCCACCUAAAGCAGUGUUGGAUAUCUACCAAUCUUACUCACAUCUGCUUCCUCAACCGCAGCAGUAACCAUUUCGCACUUUGCCACCUCUCGAGAGAAGAAUCUAGCUCUCAAAUUCUCUCUGGCAAUCGACCACGGGGCUUUGAGAUGGCCUACCGUAUGUCCCAAAAAUAUCAAAAAAUCUUAUUAACAUCUUGCAAAGAUCUGCUUUCUAUUUUCCAGAUUCGGAUCUGGAAAAUGGGAAGCAGAUUUUUGCAAGAUGCUUCAAUAUAGUUUGCAUAUUGAACAGGUGCUACCUUCCAUUCAGCUUUUGGUUUGACAUGAUUUAUGUGGGAUGGGAUGUGAAAUGAAGGUGAUUUUCUUCUAAGUAAAAAGAUCACUCUAGCUUACAACUCCUUCAGGAAAAUCACCGUCAUUCAAGAUCCCAUCCCAGAUCGCAAGGACAAAUCCUGGCAUCACGUCAGACCAAAGCUAGAUGCACCUGUUCAAUAUACAAACUCCGUGCUGUCGUGUUUAGAUGAGAUUGGACGUGGUUUGUAGCCGAUAAAGACUGCUGCGUCGCUGGCUGAUCUACUAUUUAUCUACAAGGAAUAUAAUGUCCCCUUAGGAUGCUGAUAUUGUCUUCGUUUGUACUGUAAAUUCUGGCCAGCUGGGUUUUUUCUUGCUAUUUGGUACUUGUUUCGCUUUCGUUAGAGCAGUCUGGAAAUCAGCAAGAGAAACGUGGGAUCUGGCAUAUCUGAAUUGUUCGAAUCUUUGCGAGUAUAUUACCAAGUGCGCCAGCCUCUCCAAAACCAUUCUCUAUUUCGCUAUGGCUCAGUCUAUCAAGUUUGCUCCUCUCAUUGCGCUGCUCCUUUGCAUUGCUGCCACUGCUGAAGUGCUUGACGUUCCAGGCGAGUUUUUCUUUGUCGAUGGAGCAGCCCGCCUACCGUCUGAAUGCAGGCCCGAGUCGCUGUGCUGCCCAAACAGCAAAUUCUGUCCCAAGGGCAAAUACUGCACCAUUUGCAUGCCCAGCAAUCCGCCUUUGUGCGUUUGCACAGAGGCUCCUCCGAACUGCGGAGUAGGCAGUAGCUGCUGCAGUGACGGGGACUGCCCAAAGGGAAAAGCUUGCAGCGUAUGCACUAAAUCGAUCCCACCUAUUUGUCGCUGUGGCCCUGAGCCUAAGAUCGUUCUUGUUUCCGAGUGAAACCGGCUACAGCCCAAAUAUAGAUCAUGUGGCGGUCAACCCUGUUGACUGUGUAAUAAGAGAUCUUUCAUAAUGAUAAUGUGGCUAUUUUUAACGUUCUUAUGGAUUAAUUUCAAUUUGGACCAUGGAGUUGGAAAACCUUCUAAAUUUAGUUUGGAAAGGAUAGUUUAAAAUUUGAAUGCAACCAUGAAAGUUGAUAUAGUCAAUGACAGUAAAUAAAUGUCUUCAAUCUCAAAAUGCUUCUAAGACUUCUCCAGGCUCUAACAAUAGUUUCAGUGUUAAAAGAUAUCAAAGCUUAUAAGCAAUUAGAAGAGACACCAAUGGAUUAAGAGAGUGAUGUGGUCUACUACCAAUGAAGUGGCGUACGACCUUAUGUUGUGAUUUGUUUGUGAUCAUAUCUUACUUGAAUUUGCUCUGGACAAACAAUCUCAAUGGUUUAGACUCAGUUCUUAUUUUUGUACAUUUGAGGUCAGUUACCAACAUCUUGUUGAAUAUUCAAGUAUUUACACAUUUUACAAAAUUUGCUAUGUGUUUUGCUUAAUAGUAGUGUUAUUCUUAUUUAUUAAUGAAAAUUUAAAUUAUAAACAUGUUUAUAAAUUAUAAAUAUAAGAUUAAUCUAAUUGUUAGAUAAUAAACCAUUCUAGAAUAUCCAAGUACAUUCUAGAUAUAUCCACUAUAGGUUUGAUUAAGCAAACCAAAACCUCAUAAACAUCCAUUACAUUAUUAAAAAGCUUGCAUAAACAUCCAAGAUGCAUCCAAGAAUGCAUUUUGGAUAUUCAAUAGAGUAAGAUAAACACAAAGAAUAAAUACAUAUGCUCUUACAUUAAAACUUUGGAAGUUUAGUUUCAAUUAAAUUUCCUUUUUUAAAAGUGAAAGUAAUUGUAUACAUCAAGCAAUUCACGGUUGCUCAUGUAACAAACUAAAAAUCUCUUUUAGCCAAAAAUCAUAUAAAAAUUAAACUUAUACAUUAUUUGAAAAAGUUGGUAUUGAGAAUGAAGAUGGUCCUUUAACACUUGAGUGUAAUACAAUUGUUAUAUAGCUUGAGUAAAAAAGAUUACAAAAGGUAUAUUAUAUGUGCCAACAUAUGGCAAAUGGUGGAAUCUCAUUUGUGAAUAAAAUUACUCUCAUUAAGACUUAUAUUCUAAAUAUACACUAAUAUUCUAUUGAAUAAAAGCAUAAAAAAGACACACAUAUUUACAUUAUAGUGCUCAAUAAUGGAAUGCCACUAUUAGUUAAUGAUUUUUUCCAUUUAAUACACUAAUAACACAUGUAAAUAAUAUAAAUAUUAAAUAAUAAAUUAUGUAUGUGAGGUCGCCAAGUGUAUGGUUACGAUGCCGUAUACUAUGGGAUUUUGGUAACUGUUGGAUUGGUUUUAAUCUGGACCACUUGCUUUUGUAUAUAAACUAGGGUAUUUGGGCUAAUUAAGAGGCAUGUUUUCUGUAUUCCCUUUCCAUAUUCCAAGCACUCACAUUAGUGGAGGUGAAGGGCAUCUUUUAUUGUCCCUAAGGAGUGUUUAAAUUUGGGAUUUUGAUUUAGAUAUAGAUUUUGCAUUGUCUAGAUUUAGUUUUUUCCAUUUCCUUUCUUUUGUUCUUUCCUUUUAGGAUUUUGGUUUAGAUUUAGCUUUUUGCAUUGUCUAGAUCUACCAUUUCCUUCUAGCUUUUUGUCAUUUCUUUUCUUUUGCUCUUUCUUUUUUGUUCAUCUUCAUGGCAAAUUAGCAAUCUCCUCCUUUGACUUUGGAGCAACAGUUGGUACAAUUGCUUGAUGCUAUGCGCUUGCAAUUGAACAACCAAACUCAGUUGAUGGCGGCGUUCACAACAUGUGGUACAACUCCUCUUGCUCUUGGUGCCAAUCCUUGCAUUUGGCCAGAGUUCUUUCGUGGGAAUCCUGAGGAUGAUGUGUACCAUUGGUUCAAUCACUUCACAGUGAUUGCCAUAUAUCAUUCUUGGCAUGAUGCUCGAUGUUUGCAUGACUUUCCCACAUGUCUCCAAGGGAUGGUGUUGCAGUGGUACAAUGGUUUGAGCGUAGCCACUUAUGGGGAUUGGAGUGUUCUCCCAUACAUCUUCAAACGUGUCUUCGGACAUGCUGAUGACUGUGAUGAUGCCUUCCAACAAUUACAUUGUCUUCGCCAAGGGCUAUCUGAGUCAGUGAUGCAAUUUGGCGUUUGUUUUCGAAGUCUUUUGCUUCGUGCAGAGCUAAAUAUGUCAGAGCGGAUCAAGCUAGGAAUGUUGAGGCUAGCACUUCAUCAAGAUCUUGUUGGACUUGUGUGCAUGCACUUGCUCCCACCACCCUUGAUGAUGCUCUUCGCUUGGCACAACGUUAUGAGAUGUCACCUCUUCCACUUUUCACUGCAAGUCCUUCAGCUCUACUUCCUAUGGGUGAUGGUUCUGUUCUAAUGGAGGUUGAUGCUGCUGCUGUUCGAGUCCAAGGACAAGGGCGAGGAAGUGGUCAUGGCUGUGAUGUUCACUGCUGGGUGUGUGAUGAAGUUGGUCAUACUUAUCAAUGUUGUUGGUGUUUUCCAAAUUGACGACCUCCAUUUCCUAGGUGGAGACCUUGGCAUCAGCAACGUCCCAUUGGUGCUAUUGCAGUGGAAGGUCUGUGUAAGUGACUAAAUUUUCCAUUCUACUUUAGUCACUUAACCACACCUCUGACCAUUUGGAGGAGUCUCACUCACAACCUUUGUAAGUCCUAUUUUGGACUUAGGGACUUACUAGCCCCAAGAAUGGCAUCCAUGCCACUCAACCAUUGCACUUGGUCUAAGUGCUUCACAUGUCCGAUCCCAUGACCAACACCCCAAGGUACCACCGACAUAUUAGCUCGUUAUGUUAAGGCCAUGCCCAUUUGCUUUGGUCAUACCGGUGGUCUAACACCACCUACAUCACAGUCUCGUCUCUUAAAGACUGGGCCAUCCGUCCAUGAGUGAUCAUCCCAGAUCCACUCCUUAGCAUCCUUAAAAUGCCUGCAAAUCUGGGGAAUAGCCUUCCCCAAUAUCCCUUUUCCGGUCCUUACCAAGUCCCUUUCUGCCCAUGGCCGUGUUCGCCAACAUUGCCAUUGGAUCGAGGCUCACAGGCCCGACCACUAAGUCUCACGGUCCUUUGGGACUUCUUCACCACACGACUGUAUCCUUGGUCACUACACUAGAGGACUACUCUUCUUCCUUUCCAUAGUCUGGGCCUUUGGGACAACAUUUCGGAACACCGUGGCCCUACGCGGGCCUCAUGGGUACUCUCCCUGCCUUCCGCCUUUGGGUGCUCUAGCCACAGGCUUAAAGCGAGGUUUUGUGAGCCACGCCAGGUAUCCAAGUAGGUAAUGCCACCCACAUUUGGACUGGGAGCAUCGACCAUUCGAUCUCCUGAGGGAACUAGAGCCGGCUCUUGAACACAUCACUAAGCUACCCCGUUUGUCGAUCCAUAUUCACUUUAGUCUUGGACUUCCCAGUGGUCAGCUCAUCACCCAACACUGGGUAUGGCCUUCCUGGGCCAAAUUGGCCUUUCUUGGCCAAAUUGGCUCCACUAGGCUCCAACCCCCACACUCUCCCUACUAUACUUUUGGAACCCCCCGUAGCGCCCCCCCCCCCCCUUGGGGGACGAUUGCUUUGGGCUUUCACCCAACAACCUAUAUUAGUAUUCAGACUUGGACUUGGACUCGGUCCCAGUUUCGGACUCGGACUUCCAGCUUCACUUUGGGGCUUAGGGAUUUUGUGUCUCACAACUCCACCACCCAUAGACGAAGUUCAAUGUCCUCAUCAAACAAUAAACUAUUUUAUAAAGUAAUACCAACAUGUAUUACCCUUUCCAUUCUUGGCACCUUACCAAUAUUCGUCAAUGGUUUAAUACCGAAGGCUCACCAUGCCUUGCCCAUCCUCUAAGGAGUAUAGUCUCUCCAACUUAGAGAUUGAUUGGACCACUUGUGGUGGUUUACCGUGCCUUGCCCUCCACUCCUGAGCUCUAUUACCACUCGAUAGAGCUUCUUCAGUGCCGGCAGCUCCACAACUUUGCCCAUAUUUUAAACCAUCACCGCACUCUAGUGAGUUGGGACUCAAACCCAAGCACUAAAGGGUUGGGACUUGAACCUAAGCUUUGUAUAUGCAUCUACAGAAGGCAUCAUCCAAAAUGCCUGGUGUGACUCCCCACGCCGGUGCACCAACUUAUAGUUAAAGCGCAUUACAAAUCACAACUUAGGAAUCUAGUUCUUUUGCACUGCCAAGUCCUCUCACUUGACAAGCUGUGAUCAUGCAUGGACUCCUUCAUGCUUAGCCCCACGGGCCACCCCUUUGAAGUUGGCUCCUUCAACUAGGGUAUUUGUUCCCCCGACUUGCCAAUCUCACUUAACAAGUCAUUCGACCACCGUAACAUGGUUCAUGCAUAAGCAUGAAAGUCCUUAACUAUCGACUUUCGUUCAAAGCCCUCUCUUUGAACACUCGGGAACUACUUCCCUAACCUUGAUAGCCUCGCCUCUUGGCAAGCUUCAAGACCACGCUUUUGCUGUGCCACUCUGAUUUCGCACGCUCUAUGAACCAUUUGCACUUAGUUUUCUAGGUACUAAGUUACCUAGAAUUGUAUUUGGGAACCUUUGAAGGAACUAUAUCCCUUAACUUGCUAAGGCCUUUCCUUUCGCAAGCUUUUAAAUUGCUAUAUGGUCUAAUAUGGACAAUUCCAUACUUUAGACUCUCCAUGGCAUCACGGUUGCUAGUAACAACAUGCUUGAGCACCCACUUGAUUCUCCAUUCCUAACUGGUAUAACCACCCUUGGUUAUGCAAUUCAAUGCUUAUGGUUUGAUUCUAUCCCUUUACUACUUGCCUUUGGCCUCACACCUUUCCUUCAAUUAUUCUCCUCCAGAUUUAGGAGGAUAGCUUUGCACUUUCUACUAUGCUGUAGCAAGUAUUUUUAGGGAUGAACCUACCCGAUAGCCUAGGGAGUGGUUCCUUAAUCCGAGUAUGCUCAACUUAUAAUCCCACAUAUCUUAUGGGCUUUUAUAUGCCUAUCACUAGCCUUGCUAAAAUUCCAUUUUGGCUUUGUCCAAUUCGGGUAGAUAGUUUUCUUUUGUCUCCACAACCUUGGAUGUCUGGAUAACACCUUCUAUCCAUCAUUCGCUAAGGACUUAAUUCCUUGGGCCUUAUCUAUUGCCUUCGCGACCCUAAACACCACCUCCUGGUGUCCUAGAGUGUUUAGGUGUCCUAAUGAUGGCCUCCUUGACAAUGAGCAUUUUCUUUUAUGACAUUGACUCAUUAUAUUGCAACAUAAGCAAUUUUUCCCUUGUAAGGGUAUAUUUAACUUCUUUAUGCCAUUAAGAAAUCUUGGGUAACUACCUUCUACCCAUUUAAUCAAUUAUCUUGCACUUUUUGUUUAGUUGCCUCAUAGUUGUCAAAUCUUACAACUCAUUGUUUGGUGCUUCCACACCUCCAUCAUUAUCUGGGUCACCACACUCCAACCACAUGCCUUCUAACUUAAGCCAUGCCAUUCCCAUUUCCAUUAGGACUCCUUUAGGAAGGGGUUCUCAUGAACCUACUAACUUGACCUCAAGGCAUCGUGCUUUGGUACAUUCGGUGUCUCCACACCAUUGGCUUUACAAGCCUACCCUUAUGACACUACCCACUCAUGUCCGGGUCUUUGCCAAAACCAAAAUAGUUGUUUCUCAUGCCAACUAUCAGUUAGCAUGGCACCAUCAUAUUCACACACAACUCUAUGCCAAAGUUGUUUUCUUCUAGGAACACCUUUUCCAUAACUUUAGUAUGGCACAUUUUGCCAUCGAUGAGAUACCUACUGUUCUCAUACUUGGAUCUUAUAAUCCUCCCCAUCCUUAACAGGUUGUGGCUUGCCCGUUAACUUGAUCCAGCCGUUGGCAACCAUCGGAUCGAGUCAUGUUCUCUGCGAGAAUUUUACUAUUGUCAACCACAUUCUCCAGAAUGUGGCUGACAGCUACCAGGUUCUGGAGAUUGUGGCUGACAGCUACUAGGUUCUGGAGAAUGUGGCUGCUGUCAUCCAGGUUCUAGAGAACUUGGCUGCCAAUAACCACAUUCUCCAAUUAAACGAGAUGCAAUUGCUUUUUUAUUUUUUCAUCAAAGCAAGCUUGAACACUUUGGCUAUGACCAUUGACUACAAUCACAUAAUUACUCACAGUACAAUGGUGAAAUGUGGUGGUGCUCGUCGGUAGUGCUAAAGCUUUUGUAGCUCUUGGAUCUUUUGCAAGAGCUAAAAGUAGCUCAUUGUCGUCAAGAUCUACCAAAAGUUAGAAAUAAAGAAUUCAAAUCAAAUAAACUUUACCUUUGUCUCUAGAAAUGACUGAUUCCUGCUACUCGCCAUGCUCUGGCAUAGGCUCUAGCACAGUCUCGUGCACAGUCUCGUGUUGCUUGUCGUGUCCACUUGAAACAAAGAGAAAACUAAAUUGAAAGAAAAAAGGAAAGAAAGAAUUUUCUUACCUUGCUGCUCUUCAAUCACAUCCAAAACUUGGUGGUGAUUCAGUUCCUGUUUGUGGAUCUCUUCUCUUGGAGAAGGUUGUUGCUGCCUAGGACCACCUAAAAUUGAGAAAAGAGAAAAGUCCAUUAUAAAGAUUAUAAAGUUUUUGGUUUUCUUACCAAAAUUUUGUUGUUGCUGCUCAUGAAUUUGAGUCUGUUGAUUGUCAUUUCCACCUGAAUUGAAGAGUGUUAAACCUCCACAAAGCUUUGAAUUACCAAAAGAAACAAGAUGGCAAUCUUGAAGAUCCAAUGGAUCUUCAUUUAAAGGUUUACCAGCCUCAUAGCACCGUACAAUAUACUCCGAUGCUUUUCUAAAUUCGUCCUGGUAGUUUUUCAAACGACCAGUACGAUCAUACCAGUUAUAUAGAACAUAUGACAUUGCCAUUCUCCUUGCUUUCCUGGAGUGAUCGUACCUGUUAAAAAAAGAGGCAUUAAUGAUAAAAUGGUUAGCAAAAACCUAAUUGUUCCAUGUUUUCCACCCUUUUGUGUCCCGUCAGCUUCAUACAAUCUUCCAUUGGAGUGUUGCAAAUACUCAUAGUUGUAAUUACUGAGUGUUGAAUAUCUUUCACUGAAAGGCUCAAACCUAGAGAAAAUGAAUUAUGAGAAAACAAGAAAGCAGUUAGUUAACUACCUGUUUUUGUGGCAACCAAUUUUACUACUUCAGAGAUCUUAUGCUCUCCUAUCCGUGCCCCUCGACGGUACCAAUUAUUAGUCCUGUUGAAACAGUUGUUACAAGCCAGGAAAAACGGCUGCUUGUUCAAGUCCUCCCCAUCACCAACUGCUGGAUGCUUAUCAAAAAAAAGCUUGAAUGCCUUGUAGACUAAGGGAGCAGCUAUUUCAUAGAGAUCCACAGCAGGCUGCCGAUCCAUGCUCUUACAAUUCAUUAGAUCCACUUGGUAGUUUUUGGAAACCACGUUGGUUGAAUCUGAGGCAAAAAAAAUUCUGAUUAGAACCGACAAGAACAAAGAAAACAAAUAAGAAACUACUCAACUGGAUAUAGCAACCAACAACAUCCUCCAAAAGUGUAAAAUCAGUGAAUCGCACAUGUACAAGAAAGAAAUUCAUGCAGAAUAGUACAACUAACCAAAAACAGUCCAUUAGGACUGUUAGGUAGGAACUCUGGCAACGUGAGAACUACCUUAAGCUCAACCAUCGACAAGUACACAUGCUUUGACCUUGUACUUGUUGGCCUUGUAGUUUCUAGUGCUGCUUUUUGAAUUAUAUGGCUAGUAGCAUUCCUAGAAUAAACAAACCAAACCAAACAUAUUAGAACACAAACCACAACAAAAAGAACAAAAAAAGCAAGAUACCUUGCUGUAAGAAACCUUGGAUCAUUCAGGAUGUCAACUUCUUCUUCUAAAACUCCUGUUCUUGCAACUCGGGCUUCUCUUGCCAGCUUCAAUACUCAGUUAAAGCAAAAAAACAUAUCCCUCAGAGUUGCUGGAGGGUAAGGCUUCCCAUCGUCUCUCAAAACAUGCUUGUAGAACAAUGCAAGCUGGUGGGAGACCUCCUACAAUCAGAGAAAGAUUUAGUCAUAAAAAUCAAAAGAAAAAAUAAGAAACAACCUUUGCAGGAAGUUCCUCAAUCAGUCUCAAAUCCUGUAAGGAAAACUCUGGGCCCUAUGCCUUGCGCCAUGCAUAAAACUUUGAUGUUGCCCACUCAUUCUUCUUUCGGGUCCCUGCUGGUAUAACCAAUUCCAAUGGGUUCUCGUCCUCCUCAUUCGGAACAAUUUGUCGAAAAUGUUGGCAGCCAACCUGCAUCAACAAACAAUUUCAACCUGGAGCAUCUAACCAAAAAGCACUUACCUCUCUCCGACCAUGCCGACCACGCCCACUACGCCCACCGUGAUUCCUCCAAGGACAAACCUAUCAAACUCAAACGAUUGCAAGUGAGUAAGCAAGAAUACAUAAUAACUAGAGAACUGAAUUCAAGAAAGGAGCUGCGUUCUCAACAAGAUCAGCAGCAUUCUGGGACAAUCCCAGAUCAAAUGAAGGAGGAUCCAUCUACAGAUAGACAAAAUCGAGAGGAUUGAGAAGGAAAAACUAUGAAAUCCAGAGAAAACCAGGAAAUGAGGGCAAACCGGGAUUAUCAACUCUCAAGCUGCUCUCGAUGCACACAAGCUCCUAUUGCCUUGAGUGCCACAAGAAACCACUGCAAAAUUCCUGAAACACACGGACAAGGAGCAGAUCUGGAUCAAUCUAGCUACUAUGCCUCAGAUCUGACCUUGGCAAGCUGGUGCCGCCCUGCCGCUGCUGCUGACGCCUUGUUGCUACUGCUGCUGCUGACGCCUUGUUGCUACUGCUUCCGCCUUGCCACUACUGCUAUUGCUUCCAAGAGAAUCUGACAGCCUCACAGCGUCGGCACAAAAAACCCUAAAACCCUAGAAAACAUGUUAUAUAUGACUUUUAGCCACGUGUUCUAUGUUCAUUUGACCACUCCCAUCCUCGAAUAACGUUAUUCCAUGUGUCCGUUAACGGUCUCGCCACAGCCCAUUAAGGCCGUUCCUGGGCACGGGCUCGCACGUUCCCUCCAGAACGCACUCGCCGGGCUAACGCCUGGCUCGCCCGUUCUGGGCGGGAACAUGCUCGCCCUACCUGGGAACUCCUUCUUCAAGGGGUACAACACACCUCAGUCCAAAUGCUUUUACGAAUCCCUUAAGACCAUUCCUUGACUCUACCCAAGUUAUCCAGCAUUUCAAGACUUCGAUAAUCCAAUGACCCGUAAAUUCCUAUCUUGAGGUGCUAGCUCGUUGGAAAUACAACUUCGUGUAUUCAUGUCCUACUCAUAAGGACCACCACCUCGCUUACAAGUUCACACAUGAACUGUAGUGGAGAGUCAUGUCUUCCCGACUUGCUACUCCUCAAGGACAGACCCACUCCUAGGACCUUCCGAUGCCAAAACCAGUGGUGAUAUACUUAAGCACCAAUAAAAGUUAGACUAAGGAAUAGCUCCGAUACCAAAUUGUAAGCGAUUAAAUUUUUCAUUCUACUUUAGUCACUUAACCACACCUCCGACCACUUGGAAGAGUUUCACUCACAACCUCCAUAAGUCCUAUUUUGGACUUAGGGACUUAUUAGCCCCAAGAAUGGCAUCCAUGCCACUCAACCAUUGCACUUGGUCCAAGUGCUCCACAUGUCCGAUCCCAUGACCAACACCCCAAGGUACCACCAACAUAUCAGCCCGUUAUGCUAAGGCCAUCCCCAUUCGCCUUAGUCACACCGGUGGUCUAACACCACCUACAUCAUAGUCCCGUCUCUCAAAGACUGGGCCAUCCAUCCAUGAGUGAUCAUCCUAGAUCCACUCCUUAGCAUCCUUAGGAUGCCCGCAAACCUGGGGAAUAGCCUUCCCCAAUAUCCUUUUUCCGGUCCUCACCAAGUCCCUUUCUGCCCAUGGCCGUGUUCGCCAACACUGCCACUGGAUCGAGGCCCACAGGCUCGACCACUAAGUCCCACAGUCCUUUGGGACUUCCUCACCACAUGACUAUAUCCUUGGUCACUACACUAGAGGGCUACUCCUCUUCCUUUCCACAGUCUGGGACUUUGGGACAACAUUUCGGAACACCGUGGCCCUAUGCGGGCCUCAUGGGUACUCUCCCUGCCUUUUGCCUUUGGGUGCUCUAGCCACAGGCUUAAAGUGAGGUUUUGUUAAGCCACGCCAGGUAUCCAAGUAGGUAGUGCCACCCACAUUUGGACUGGGAGCAUCAACCAUUCGAUUUCCCGGGGGAACUAGAGCCGGCUCUUGAACACUUCACCAAGUUACCCCGUUUGUUGGUCCGUAUUCACUUUAGUCUUGGACUUCCCAGUGGUCAGCUCAUCACCCAACACUGGGUAUGGCCUUCCUGGGCCAAACUGGCCUUUCCUGGCCAAAUUGGCUUCAUUGGGCUCCAACCCCCACACUCUCCCUACUAUACUGUUAGAACCCCCCGCAGCCCCCCCGCCCCCCCCGGGGGACGAUCACUUUGGGCUUUCACCCAACAGCCUAUAUUAGUAUUCGGACUCAGACUCGGACUUGAACUUGGACUCGGACUCGGUCUCGGUUCCGGUUUCAGACUCGGACUCGGUCUCAGUCUUGGUCUCAGUCUCGGUCUCGGUUCCAUCUCGGACUCCAUCUCGGGUCCAUCUCGAACUCCAUCUCGGACUCCAUCUCGGGUCCAUCUCAGACUCCAUUUCGAACUCUAUCUCGGGUUCAGGUCCAUCUCGGACUCCAUCUCGGGUCCAUCUCGAGUCCAUCUCGGACUCCAUCUCGGGUCUAUCUCAGACUCCAUCUCGAGUCCAUCUCGGGUCCAUCUCAGACUCCAUCUCGGACUCCAUCUUGGACUCCAUCUUGAGUCCAUCUCGAAUCCCUUUUCUAGAGACUCACUUAUCACUCACUUUGUGCUUGUUCCUCGAGCACUUUGUUGGGAGUUCCACUCCCAUUCUCGACCUUUCAAGUAGGAGCUUUUGGUCCAAAUGUGUAACGCUCGUUUGGCUUUCACUUCAGCCACUACCACGUGGCACCCUUCCGGCUCCACUUUGGGGCCUAGGGAUUUUGUGUCUCACAGUUUGGACAUCGAGAUGUAUCCGGGAAAUGAAGAGUCACACGAGUAACGAAGGGACCUUGCGUGAAUAAAUUAGAAAUAGAUAUAUUAAUUAGGGUUUAGACCUGACCCCUCUAUAAGUGACUAAUUUUUCCAUUCUACUUUAGUCACUUAACCAUACCUCCGACCACUUGGAGGAGUCUCAUUCACAACCUCCAUAAGUCCAAUUCAGGACUUGGGGCUUGCUUGCCCCGAAAAUGGCAUCCAUGCCACUCAACCUUUGCAUUUGGUCCAAGUGCUCCACGUGUCCGAUCCCAUAAUUGACACCCCAAGGUACCACCAACAUGUCAGCCCGUUACGCUAGGCCAUGCCCAUUCACCUUGGUCACAUCGGUGGUCCAACACCACAUGCAUUGCAAUCCCGUCUUUCCAAGAUGGGGCCAUCCGUCCAUGAGUGGUCAUCUCAUAUCCACUCCUUAGCAUCCUUAGAAUGCCUGCAGACAUGGGGAAUAGCCUUCCCCAAUAUCUUCUUUCUGGUCUUCACCAAGUCCUUUUUUGUCCAUGGCCGUGCUCACCAACACGGCCAUUAGAUCAAGGCCCACAGGCCCAACCACUAAGUCCCAUGGUCCUCUAGGACUUCCUCACUAUGUGACUAGGUCUUUGGUCACCACACCAAAGGGCUACUCCUCUUCCUUUCCACAGUUUGGGACUUUGGGACAACAUUUCGGAACACCGUGGCCCUACGCAGGCCUCAUGGGUACUCUCCCCACCUUCCGCCUUUGGGUGCUCUAGCCAUGGGCUUAGAGCGAGGUUCCAUUGAGUCACGCCAGAUAUCCAAGUAGGUAGUGCCACCCACACUUGGACUGGGAGCAUCAACCAUUCGAUCUCCCGGGGGAACUAAAGCCGGCUCUUGAACACUUCACCAAGCUACCCCGCUUGUCGGUCCGUAUUCACUCUAGUUUUGAACUUCCUAGUGGUUAUCCCAUCACCCAACACCUGGGUACAGCCUUCCUGGGACAAACUGGCCUUUCCUAGCCAAACUGGCUCCACUGGAGUCCUCCCCCUUACUAUACUUUUGAAGCUCACCAAACCCCCCAGGGUCUGGGAGACAAAUGCUUUGGGCUUUCACCCUCUCAGACUCAAACUCGGACUUGGACUCGGACUCAGACUCGGACUCAGACUUGAACUCGGACUCAAACUCAGGCUUGGUCUCAGCCUUGGCCUCGAUCUCGGUCUCAAUCCCGAUCUCGGUCUCAAUCUCGGUCUCGGUCUCAGUCUCGGUCCCGGUCUCAGUCUCGACCUCGGACUCCAUCUCGGGUCCUUCUCGGACUCCAUCUCAGAUUCCAUUUCGGGUCCAUCUCGGACUCCAUCUCGGACUCUGUCUCGGUCCAUCUCGGACUCCAUCUCAGACUCCAUCUUGGGUCCAUCUCGGACUCCAACUUGGGUCCAUCUCGAGUCCAUCUUGGACUCCAUCUCAGACUCCAUCUCGGGUCCAUCUCAGACUCCAACUCGGGUCCAUCUCGGGUCCAUCUCGGACUCCAUCUUGAUUCCAUCUCGGACUCUAACUCAGGUCCAUCUCAGGUCCAUCUCAGACUCCAUCUCAGACUCCAUCUCGGGUCCAUCUUGGACUCCAACUCGGGCCCAUCUCGGGUCCAUCUCGGACUCCAUCUCGGACUCAUCCACGUGUCACAUGGUGGUCCUUUUUGGGUCCCUUUUUGGAGCCUCGCUUAUUGCUUGCUUCGUACUCAUUCCUCGAGCCCUUCGUUGGGAAUUCCACUCCCACUCUCGACCUUUUAAGUUGGAGCUUUUGGUCCAAACGUGUUACACUCGUUUGGCUUUUGCUUCGGCCGCUACCACGUGGCACCCUUCCGGCUCCACUUUGGGGCCUAGGGAUUUUGUGUCUCACAACUCCACCACCUAUAGACAAGGUUCGAUGUCCUCAUUGAACAGUAAACCCUUUUAUAAAGUAACACCCACAUGUAUUAUCGUUUCCAUCCUUGGCACCCGGCCAAUAUUUGUCUAUGGUUUGACACCGAAGGCUCACCAUGCCUUGUCCAUCCUUUAAGGAGCAUAGUCUCUCCAACAUAGAGACUUAUUCGACCACCUGAGGUGGUUUGCUCCCUUUUAUUGGUUCAGUUUUCGCUAAACCCGUUAGAGACACCUUCUCUAACUCAAUCCCACUACUCAUUUUCGAGUAGUCUCAAAUUCCAUCGACAUAACCUUUGCACUUUGAAACUUUUACUUUUGACUUCUUGAAGUCAAUUUCUUAGGUGUCUUCGACACUUUGCAUUACACAUCUUGUGCAACUCCACUUCCCCAUCCUAAGAAGUUCUUUACUUGAGGGCACCAUCAUCCUCUCUUCUAUUUCAUGCCUACUUGGGCACUAAGUUUUAGUUAUCAAAAUUUGUGUUAAGGCUGUCCAUGGCCCUAUCAUUUGGUUACCUUACCGCUCCCUCCCUUGGAACUUCCACUUUCGCCAAAUCGGAGCAAUUGAGAAUCCAUCUUUGGAAACACCUUGCCUUUCCCACAAUUUGUUAGCCCCUAACACAUUAGUGUUCUUGGCCUAACUUUGCCUUUUGGAUUCUUUCCCAUGGUUCCCAUGGCUUUUUUCUUAGCCAUUAGUUUUUUGCUUCUAUCCUUGAUUGUUGCAUCGGAUCACUACUUCCAUUCUCGAGGUAUCCUUUCAAUUCCAUAGCAAAGACUUUGUUUUGCCAAGUCCAGAGGGUGUUUACCCCUAGUAUGUCUCUUUAUCAUUUUCUACUAUGGCUUUAUUCAUAACCCAAUUUAGUGACCCUCUCAUAAGUCUUUUAUAGAGAUUACUUUCCUCGGAUUCACUAUGCCAUCGCAUAGGCAUUGGUUAUUUCCCUUAGGUGUUCUUCCCACUUGGUCAUCUUGACCAAGCCACACCAUCAUAAACAGUUCAAAUCAACACUUUGAACCAGGAACUUCAUUCCUUAGCCAACCAAGGACCUUAUCAUUAUUUAGCCACAAGAUCACCUAGUGAUCUCACUUUGGCACCUUAACAGAGUUGUCAAGAGGUACUUUGUCUUUUAGAUCUUCAAGUUGUUGACCAUGACCCCGGGGGCAUCCCCACACUUGGCAGUGCACCCAUGCCAGCCCUUACGGCCAAGGGUCCAUAGCAACUGAGAUUAGGUGUCCCUAUCUCACUCACCACGUCCUUGGUGCCACUUGCACCAAAUGUUCAAGUUAGAUAUGUCGAGCUUUCACACUAAGCAAUUUAACUGUGCAUCACCACUCCAAGGCAUCCCUCGCUUGGUGGUGUGCCCAAACCAGUCUCUUCACUGAGAGUCCAUGACCACCGAAAAAUGAGUGUCCUCAUAUUCCAAACCAUCACCAUGCCCUAGUGAUUUGGGACUCGAACCCAAGCACUAGAAGGUCGGGACUCCAACCCAACCUUCGUAUAUGCAUCUACGGAUGGCAUCGCCUAGGAUGCCUGGCAUGACUCCCCACGCCGGUGCACCAACUUAUACUUAAAGAGCGUUAUAGAUCACAACUUAGGAACCUAGUUCCUCCGCACUGCCAAGCCCUUUCACUUGACAUGUCUGUGAUCAUGCAUGGACUCCUCCAUGCUUGGCCCCAUGGCCACCCUUUUUGAAGGCAGCACCUUCAAGUAGGGUAUUUAUUCCCCUGACUUGUUAAUCUCAUCUAGCAAGUCAUCUGGCCACCGUAACAUGGUUCAUGCAUAAGCGUGAAAGUCCUUAACCAUCGAUUUUCAUCAAAGCCCUCUCUUUGAACACUCGGGAACUACUUCCCCAACCUUGAUGCCCUCGCCUCAUGGCAAGCUUCAAAACCACGCUUCUGCUGCGCCACUCCAAUUUCGCGCGCUCUAAGAACCUUUUACACUUGCCUUUCUAGGUACUUAUCUACCUAGAAUUGUCUUCAGGAACCUUCAAGGAACUUUGUUCCUUAGCUUGCUAAGGCUUAUCUUUUUUUGCAAGCUCCCUAAUCACCAUAUGGUUUAAUUUGGAUAAUUCCACAUUUUAAACUCUCCAUGGCAUCGCGUUCGUUAAUAACAACCCGCUCGAGCACCCACUUGAUUCUCCACUCCCAACUCGUAUAACCACCCUUGGUUAUGCCCUUUGAUUUCUAUGGUUCGGUUCCAUCCCUUUACUACUUUGCUUUUUGGCCUCAUAUAUUUCCUUCAGUUAUUCUCCUCUAGACUAGGAGGAUAGCUUGGCACUUUCUACUAUUCCUUAGCAAGUAUUCAUAAGGAUGAACGUACCUGAUAGCUUAGGGAGUAGUUCCUCAAUCCAGGUAUGCUCACCUUGUAAUCCCAUACACCAGGAUUACAUUGCUACUCAUGGGCCUUUAUAUGCCCAUCAUUAGCCUUGCCAAAAUCCCUUUUUGGCUUUGUCAAAUUCGGGUAGAGAGAUUUUUCCCGUCUCUGCAAUCUUAGACAUUUGGAUAGCACCUUCUAUCUAUCAUUUGCUAGGGACUUUGUCCCUUGGGCCUUAUUCAUUGCCCUCAUGACACAAACACCAUCUCUUGGUGUUCUAGAGUGCUUAGGUGUCCUAAUGAUGACCUUUUUGACAAUGAGCAUUCCUUUUACGACAUUGAUUUACUAUAUCGUAACAUAAGCAAUUUAUCCCCCAUAAGGGUAUAUCCAACUUCUUUAUCCCAAUAAAAAUCUUAGGUAGUUAUCUUCUACCAAAUUAACCAAUUAUUUUGCACCUUUUGCUUAGUUACCUCAUAGUUGUCAAGUCCUACAACACAUUGCUAGUGCUUCCACACUUCCAUCAUUAUUUGGGUCACCACACUCUAAUCACCUGCCUUCUAGCUUAGGCUAAAUGUGGCAAGGCGUGUUUCUUUGAGGUUAAGUUGGCGAGUUUAUGAAAAACCCUUCCAAAUGAAUCUAAUGGAAAUGGGAAUGGCAUAGGUGUUUCCACACCAUCGGCUCCACAAACCUACCUCUAUGACACUUCUUACUUGUGUCUAGGUUUUUGCCAAGACGAAUAUAAUGGUCUCUUAUGCCAACUAUCCAUUAGCAUUACACUAUAAGAUUUAUGCACAACUUUGUGUCAAAGUUGUUUUCUUCGAGAAACUCUUUCCCACGAUUUUAGCAUGGCAUAUUCUGCCAUCAAUGAGAUACCCAUUAUUCUCAUGCUUGGAUCUUAAUAUCCUCCCCAUUCCUCGUGGGGUACAACACACUUUAGUCCAAAUACUUCCAUCAAUCCCUUAGGAUUAUUCCUCGACUCUACUUGAGUCAUCCCGCUUUUUGGACUUUGCUAAUCAAACGACCGUGUGGUCCUACUUUUGAGGUGCUAGCUCACUGAAAUACAACUUCAUGUAUUCAUGUCCUACUCACAAGGACCGUCUUUGCAAGUGUUACUCUAACACUUGAUUUUGUUAUCUGGGGCCAACUUUUGCCCCUUAUGACUACUUGUUUAUGUGAUGAGAAUAUCAACUCAUCCUCUAAGUGCACCCCCAACUCCUUGGGUUGUUCCUGCAUUUAUUAAAGAUAGCCCCGCUACCAUUUCAAGGACUUGUGUCCUCUUCCGUAUUUGACAUCUCGUGGUCAUUACUUCUAGUCUCACAUUCAUGAGCACCAACCUCAACUAUAUGAGGAUAAUCUUGUCACUCCUUUAUUGCUUUGGAGUCUUUAUCUUUCCCGUGAUCCUAACUGUAGUUGUUUACCACAACUACAUUAGCUGGUUUUCUAAGUCAAACGCUCAUCUAGAUCCCAUCCUCAACUCUCUGAGGAAACCUUUAUACUGUUCCCAAGAUCCCAUAGUCGUUCCAUUAUUGCCCCUUUUAUGUCCACUACAUCACCCCAAGUUCACAUAUGAACUUGAGUGGAGAGCUAUGUCCUCUCGACAUGCUACUCCUCAAGGAUAGGCCCACUCCUAAGACCUUCUGAUGCCAACAUCAAUAGUGAUAUACUUGAGCACCAAUAAAAGUCGAACUAAGGAACAGCUCCGAUACCAAGUUGUAAGCAACUAAUUUUUCUAUUCUACUUUAGUCACUUAACCAUACCUCCGACCACUUGGAGGAGUCUCAUUCACAACCUCCAUAAGUCCAAUUUAGGACUUGGGGCUUGCUUGCCCCGAAAAUGGCAUCCAUGCCACUCAACCUUUGCACUUGGUCCAAGUGCUCCACGUGUCCGAUCCCAUGAUCGACACCCCAAGGUACCACCAACAUGUCAGCCUGUUAUGUUAGGCCAUGCCCAUUCACAUUGGUCACAUCGGUGGUCCAACACCACAUGCAUUGCAAUCCCGUCUUUCCAAGAUGGGGCCAUCCGUCCAUGUGUGGUCAUCUCAUAUUCACUCCUUAGCAUCCUUAGAAUGCCCGCAGACAUGGGGAAUAGCCUUCCCCAAUAUCUUCUUUCUGGUCCUCACCAAGUCCUUUUCUGUCCAUGGCCGUGCUCACCAACACGGCCAUUGGAUCAAGGCCCACAGGCUUGACCACUAAGUCCCAUGGUCCUCUAGGACUUCCUCACCGUGUGACUGGGUCCUUGUUCACCACACCAGAGGGCUACUCCUCUUCCUUUCCACAGUCUGGGACUUUGGGACAACAUUUCGGAACACCGUGGCCUUACGCGGGCCUCAUAGGUACUCUCCCCGCCUUCCGCCUUUGGGUGCUCUAGCCACGGGCUUAGAGCGAGGUUUCAUUGAGCCACGCCAGGUAUCCAAGUAGGUAGUGCCACCCACACUUGGACUGGGAGCAUCGGCCAUUCAAUCUCCCGGGGGAACUAAAGCCGGCUCUUGAACACUUCACCAAGUUACCCCGCUUGUUAGUCUGUAUUCACUCUAGUUUUGAACUUCCUAGUGGUUAUCCCAUCACCCAACACCUGGGUACAGCCUUCUUGGGACAAACUGGCCUUUCCUGGCCAAACUGGCUCGAGUCCUCCCCCUUACUAUACUUUUGGAGCUCACCAACCCCCCAAGGUCUGGGAGACGAACGCUUUGGGCUUUCACCCUCUCAGACUCAAACUCGGACUUGGACUCGGACUCAGACUCGGACUCAGACUCAGACUCAGACUUGGACUCGAGCUCGGUCUCGGCCUCAGCCUCGGUCUCGGUCUCAAUCCCGAUCUCGGUCUCGGUCUCGGUCUCGGUCCCGGUCUCGGUCUUGACCUCGGACUCCAUCUUGGGUCCUUCUCGAACUCCAUCUCGGAUUCCAUCUCAGUCCAUCUCGGACUCCAUCUCGAACUCCAUCUCGGUCCAUCUCGGACUCCAUCUCAAACUCCAUCUCGGACUCCAUCUUGGGUCCAUCUCGGACUCCAACUCAAGUCCAUCUCGGGUCCAUCUCGGACUCCAUCUCGGGUCCAUCUCGGGUCCAUCUCGAACUCCAUCUCGGACUCCAUCUUGAUUCCAUCUUGAACUCCAUCUCGAGUCCAUCUUGGGUCCAUCUCGGACUCAUCCACAUGUCACGUGGUGGUCUUUUUGGGUCCCUUUUUGGAGCCUCGCUUAUUGCUCGCUUCAUACUCGUUCCUCGAGCCCUUCAUUGGGAGUUCCACUCCCACUCUCGACCUUUCAAGUCGGAGCUUUUGGUCCAAAUGUGUUACACUCGUUUGGCUUUCGCUUCGGCCACUACCACGUGGCACCCUUCCGGCUCCACUUUGGGGCCUAGGGAUUUUGUGUCUCACACCCUCCCACAUGUUUUUGAUGAGCUUGUUGUUCUGGCAUCUGUGGAUUUUUUAGACAAGGAUUCUGUGCUGUCGGCAGUUGUUGUACUCGACGUUCAGUGUCUGUAAGGUGCAGAGCAGGAUCUACCUUCUCUUGAUGAGGUUCACGAAGCUCAAAAACUUGAGCCAUGGAUACGAAGGCUUUGAGAUGGGUUUGAGAAUUCUACAUCCCUUGCUGAUGACUUGCCAUUUUGGCAUUUACAUUCUCAGUAUCGCUUUGAAGAUGGCCUUAUUUAUUUUGUGGGGACAGAUCCUAAUGAUCAUUUACGGAUGGUGGUGCCUUCUGUCUUUAUUCUGAGGUUUUUCCAUUCCUACCACAAUUCUCCUAUUCUAGGUGGGCAUAUAGGACAUCAUCGUGUAUCAUAGAAGCUACGUAGGUCUUUUUAUUGGCCAGAGAUACGACAUGAUAUUAUCAAGUAUGUGGAUAGUUGUGUUUGGUGCCAAGGUCGUAAUACUCCCUCUCGUGCUGCAGAAGGACAGUUGGAGUCAAUUGUAAUUUCCCGUCCGUUUGAGUUGGUGGCAUUUGAUCUUAUGAGACUUUUUCCACGGUUGAUUGCUAGCAAUGAGUAUGUUAUUAUUGCUUCUAACUACUUGACUCGUUGGGUGGAAAUUGGUGUUCUUGCUAGCGCCUCUACAACUGCUAUUGGAUACUUCCUCCUCAAUCGACUGGUGUUCCAGCAUUCUUGUCCAGAGCGGAUUCUUUCAGAUAAUAGUCCCGCAUUUAUGGUUGAGGCAUUUCAUGUUUUGACGUCUCAGUUGGGGAUACACCACACUUUCACGAGUGCUUAUCAUCCACAAUUAGACAGUCUAGUGGAAUGGCUUGUUCGGACAUUCAAACGAAUGAUUGCAAAGUAUGUGAACUUUCAACAUUCAGAUUGGGAUGGUUAUUUGCCGUCUCUUCGGUAUGCAUAUGUCACAUGGGUGCAGAGUUCUGUUGAUGCUUCACCAUAUAAAUUCCUAUAUAGUCAUGAUCUAAUAUUACCAACGGACAUGGGUUUACCUUCGCAAUUGCCACGAGCUGCUGAUACUAAGUUAUAGGAUCAGUAUUUGACAAGAAUUCUUCCACUUGUCCGAGCAAAAUUUGCCAAACACUUAGGCGACGUACAAGUGGGACAAUAAUGGCGUUACAACUCCCAUCAUUGUCCACUUGCAAAAUACAAAGUGGAUGAGUUGGUGUUAGUCCAUUUUCCCCAUCUUACAGUACGUGGGUUAUCUAAGGGGCUCCUUGCGCAGUGGAAAGGACCGUAUCAGGUGUUGCGGCAAGUUGGACCACAAGUUUAUGAAGUUCGGCAUGACAUCUAGCAAGUUGAUCCUCCAGAGAUUGUGCAUGUGCAGCAGUUGAAACACUUCAUACAAAGGGAUCAUAAACAAUUAAUACCACCUACAGAUCUGCCAAUGCCUCCUCUUAAUGUUCCUUCAGAUUCAGGCCCAUUUAUAAGAGAACCCUGAUGGUCUUCCAUUAUUCCGAAAGGAGGGGAUGAUGUGAGGGCCAAAUGUAUGGCUACGAUGUCAUAUACUAAUAUUAGUAUAGUGGGAUUUUGCUAACCAUCAGAUUGGUUUCAAUCCGGACCACUUGUUUCUAUAUAUAAGCUAGGGUUUUUGGGCUAAUUAAGAGGCACAUUUUCUGUAUUCCCUUUCUAUAUUCCAAUCACUUACAUAUAUACUUUUUUGGAGGGUCUAACUAUUACUAAUGAUAAUAUUAUUAUUAACUUUAAAUUUUGAUAAUUCAAGAAACAAAAAUUAUAAGCUAUAGUUUUAUUAAAUAAGAUAAUUGAAUAUUUAUUUUCAAAUUUUCUAUAGUAUAUAUAGUUCUUAUUUUAUAAAUGCAAACAAGAAUGAAUUUGAAAAUUUUAUUACUAUAUUAAUCUAUAUUAAUAAUUAAUAUAUGACUUCACAAAGCAAAAAUGAAUAGAAAAAAAAAUUUAAAAACACAGAAAUAAAUUAAAUUUUUACUAUUUAACUAAUUUAAUUUAAUUAUAAUGUGAAAUUUGUUAUUUAAAUAUUUUCUAAUAUGGGAUAAUAAUAAUUCCUUAUCUAUGUAAAUGUUUAGGCUGUUGCCUUCUGUAUAAGAUGUGUAUUGUUUUUUAUGUUAAAAUUAAAAUUAAAAUUAAAAUUAAAAUCGCUCCAUGAAAUACAAUUAUACUUUAAAUUUUCAAAAAAUGUGGGAGUUGCAUUUUUUUCCAAAUAUAUGUCUAUAUCUUCUGUAUGAUAGGCAAUUUAUUUUCUAGCUAAGUAACAUACUCAAAUAAAUUCCUUCUAAGAUAUUCAGAGGCAACUAGAACUCAUUAAAAUUACCCAACUCAAAGGUAAUAGCAAUUCACUUUGUAUUUAUUGCUUCUUUACCAUGAUAGUGGUUAUGGCAACACUACUGAGAUCAUAGUGCAACAAUAGCAAGAUGAACUUAAUUGCAUUGCCCAUGACAUGAAAGACCUUGGAGAUCCCCACAUAUGGAUAGGCUUGACUAGAAGGACAAGAAAAAUCCAAUUGCUUUAAUGCUUAAACCAUUAGCACUGGACCACCAACCACAAGAAAGAUAAUUAUUGAUUUGGUUGAUGUGAGAAACUCUUUAUGACAGCUUAGCUUUAGGAUGGAUCCAUGAAUGCUUGGUAUAUUAUAACCACCAAUCAGUGUUUAACUCUUUAAAUUAAAUAUGACUUGGCCAUCUAUCUUUGCAUCUGAGCCUUAAGCUAAGAAUCUUUGAUUCAAUCCUAACUAAACUAAAUCUUAGCCGGACAUUGCUAAAUUUAUAGUAUGCCAUAAUAUCUUUUCAUUUAUAGAAAUUAUUUAACACCCCCUUUUUCUUAAUUUAAAGAAGCAAGACAAUAGUUUUGUAAUUCAGCUGUUUAGCAAGUGGCUAACCAUCUGCAAAAAUAUGGAAGUUGGAAGGUGCACAACCAGAUAUAUUCACAUAGCCAAUUAAAAAGGAAAGGAAAGGGGUAGAGUAGAAGAGUCCUUUUAUCAAAUAUGAUCACUUAUUGCAAAAUUUUGAUUAAUUUCUUUUGUGAUUUAAUUAAAUAUAAUAUGUUCAAUUAAUAAACGUUUGAGAUAAUUUUAUUUAAAAAACUAACCUUUUAAUGCAAAUUAAAACCAUUAGAAUAUUUUAAAUUAUAUUAAAAUCCUAUUUAAUAAUAAUCAACUCUUUUGAAGGAAGAGAUGAGUGACAGGCUUAAGCUGGUGGAAGAAGAUUCUUACUGAAACUCAGAGCGAAGAACGCUUGGAUCACAUACACAUUAUGCCAUUCUUACUCAAGGGCCAUGGGGGCCGGAUCGCUGUCACGAUCCCCCGCAAAAGAAUUCGCCACUCUUUGGAGUAUAGCAGUGAGAGAACAGUUUGGAGUUUGUUCGCUACAAGGAUUUGCUGCUGGAGCCUCCGGCCGAGAUGACCAUGAAGCUCUACCUCGAGUUCUUCCCAAAUUUUAACACCGCCCAGCGAUGGUACACCAUGCCACAGAUCCAAAAUUCAGCGCCGACCUUUGUGGAAACCGUGGCCCAAGCUGAUCUGGUCCUCCCACGCCCUGGAAGGCAUUGUGGUGAGAGCUCUUCAGUUAUGUGGAAUCAACAUCGUUCCAGUGGGUUCUCUCCAUCUAAACAUCUCCACCGGGAACGAUCCAGACGAUCCAAACUAGGUAAUUCCAUGGCUGGACAAACAGGAGUCUCGAUCGGUUCUCUACAUUAUUAACCGGACUUGAGGGCGUACCGCGCGGUACCGCCGAAUUUCUUCGGCACUAGCUCGAGCUGCUCCGGGCGUACCACCCAUAGAAAAGCGAUGUUCUUAGUAGAUUCCAGAGCCAGCUGCUGGGACUGGAGCGAUGGUUCCAAAACGCAGGUGGCAUGAAUACCGCGGGCUGCUAACCGACUGGGCACACCCUUGGGCACCGUGCCGUGCGGCAUUGUGGAUGGAAUUCGAUCUUGGAGAGCGUCAGUGUUGGCAAUCCUGUGAUGUCGAUGCCGCGAAUCCGUGCUUGACGAGGAUCUUGGACGAGGAGUGGGGGAUUUCGGUAAGAUUGGGUAAACACCGAGCAAGGCCAAUUUGGAGGCUGCGCUCAUGUUUAAAAGGUGGGAUGAGCUUGGAAAGAAAGCCAGCGAUCUUGGAGAACUCAUGGAAGAAGGAGGAUCUUCUCGAUCCGGCAUCGAUUAGUCAAAGGUACGCUAGUUCAAAGUGUAAUCCAGUGACCUUCGUCAGCUUCCUGUGCUCUUGUGCAGCCAUGGGGCUAUAGAGAUGUUCGCGUCGAUGCAAGGGGAUCACGGCGUGGAUCCAAUCGCGGAGCACUACGGCUGCGUGGUGCGGUGUGGGCAUCUGCUGAGGCGCUCGUGAUUGCCAUGGAGCCCAGUGUCGAGCAGUGAACGAGCUUGCUCAAUGCGUGCACACUCCACUUGGAUCCAGCGCAAGUCACCUAAAGUGUGUCAUAGGAUAAGGGGGCGAUGGCUGUAGCUUCAUCAAAGCCGUGCCCGAAUAUCGCAUGGAAGAGUUCGAUCGUGUCGCCCGGCAGCCCGGGAUCUGCUGGCGCAAGAUCAUAGUCAGCGUUCUUUUAAUUAGAGCUCCAAGAGCUCCAAAGAUCAUCCACACAGGUAACCUUAGCAAGGCGGCAGCUUUGGAUGGAUCAGGUGAGCCUAAGGCAUGGCUGAGUUCGUGGCGAGCAUGACGACGUUCAAGAACAGGGUGAACUCGAGCUUCAAGCCCAGGACGAGGCCACCUCGAGCUCGAUCACUCGAGAGCCAUUCAGUAAAUGGAUUGCUCCGAGACGCUCGAGUGCGAACUUAAGGAGCUCGAGAGGCGAUCUCGAGGACAUGAGUAGCGAGGUCCUAGGUAGAGUGAGGUGCCUGGGAGUGCCGAUUCUCGGUCACCGAGGCGGCGUCUCGAGCUCGAGAGAACAAGUUGAGGAACUGGAGAUCCAUACGAGGGAGGAACUCUAACUCAGCGACGACCUUGUAGCAAUUUGGCACUCAAGAGGAGGAGAAAGCAAUUUGGUGCUGCAUCGACCUGACAACUAUCACAUAUGGCAUGAGAGAUUCUUCGCCAGACAAUGUUUGCGCUAUAAACUGGUCCUCUCCAGACGUUUGAGAGCGUACAUCUGCCUGUUUUGUGAUUGCCUCACAAACACCUCACAAAUCAAUCGGCACGGAAAACCAAGCCCAGCGGCUUUGAAAAUCCUAGGAACUGAUGCUAGGAGUGCGGCUGGAGCGGACAACUCUUUGGUUACGUCAGUAGCUACAAAAGGCUGCCAAGAAAACCAUCGUGAAAAAAUUAAAAUGGUGCAGCUGGAAUAGCCUAGACAAACAAAAGCACUCUAGACUAGCAUCACCAAAUGGUGUUGUAGUUAUCUGUCUGAACAAGUCCACCUAACUAGACCUAGCCAUCAACUGCAGCAGUGACCAUUUCUCACUUUACACGUGAGUCAUACGUCGAAGCAUCUUGCAAAAAUCUUGCUUUCGACAUCCGGAUCUGGAAAAUGGGAAGCAGAUAUUUGCAAGAUGCAUCGAUAGUUUGUAUAUGGAACCGGUGCUGCCUUCUAUUCAGCUUUGGUUUGACAUGGUGCCAUGAUUUGUCCUUAAAUGAAGGUGAUUUUCCUGAAGGAGCUGUGAGCUAGAGUGAUUUUCAUAUUGUGACAGCAAUGCUCUAACGCACACCAAGAAGAUCACUCUAGCUCACAAUGACUCCUUCAAGAAAAUCACCUUCAUCGCACGGACAAAUCAUGGCAUCAUGUCAAGCUGGAUCGAAGGUAUCACUUGUUUAAUAUGCAAACUAUCAUGCAGCUUGUGUUUGUAGCCGAUAAAGACUGCUGCGUCGCUACUAUUUUUCUACAUGAACUCAUGUAUAUGUCAUAGGAUGGUGAUUUUUGUCUUCUGUCCAGCUGGUUGAAUUAUUGCUAUUUGGUUCUUGUUUCGCUUUCAGUCCGGAAAUCAGCAAGAGAAACGUGGGAUCCGGCAUAUCUCAAUUGUUCGAAUCUUUGCGAGUAUAUAACCAAGUGCGCUUGCCUCUCCAAAAGCAUCCUCUGUUUCGCUAUGGCUCAGUCUAUCAAGUUUGCUCCUCUCAUUGCGCUGCUCCUUUGCAUUGCUGUCACUGCUGAAGUGCUUGAUCUUCCAGGCGAGUUUUUCUUUGUCGAUGGAGCAGCCAGCCGACCGUCUGGAUGCAGGCCCAACUCGCAGUGCUGCCCAAACAGCAAAUUCUGUCCCAAGGGCAAAUACUGCACCGUUUGCACGAAGAGCUAUCCGCCUUCGUGCUUUUGCACGAAGGCCCCUCCAAACUGCGGAGUAGGCAGUAGCUGCUGCAGUGACGGGGACUGCCCAAAGGGAAGAGAAUGCAGCGUAUGCACUAGAUCGAUCCCACCUAUUUGUCGCUGUGGCGCUAAGCGUAAGCUCGUUCUUGUUUCCGAAUGAAGCACGCUAUCAAGUGUGUGAUGGUCAACCCUGUUGACUGUGUAAUAAAAGAUCUUCCAUAAUGAUAAUGUGUGGCUAUGUUUAUAGAUGUCAAUGGAGCAGGUUAUAGAUUUUGAGCUUCGGAUAGAUUGCUUUCUGCUAGUUUUCUCUCUGUCGACCUUUGGAAGGGAUGGAACAAAGGGUUGAGCUCUUAAAGUUAACACAGUCAAUCAUUGUCAAUAAAUGGCUUGAAAGUUGGACUACUAUUCUAGGAAACACUCUUCAAAAUGCUUCCAAGACUUCCCAUUUCCAAGGCUUCCCAUUGGUUGGAUACCAGAUCAUUCCAUGGGUUGAUCCAUGUUUCUUUUCAAUUGCACUUUGUUUGCUCAUAUCUUAUAUCUUACUUGUAUAUGGAUGCUCUCAACAAACAAUCUGAAUGGUUUAAAUCUAUACAUAUAAAGCGAUAGUGGGGAGGUUCGCCGGCCGUUGGAUCCCAGGCCCAGGCCAAGGUCAGUAGCCAUGGUUGCGAGAAAUUUUUCUGGUGUUUGCUCUCGGCCAAUAGGAGGUGGCCAAGCUGUGUGGGGUGGGAGAAGAAGGCACAGCGACAUGUGUCACAUGCAAGUGUCUUUCCUAUCAUCAUCCAAACUUUUUUUGUUGAGAUCUUUUAAAUUUUCCUGCAGAAAUCGCCCCGUCGCUCCUGAUGUGGAGCGCUGUGGCUUUAGGGAAAGGGCAAGAGAGCGAUGCACUCGAGUAAAUGGCCAGUGAAGCUGUGGCUCCCGGAUCUCCCAGACAGAGAUCUUCCACUCAGAGAUCUCCUGCUCAAUCGCCACAGCAAUCCCCGCAGAAAUAGGCACCAGCAGCAGAUCCAGAGCUACAGUCUCGCCACCGUCACUCCCGGCAUGAAGGAUCUCCACCCCUGCUUUAGGGAAAGGGCAUAGCUCUAGAGGAGAGCGAGUAAAUGGCCAGUGAAGCUGUGGCUCCCAGUCCCCGCGCUUGGCCCUCCCGAGCCCCCAGUGGCAGCAGCUGCGCCUCCACCAGCAACAACAGAGGUGUUGAGAAGAAUGCCAUGGAGGACGUUUUCUCUGGACGAGGGGGGUGGUGCGAUGACACUUGGUGGUUUUCAGCCUCCAAAAGACAUGGUUUUUACGUUGUCUGAUAGGUAUUCUUUCAUUCUUUCUGACUUUGUUAGAGUUGAGAUGCAUUAGUUUUCCUAUCAUCCCAGUUUUUUUCUUCUGGUUGCGGCCAGGCAUGGUUGGCGGGAAAUUUUUCUAAUGUUAGCCUAGGAGACCACCACAGCUCCGGUGCUCAUUGGCUCUGAGCGAGGCAAGACAGGCAUCGAACAUAUGUCACCAGUGGUGUCCUGCCCCUGUGCCCGGUCUUUUUAGCUCGCCCUAGAUGCCCUGCUGCAAUCGAGUUAACGCUUGCUUGCCGGAUCAGUGGCAAUCGCAGCAAUUGCACUUCUUCUUGCUGAGAUCUAUGUUCAGCAUCAGGCCAGCGGCUACUAAUUUGGCCCCCAACCACAACAAUCUAAAUUUUUUUGUGUUUUUGGGUUUGUGGAUGCCAAGCAGUAGAGCUGGAGCCAGAGCUAGCCUUCAACGCAACCAGAACCAUUAGAAAGUUUGCAGUCCUUAUUCUUCUGCAAGAGAGAACAAGCCCAAGGUGAGUUCUCGAACUUGCAAACCCCACCCACCUCUCAUGGCUCAAGUGUCAUUGUAUUCUAAAAAGCAUAGGAGGCUUUUUGAGUGCUCACCACACCUUGGCCUAUGUCUAGGUUUUGUUGCUUACUAAAUUAGUGUUAAUCAAACAGCAAACAUAGGUAAACUCAGCAAACCUCUUGAAAUGGCAUGAAAUUUGCCAGCCACCCAGCAUUUGUUGGGUAAUUGUUAGUAAGUAUAUAUAGCUGGACUGGCUAAAAAAGAAUAGUCAUUUAGACAACAAUUAAUGCAAUCAUACUUCAAACACCUAGAUAUCAUUCUUAGCUCAUGGUCCCACAUUUUUCAUGUUGACUUGGCAAGCAUGCAAAGAGUUGAGAUGGCACGCAUGCAAAUAUAUCUGUAUAGAGUAGCUAUCUAGCUCUCUAGUGAAAUCCCAAUGAAUUAAUUAUAACUUUGUAUACAGCUCUCAAAUAUUCAAACCAACCAUAUAACCAUAAUUUUGAACCAAAAUAAAAGACUUUAAGAGCUAUUAUAUGUGAGACACAAAAUCCCUAAGCCCCAAAGUGGAGCUGGAACGGUGCCAUGUGGUGGUGGCCAAAGUCAAAACCAAACGAGCGUAACACAUUUGGACUAAAAGCUCCAACUUGAAAAGGUCGAAAGUGGGAGUGGAACUCCCAACGAAGUGCUCAAGGAAUGAGCACAAAGCGAGCAAUAAACAAGGCUCCAAAAAGGGACCCAAAAGGACCAACAUAUGAUACGUGGAAGUGUCCAAGAUAGACCCGAGAUGGACCCGAGUUGGAGUCCAAAGUGGAGUCUGAAGUGGAGUCCGAGAAGGACCCAAGAUGGAUCCGAGAUUGAGUCCGAGACGGACCCGAGAUGGAGUCCGAGAUGGACCCGAGAUGGAGUCCGAGAUGGACCCGAGAUGGAGUCCGAGAUGGAGUCUGAGAUGGAGUUCGAGAUGGACCCGAGAUGGAGUCCGAGAUGGAGUCCGAGAUGGACUCGAGAUCUAGUCCGAGAUGGACCUGAGAUGGAGUCCGAGAUGGACCCAAGAUGGAGUCCGAGAUGGAGUCCGAGAUGGACCCGAGAUGGAGUCCGAAGUCGAGACCGAGACCGGGACCAAGACCAGGACUGAGACCGGGACCGAGACCGAGACCAAGAUCGGGACCGAGCCCGAGCCCGAGUCCGAGUCCGAGUCCGAGUCCAAGUCCGAGUCCGAGUCCGAGUCUGAGUUCGAGUCUGAGAGGGUGAAAGCCCAAAGCGUUCGUCUCCCAAACCCUGGGGGGUUUGGUGAGCUCCAAAAGUAUAGUUGGGGGUUGGAGCCCAGUGGAGCCAGUUGGGCCAGGAAAGGCCAGUUUGGCCCAGGAAAGGCCAGUUUGGCCCAGGAAGGCCAGACCCAGUGUUGGGUGAUGAGCUGACCACUGGGAAGUCCAAGACUAGAGUGAACACGGACCGACAAGCGGGGUAACUUGGUGAAGUGUUCAAGAGCCGGCUCUAGUUCCCCCGAGAGAUCAAUUGGCCGAUGCUCCCAAUCCAAGUGUGGGUGGCACUACCUACUUGGAUACCAGGCAUGGCUCAACGGAACCUCGCUCUAAGCCCAUGGCUAGAGCACCCAGAGGCGGAAGGCGGGGAGAGUACCCAGGUGGCUCGCGUAAGGCCAUGGUGUUCCGAAAUGUUGUCCCAAAGGCCCAAACUGUGGAAAGGAAGAGGAGUAGUCCUCUGGGGUACUGACCAAGGACACAGUCGUGUGGUGAGGAAGUCCCAGAGGACCGUGGGACUUAGUGGUUAGGCAUGUGGGCCUCGAUCCAGUGGCAGUUUUGGCAAACACGGCCAAGGGCAGAAAGGGACUUAGUGGGGACUGACAGAGGGAUAUUGGGGAAGGCUAUUCCCCUUGUCGGUGGGCAUCCUAAGGAUGCUAAGGAGUGGAUCUGAGAUGACCACUCAUGGAUGGUUUGCCUAGUCUUGGAGAGCCAAAACUGUGAUGCAAGUGGUAUUGGACUACCAGUGUGGCAAAGGUGAUUGGGUAUGGCCUUAGCGUAACAGGCUGCCAUGUCGGUGGUACCUUUGAGUGUCAGUCAUGGGAUCGGACACGUGGAGCACUUGGACCAAGUGCAAAUGUUGAGUGGCAUGGAUGCCAUUCUUGGGGCUAGCAAGUCCCAAGUCCUGAAUUGGACUUAUGGAGGUUGUGAAUGAGACUCCUCCAAGUGGUCGGUGGUGUGGCUAAGUGAUUAAAGUAGAAUGGAAAAAUUAGUCGCUUACAACUUGGUAUCGGAGCUGUUCCUUAGUCCGACUUUUAUUGGUGCUCAAGUAUAUCACCACUGGUGUUUGCAUCGGAAGGUCCGAAGAGUGGGCCUAUCCUUGAGGAGUAGCAGGUCGAGAAGACAUGGCUCUCCAUUAUAGUUCAUGUGUGAACUCGUAGGUGAGGUGGUGGAUAGAAAAGGGCCAAUAAUAGAACGACUUUGGGAUCUUGGGAACAAUAUAAGGGUUUCCUCAGAGAGCUAAGGAUGUGAUCCAGAUGAGUGUUUGACGCAGCAAAUGAGCUAAUGUAGUUGUGGUAAACAACUAUAGUUGGGAUCACGGGAAAGAUGCAGACUCCAAAACAAUAAAGGAGUCACAAGAUUACCUUAAUAUGGUUGAGGCUGGUACUCAUAAAUUUGAGACCGGAAUUGUUGACCGUGGGAGGUCAAAUACGGAAGAGGACACAAGUCCUUGAAAUGGUAGCCAGGGCUAGCUCUAAUAAAUGCUGGAACAACCCAAGGAGUUGGGGGUGUACUCAGAGGAUGAGUUGGUAUUCUCAUCAUAUGGACAAGUGGUCCUAAGGGGCAAAAGGUUGCCCCAAGAGAACAAAUCAAGUGUCGGAGUAACACUUGCAAAGAUGGUCCUUGUGAGCAGGACUUGAAUACAAGAAGUUGUAUUCUAACGAGUUGGCACCUUGAAGACUAAGACCUCGUAGGUCGUUAGAUUAGCAAAGUCUAAAAUGCUGGAUGACUUAAGUGGAGUCAGGGAAUGGCCCUAAGGGAUUGGUUGAAACAUUUGGAUUGAGGUGUAUGGUGCCCCAUGAGGUAUGGGGAGGAUCAUAAGAUCCAAGGAUGAGAAUAAUAGGUAUCUCAUUGAUGGCAGAAUGUGCCAUGCUAAAGUCGUGGGAAAGAUGUUCCCAAAAGAAAGCAACUUUGGCCCAGAGUUGGGUGCAAACACUAUGGUGCAAUGCUAAUGGAUAAUUAGCAUAAGAGACAACCAUAUUAGUCUUGGCAAAAAGACCUAGACACAAGUAAAAAGUGUCAUAAAGGUAAGCUCGUGGAACCGAUGGUGUGGAAACACCGAAGGUGCCAAGGCGUGCUGCCUUGAGGUUAAGUUGGCGGGUUCAUGAGAACCCCGUCCAAAGGAAUCCCAAUGGAAAUGGGAAUGGCAUAGCCUAAGCUAGAAGGCAUGCGGUUAAAGUGUGGUGACUCAGAUAAUGAUGGAGGUGUGGAAGCACCAGCAAUAAGUUGUAGGACUUGACAACUAUGAGGAAACUAAACAAAACGUGCAAAAUAAUUCGUUAAACUGGUAGAAGGUAACUACCUAAGACUUUUAUUGGGAUACAGGAGUUAGAUAUACCCUUAUAAGGGAUAAAUUGCUUAUGUUGUGACAUAGUAAGUCAAUGUCGAAAAGAAAAUGCUCAUUGUGAGAGAGGCCAUCAUUGGGACACCCAAACACUCUAGAACACCAGAAAGGGGCAUUUGGUGUCAUGAGGGCAAUGGAUAAUGCCCAAGGGACAAAGUCCCUAGCGAAUGAAGGAUAGGAGGUGCUAUCCAAAUGUCCAAGGUUGUGGAGAUGGGAGGAGUUCGUCUACCCAAAUUAGACAAAGCCAAAAACAGGAUUUUGGCAAGGUUAGUGAUGGGCAUAUAAAGGUCCAUAAGUAGCAACAGUGAUCCCAAUGUGUGGGAUUACAAGGUGAGCAAACCCGGAUUGAAAAACCACUCCCUAGGCUAUCGGGUAGGUUCAUCCUUAUGAAUACUUGCCAAAGCAUGGUAGAAAGUGCAAAGUUAUCUUCCUAGUCUGGAGGAGAAUAACCGAAGGAAAUGUAUGAGGCCAAAAGGCAAAUAGUAUAGAGAUAGAACCGAACCAUAGGAAUUGACAAGCAUGACCAAGGGUGGUUAUGCAAGUUGGGAGUGGAGAAUCAAAUGGGUGCUCAAGCAUGUUGUUACUAGCGACUGGGAUGCCAUGGAGAGUCUAAAGCAUGGGAUUGUCCAUGUUAAACUAUAUGGUAAUUGGAAAGCUUGCGAAAGGAGAGGUCUUAGCAAGCUAAGGAACAGAGUUCCUUGAACGUUCCCCUAGGUAGAUAAGUACCUAGUCAGCCAAGUAUAAAUGGUUCAUAGAAUGCGCGAAAUCAGAGUGGCACAACAGAAGCGUGGUCUUGAAGCUUGCCAUGAGGCGAGGCUAUCAAGGUUGGGGAAGUAGUUCCCAAGUGUUCAAAGAGAAGGCUUUGAACGAAAGUCAAUGGUUAAGGACUUUCACGCUUAUGCAUGAACCAUGUUACGGUGGCCGAAUGACUUGCUAAGUGAGAUUGGCAAGUUGGGGGGAAUGAAUACCCUAGUUGAAGGAGCCAACUUCAAAGGGGUGGCCCAGGGGGCCAAGCAUGGAGGAGUCCAUACAUGAUCACAGACAUGUCAAGUGAGAGGACUUGGCAGUGCGGAGGAACUAGGUUCCUAAGCUGUGAUUUGUAGCGCGCUUUAAAUAAAAGUUGGUGCACCAGCGUGGGGAGUCACGCCAGGCAUCCUGGGUGAUGCCAUCCGUAGAUGCAUAUACGGAGGUUGGGUUCAAGUCCCGACCCUCUAGUGCUUGGGUUCGAGUCCCAACUCACUAGGGCAUGGUGAUGGUUUGGAAUAUGAGGACACUCAUAUUUCGGUGGUCAUAGACUCUCAGUGGGGAGACUGGUUUGGGCACACUGCUAAGCGAGGGAUGCCUCGGAGUCGUGAUGCACGGUUAGAUUGCUUAGUGUGAAAGCUCGACAUAUCUAACUUGAACAUUUUGGUGCAAGUGGCACCAAGGACGUGGUGAGUGAGAUGGGGACACCUAAUCUCAGUUGCUAUGAACCCUUGGCCGUAAGGGCUGGCUUGGGUGCACCGCUAAGUAUGGGGGAUGCCCUCGGGGUUAUGGUCAACAAUUUGAAGGUCUAGAAGACCAAAUACCUCUUGGCAACUCUGUUAAGGUGCUAAGGUGAGAUCACUAGGUUCUAGGUGAUCUUAUUGCCAAAUAAAGACAAGGUCCUUGGUUGGCUAAAGAAUGAAGUUCCUGGUUCAAAAUGUUGAAUUGAACUGUUUAAGAUGGUGUGGCUUGGUCAUGAUGAUCAAGUGGGAAGAGCACCUAAGGGAAAUAAACUAUGUCCAUGCGAUGGCAUAGUGAGUCCGAGGAAAGUAGUCUCUAUAAGAGACCCAUGGGAGGGUCACGAAGUUGGGCCGUGGAUAAAACCCAUAGCAGAAGAUGCUAAAGAGACGUACUAGGGGUGAACAUCCUUCGGACUUAGCAAAGAAGAGUCUUUACUAUAGAACCGAAGGGAUACAUCAAAAAUGGAGGUAGCAAUCCUAUGUUGCUGGGUGCAACAAUCAAGGAUAGGAGCAAAGGACUAAUGGCCAAGUUUGGGCCAUGGAAUUUAAUGGAAGGGAUCCAAAUAGCAAAGUUAGCCAAGGAACACUAAUGUGUUUGAUGCUAACGGCUUGUGGAAAGGAAGUGGACUUCCAAGGAUGGAUUCUUAAGUGUUCCAAUUUGGCGAAGUAAAAGCUCCAAGUGAGGGAGCGGCAAAGCAGCCAAAAGAUAGGGCCGUGGACAGCCCUAGCACAAAUUAUGAUAACCGAAACUUAGUGCCAAAGGUGGCACGAAAUCGAAGAGAGGAUGAUGUUGCCCUCGAGUAGAGGACUUCCUAGGAUGGGGAAGUGGAGUUGCACAAUAUGUGCAAUGCAAGGUGUCAAAGACACCCAGGAAAUUAACUUCAAGAAGUCAGAAUUAAAAGUUCUAAAGUGCAAGGGUUAUAUCGGUGGAAAUUGAGACUACUCGAGAAUGAGUAGUGGGAUUGAGUUAAAGAAGGUGUCUUUAACAUGUUUUGCAAAAACUCAACCAAUAAAAGGAGAAGACCACCACAAGUGGUCGAAUGAGCCUCUAAGUUGGAGAGGCUAUGCUCCUUAGGGGAUGGACAAGGAAUGGUGAGCCUUUGGUGUCAAACCAUAGACAAAUAUUGGCUGGGUACCAAGGAUGGAAAUGGUAACACGUGCGGGUGUUACUUUAUGAAAGGGUUUACUGUUCAAUGAGGACAUCGAACUUCGUCUAUAGGUGGUGGAGUUGUGAGACACAAAAUCCCUAGGCCCCAAAGUGGAGCUGGAACGGUGCCAUGUGGUGGUGGCCGAAGUCAAAACCAAACGAGCGUAACACAUUUGGACUAAAAGCUCCGACUUGAAAAGGUCGAGAGUGGGAGUGGAACUCCCAACGAAGUGCUCAAGGAAUGAGCACAAAGCGAGCAAUAAACAAGGCUCCAAAAAGGGACCCAAAAGGACCAACACAUGACACGUGGAAGUGUCCAAGAUAGACCCAAGAUGGACCCGAGUUGGAGUUCAAAGUGGAGUCCGAAGUGGAGUCCAAGAAGGACCCCGAGGUGGAGUCCGAGGUGGACCCAACAUGGAUCCGAGAUUGAAUCCGAGACGGACCCGAGAUGGAGUCUGAGAUGGACCCGAGAUGGAGUCCGAGAUGGAGUCUGAGAUGGAGUCCGAAAUGGACUCGAGAUGGAGUCCGAGAUGGAGUCCGAGAUGGACUCGAGAUCUAGUCUGAGAUGGAGUCCGAGAUGGACCCGAGAUGGAGUCCGAGAUGGACCCAAGAUGGAGUCCGAGAUGGACCCGAGAUGGAGUCCAAAGUCGAGACCGAGACCGGGACCAAGACCGGGACCGGGACCGGGACUGAGACCGAGACCAAGAUUGGGACCGAGCCUGAGCCCGAGCCCGAGUCCGAGUCCGAGUCCGAGUCCAAGUCCGAGUCCGAGUCUGAGUUCGAGUCUGAGAGGGUGAAAGCCCAAAACGUUCGUCUCCCAGACCCUGGGGGGUUUGGUGAGCUCCAAAAGUAUAGUUGGGGGUUGGAGCCCAGUGGAGCCAGUUGGGCCAGGAAAGGCCAGUUGGGCCAAGAAAGGCCAGUUUGGCCCAGGAAGGCCAAACCCAGUGUUGGGUGAUAAGCUGACCACUGGGAAGUCCAAGACUAGAGUGAACACGGACCAACAAGCGGGGUAACUUGGUGAAGUGUUCAAGAGCCGGCUUUAGUUCCCCCGGGAGAUCGACUGGCCGAUGCUCCCAGUCCAAGUGUGGGUGGCACUACCUACUUGGAUACCAGGCGUGGCUCAACGGAACCUCGCUCUAAGCCCAUGGCUAGAGCACCCAGAGGCAGAAGGCGGGGAGAGUACCCAGGUGGCUCGCAUAAGGCCACGGUGUUCCGAAAUGUUGUCCCAAAGGCCCAGACUGUGGAAAGGAAGAGGAAUAGUCCUCUGGGGUACUGACCAAAGACACAGUCGUGUGGUGAGGAAGUCCUAGAGGACCGUGGGACUUAGUGGUCAGGCCUGUGGGCCUCGAUCCAGUGGCAGUUUUGGCAAACACGGCCAAGGGCAGAAAGGGACUUAGUGGGGACUGACAGAGGGAUAUUGGGGAAGGCUAUUCCCCUUGUCGGUGGGCAUCCUAAGGAUGCUAAGGAGUGGAUCUGAGAUGACCACUCAUGGAUGGUUUGCCUAGUCUUGGAGAGCCAAGACUGUGAUGCAAGUGGUAUUGGAGUACCAGUAUGGCAAAGGUGAUUGGGCAUGGCCUUAGCGUAACAGGCUGCCAUGUCGGUGGUACCUUUGAGUGUCGGUCAUGGGAUCGGACAUGUGGAGCACUUGGACCAAGUGCAAAUGUUGAGUGGCAUGGAUGCCAUUCUCGGGGCUAGCAAGUCCCAAGUCCUGAAUUGGACUUAUGGAGGUUGUGAAUGAGGCUCCUCCAAGUGGUCGGUGGUAUGGGUAAGUGACUAAAGUAGAAUGGAAAAAUUAGUCGCGUACAUUAUAGUCAGUAAAGUACCAUUAUAACAAACAAUACAUCAUGUCUCUAAAUCUAUUUAUUAAUGAUCCUCUAUCACUAACUCAAACUUAAGACUAUUACUAUUGCACUUUCCCCUUAGUCAAUAUUUGAGACUUGUGUUAACUUAGACUCAUAACCAUUAUCCUCAUCCAACAUUGCACAUGGGCAGUUAGAUUCACUCCAUUUGUUCCUCUUUAUCCCCUCCUUGAAAGAAAAAGAAGUUCUGAAACAUUAAUUUUGUUUGGACUUGUUAUGCUCAUCCUCACUCUACUAUUUAUGUUCAACCUCACUCCACUAUUGCAUCUGUUCAACUUUAUUAUGUUUGUUUGGACUCACUAUGAUCGUCUUCACUCCACAAUCCAUGUCGUUCAUUUUUGCUUCAUUACCAUAUUCACUCAUCCUCACUCCAUCGUUAGGGUUGACUGUCCUCUCUACCCCCUCUUCUGAAGAAAAAAAAAUUUGAAGUGUCAGGGCAGAAAUUGCAAAAUAAAAAAAAGUGGAUAAAAAAGCAUUAGAAGAGGAAUUUAUAGCAAUUGGCAAUGCAAAAAUGGGAAAAUUAAAAGAAGGACAUGUGCUUAAAGCUUGGAAAAUAAAAGAUUUCCUAUCAUAAAAUAUAAUCACCAUAAUAUAAGCAAAAAAUUCACCCCACUCAACCUUUUCAACACAAAAUUCAACACUUAAGACAGGAAAAUUAAUAACAAUAUUCACACUCUUAAGGGAAUACAUAAACUCUUUAGUAGUAACAAUAAAACAAAAACUCUUAACAACACUCAUAAAUAGGGAUAUGCAUUCAAUUUGAAACUCUAACUAAAGUGAUUCAACCCUUAGAAUAAAAAAAUACUAAACACCAGAACUAAUCAAAGACUCUACCAAUAAAAAAAAAGCAAGAUUUUCAACUUUAUGCAUACACUCAAUAUUUAGAUUAGUAUGAGGAUGACAAAAAACACUCAAUGCAACAGUAGAUUAAAAAUGAGAAUUAUCAAAGUCAUAAAUGAUUGACAUGCCAAGAGAAGAAAACACUGAAGAAAUAUUACAAACAUGAGAAUGUAAAUUAAAUGGCAGAUUUAAAAAUUGACACUUACUCUAUGAAAUCUUCAAUUCAUUUCCAAAAUUAUCUCCAUAAUAAUUAAAUUCUUCAUCACAAUCCAAAAUCCUUGUAAACAUCAUUUUCUCAUAAACUCAAUCUUCAAACAACUCAACUACAUCAUCCAUAACUUGCUAAUUGAUGUCACAAUCAUGCUCUACAAUAAAAGAUGGCAAAACACCAAGAACAUGACAAAUGACCUUCGUCAGCUUCCUGUGCUCUUGUGCAGCAAUGGGACUAUAGAGAUGUUUGCGUCGAUGCAAGGGGAUCACAGCAUGGAUCCAAUCCCAGAGCACUAUGGCUGGGUGGUGUGGUGUGGGCAUCUGCUGAGGCGCUCGUGAUUGCCAUGGAGCCCAGUGUCGAGCAGUGGACGAGCUUGCUCAAUGCGUGCACACUCCACUUGGAUCCAGCGCAAGUCACCUAAAGUGUGUCAUAGGAUAAGGGGGCGAUGGCUGUAGCUUCAUCAAAGCCGUGCCCGAAUAUCGCAUGGAAGAGUUCGAUCGUGUCGCCCGGCAGCCCGGGAUCUGCUGGCGCAAGAUCAUAGUCAGCGUUCUUUUAAUUAGAGCUCCAAGAGCUCCAAAGAUCAUCCACACAGGUAACCUUAGCAAGGCGGCAGCUUUGGAUGGAUCAGGUGAUCCUAAGGCAUGGCUGAGUUCGUGGCGAGCAUGACGACGUUCAAGAAGAGGGUGAACUCGAGCUUCAAGCCCAGGACGAGGCCACCUCGAGCUCGAUCACUCGAGAGCCAUUCAGUAAAUGGAUUGCUCCGAGACGCUCGAGUGCGAACUUAAGGAGCUCGAGAGGCGAUCUCGAGGACAUGAGUAGCGAGGUCCUAGGUAGAGUGAGGUGCCUGGGAGUGCCGAUUCUCGGUCACCGAGGCGGCGUCUCGAGCUUGAGAGAACAAGUUGAGGAACUGGAGAUCCAUACGAGGGAGGAACUCUAACUCAGCGACGACCUUGUAGCAAUUUGGCACUCAAGAGGAGGAGAAAGCAAUUUGGUGCUGCAUCGACCUGACAACUAUCACAUAUGGCAUGAGAGAUUCUUCGCCAGACAAUGUUUGCGCUAUAAACUGGUCCUCUCCAGACGUUUGAGAGCGUACAUCUGCCUGUUUUGUGAUUGCCUCACAAACACCUCACAAAUCAAUCGGCACGGAAAACCAAGCCCAGCGGCUUUGAAAAUCCUAGGAACUGAUGCUAGGAGUGCGGCUGGAGCGGACAACUCUUUGGUUACGUCAGUAGCUACAAAAGGCUGCCAAGAAAACCAUCGUGAAAAAAUUAAAAUGGUGCAGCUGGAAUAGCCUAGACAAACAAAAGCACUCUAGACUAGCAUCACCAAAUGGUGUUGUAGUUAUCUGUCUGAACAAGUCCACCUAACUAGACCUAGCCAUCAACUGCAGCAGUGACCAUUUCUCACUUUACACGUGAGUCAUACGUCGAAGCAUUUUGCAAAAAUCUGCUUUCGAGAUCCGGAUCUGGAAAAUGGGAAGCAGAUAUUUGCAAGAUGCAUCGAUAGUUUGUAUAUGGAACCGGUGCUGCCUUCUAUUCAGCUUUGGUUUGACAUGGUGCCAUGAUUUGUCCUUAAAUGAUUUUCCUGAAGGAGCUGUGAGCUAGAGUAAUUUUCAUAUUGUGACAACAAUGCUCUAAUGCACACCAAGAAGAUCACUCUAGCUCACAAUGACUCCAAGAAAAUCACCUUCAUCGCACGGACAAAUCAUGACAUCAUGUCAAGCUGGAUUGAAGGUAUCACUUGUUUAAUAUGCAAACUAUCAUGCAGCUUGUGUUUGUAGCUGAUAAAGACUGCUGCGUCGCUACUAUUUAUCUACAUGGACUAAUGUAUAUGUCAUAGGAUGCUGAUUUUGUCUUCGUACAUGCUGCCCAGCUGGUUGAUUUCUUGCUAUUUGAUUCUUGUUUCGCUUUCGUUGGAGCAGUCCGGAAAUCAGCAAGAGAAACGUGGGAUCCGGCAUAUCUCAAUUGUUCGAAUCUUUGCGAGUAUAUAACCAAGUGCGCUUGCCUCUCCAAAAGCAUCCUCUGUUUCGCUAUGGCUCAGUCUAUCAAGUUUGCUCCUCUCAUUGCGCUGCUCCUUUGCAUUGCUGUCACUGCUGAAGUGCUUGAUCUUCCAGGCGAUUUUUUCUUUGUCGAUGGAGCAGCCAGCCGACCGUCUGAAUGCAGGCCCAACUCGCAGUGCUGCCCAAACAGCAAAUUCUGUCCCAAGGGCAAAUACUGCACCGUUUGCACGAGGAGCAAUCCGCCUUCGUGCUUUUGCACGAAGGCCCCUCCAAACUGCGGAGUAGGCAGUAGCUGCUGCAGUGACGGGGACUGCCCAAAGGGAAAAGAAUGCAGCGUAUGCACUAAAUCGUUCCCACCUAUUUGUCGCUGUGGCCCUAAGCCUAAGCUCGUUCUUGUUUCCGAGUGAAGCAGGCUAUCAAGUGUGUGAUGGUCAACCCUGUUGACUGUGUAAUAAAAGAUCUUCCAUAAUGAUAAUGUGUGGCUAUGUUUAUAGUUGUCAAUGGAGCAGGUUAUAGAUUUUGAGCUUCGGAUAGAUUGCUUUCUGCUAGUUUUCUAUCUGUCUUCCUUCGGAAGGGAUGGAACAAAGGGUUGAGCUCUUAAAGUUAACACAGUCAAUCAUUGUCAAUAAAUGGCUUGAAAGUUGGACUACUAUUCUAGGAAACACUCUUCAAAAUGCUUCCAAGACUUCCCAUUUCCAAGGCUUCCCAUUGGUUGGAGACCAGAUCAUUCCAUCGGUUGAUCCAUGUUUCUUUUCAAUCGCACUUUGUUUGCUCAUAUCUUAUAUCUUACUUGUAUAUGGAUGCUCUCAACAAACAAUCUCAAUGGUUUAAAUAAGUAGAUAUAGCUGGACUAGCUAAAAAAGAAUAGUCAUUUAGACAACCAUUAAUGCAAUCAUACUUCAAACACCUAGAUAUCAUUCUUAGGUCAUGGUCCCACACUUUUCAUGCUGACUUGGCAGGCAUGCAGAGAGUUGAGGUGGCACGCAUGCAAAUAUAUCCAAAUAUAUGUAAAAGGUAGCUAUCUAGCUCUCUAGUACACGUCAUGUCUGCUCUUUUACACUGACCUGGCAUGCAUGCAGAGAUGUUGAGUUGGCACACAUGCAUUCACCUCCUAAAUCCCAAUUACGCACCAUGCAUUCGUAUAUAAAGCUCUUUCUCUCUCUUGUUGUUCCCUUCUGAAGUUAUUAGCCAGAUUUUAUAGGAAAAUUUAUUUCUUUAAAACUUUAUAAACGUCCAUUGUAUAUCUUAACUUUAAUGGCUUUCAAAAAGUGUUUUACUCUUUAUAGGAGGGUGACUUUUUAUUGAACUUUUCCAUAGAAUGAAAUAAAAAACUUUCAUAAUGAAAGGUAAUGUUAUAAGUUUUGAAUCAUAAAAUCAUAGAGAUAAACAGUUAAAUAUAAUGUAGUUAAAGUGUUUGCUAUAUAUUGCUUGAUUGUAUUUUAUAUUUUGAAAUUUAGUAGACUCUCAAAAUGAUAGGUAGAUUUCAAACAAACCUUUCAAAAGAAAAAAAAAAAGAUUACCUUUCAAAGUUGAGGCAUAGUACAUUGCAUUAUUAGAAAUUUUAUAUGUAAACUAAAUUCAUGUUCAAUAAAAUAAAAGAUCAAUGAGAUGCUCAUAAAACUUUAAAAGUUAAGUUUUGAUUAAAAUUUAUUAACUUUGAAAUUAUUAAGAACUACCUCUAGAUUGAUAAAUAAUUAUAAAAGUAGUUGUGCAUUAAUUUCUUAAACCUACGGUGACAUCCUCUGAAAUGAAAAUAUAAGAGAUGUAUUUCUCAAAGCUGGAUGUGUUAUUUGAUAAUAGAAUGUGGUUAAUCCCUUAAUUGAAUAAAUUAGUAAAUAUAACUACAGUAGAAGAAUUUUCACUAGUUUCUCCAAUGCUAGUAAGUAUUAUUCACUAUGGAAUCUUUUCGUACAACUGGUCUGUGAAGCAGUCUCCAAAGGCGUAGCUGCCACUGAGUUCUCGCAAUUUAGCGCUGCUCGCAGGCCUCUCUAAACUCAAAAUGAGGGAGAUCACAACCCAUGAGCAAGAACACUAAAUGGCCUACCUGAUGGAUACUUGAUGUAAUCAGCAUUGUCAUGCCUACUUGGAGAGAAAUUCAGUAGAUCAUAGUUCCCAGCGAUCUCCUGACGCUUUGCAUUGCUGUGAAGCUUCUCUGCGGCAAAAACAGGACACUUCUUGUUAGCAAAAGAGCGAGAAAACGAGGUGAGAACUCGAGAUACCUGAUCGUCUGAUGUCAGGAGUGAGAGGACGAACUAAACGCUGGGCUGUAGCUUCGUUCUUCUCGGUGGUGCUGCUGUUGUCAUCGUUGCUCAUCAUCUUGUCAGUGCCGUCGUUGUUCUCCUUGUUGUUGGAGCCACGGUUGUAAAAGUCAUGCGUCCCGCUCAGCUCCUUUACUUUAGCCUCGCGUAAGUGCUUAUCUGCAUACACGUCUGUAAGUAACUGAUAAGAGGGAGCCGACAAAACGGAGAACUUAACCGAAAAAAUCUUUUUUCCACCUGGGAUCUUGUUUAAACCUUCAGGGGUCGCGUUCUCGUCGUGUUGAACAGGAUUGCUUCCCCUCAGCUGCUUAAUCCUAGCAACAACAUCUGCAGCAUCACCAGAGUGAGUACCAAGCGAGAAACCCAUGCGCCCCAAAGAAGAAUCCAUCCAGCUGUGUAUGUAUGCACAAAGAGGCUGGAGUUAACACAAUGGGAUUCAAAUAAUGUCCCUGCAGGCCAAACGCGUGAGUGAUUCCUCUCAAAAGGCGAAGGACACAAGUAAAAAGAAGAUAAAAACCGAAAAAAAACCCCCGCAGCUAACCGAGUACAAUGGUGCUUGGUCCACCUGGUGGCUUCCUGAUACGGUUGCUGACACUCUGCUGCGAUGGCGGAGGCUUCUCCUCGGAGAAAAUGUCACUCCCGAUCAUUUCUCUUCGCUUAGCGUCGCUGAGAGACUUCUCCACAUGAGUUCCAUAGCCACCUUUCUUGAAGAUGUCGUUUCCAGUCAUCUCUGCUGCCUUUUGGUUGUGUGUCCGCUGGCCUUGGGAAGAGUACUGCAUCCCCCAACACCCCAACACAGGUAAAGAAUAAACUGGCAAGCUUCAUGGUUCUCGUUAGUUCUUCGCAUUUUUUUAAGAGCUUCGAGAGCGGCAUACCUCGGAUGUUGGUGGUCCAAAGAUAUUGCUUCCGCACAUUUCUUUUGCCUUGGCAUUAGACAUUGGACGUCGAGGUUGCUCCUCAAAUGUCUCCUGGGUUCCACUGAGCUCGCGUUGCUUAGCCACCUCUGCGUGGCUGCUAGCUUUCUUUUGGAAGCUGUUGUCACCUUCUCCAAAAGAAAUUUGGCUCCCUCCACUCGGCUGAGAAAGAACGAGAAGUUACGUCAAACUUUGGCUUACCAGAAUGAUCUAAAUGAUGCAGCUAAUGCUUCACAAAAACUCCAAGGUCCUGUCAAAUGGCAAGAGCGGCAACUCAGUCGUAAAAAUGUAAGAUAUUCCAAUGCUUUAGCUAGAACAAAAAAAAACUCACAUGUUUCAGCGACUAAUCGACGAAGUGAUCCGAAAUGCGCGAGAGAAUGCUUUGUCUUGCGAGAGCUACAAACUGGAGUUUUCAAGCAAGAAUGCGGCAUCCCACCUGGAGAAUCCGGAUGGCCGAGCGCGAAACGGGCGGAUCCGUGCAGCUCUGGUCAUUAGCCGCCGCGAAUCCCUUGCUAUCGUUGGUCGCCGAAAAGCGCACGGGCGUGGCUCGGUCCGACGACGCGUCCGCGCCAUCCGACCAGCUUAGGAGAUCAGACUUGCCCUGGCUGCCGCGCUUCUCGAUCGCAGACAUCGCUCACCGGAGCUGGAAGAUCACAUCCCCAAAACCCUUGCCGGGCGCGAAGAAAGACCAGCAAAGAAAUGAGAGAGGGCAAAACCUAAUGCCCAAAGCUUUCAAACCAACUGCAUGCGCGCAAAGGGAUAUUCUCGGCCGGAUCAGCAUAUUCUCUAGAAUAAUCAUUCCGUACGAGAGUUUUAUACACGAGGUUUUACUUCUCAAGCGUAGCACCUGUUUCCAUUGCUCGAUUUAGUCUUCAGCCCGGGAACUUCUCCAUCGUCCUCCACGGGGACCUUGGCAAACAAAAGAAAAAUAAGAUCUUGCGUAAGUUUCCAGUGUUUUCUGUCCGAGAUCCAGCAGGGAAAAAAAUUCAUAGACGAGAAAACGAUCUUCUAUAACGAAAUCUGGAUGAUGUAAAGCACUGGAAAACACAAGAAUCUAGAAAGAAAAAGGAGAAGUUUAGAGAGAACCUUGUAAUCCGGGCCUAUAACUCUGUGAUGCGAUGUUUCGGCGACAGAACCCGUGGAAAGAUUGUGAAGCCGCGGGUAUGGGAUCUUGUAGUGCCAAGCGAUCUCAUACCGGGUCUCCCCUUCAAAUAUCUGCAAGAGACAAAUAUUUCAUGGCCGAAUGGAUCAGAGCAAACUGGGGAACACAAACACCUUCUCGUUGAUCAGCUUGGAAUCAGACAAAUGCUGGUUCUUCCGGAAGAGCUGCACGGCCUCGUCCUGGAGAGAAAGAUAAGGAGAGAGAGAGAGAGAAUUUGAGCGAGAAGAAAGAACACCACAAUCUCCUACCUUGAUGUAUUGCUUCUCGUUCUCCGGACCCGGCCAUGUCCGAGAUGAUCGCAGUAACGAUCGGUAGAGCGCCAGCGCCCUCGCCCUCGUUCCCAUUUCCACACAGAAGAAAUUAGGGCUUUACAUUAUCCAGAUUCGCUGCUAUUGUAAGAAUAUUCUCCGGUCAAUCCGGAGUAAGUAAUCCUCGGCUUGCUUGAGAGCUCCGAGUGAGACUUGGUGUGAUCGCCAUCGAUAUGAUUAUCUUGCCAGAACUAUCGAGUGAUCGACGACUUCACAACCAGCUCAAGUCUAGAGGUGAGAGCAAAAAGAACUCCAGUGAAAGUACCUCUUCUGGAUCAACGUAGAAACCCGGAUGGGAAUGCGAAUUCCCACAAAGUCGAGCGAGCUUGUCACUUCCUCCACACGGCCAACACAUCGUCAGUCCGGAACCGCUGAGUGCACGUCGAUUCCUCCAGUGGAGUAGUGAUGCCAGCCUCAAACGCCAGGAGCCCAGUAUACGCGAUCAUGGCUCCAUUGUCUAUGCAGUAUCUGUCGUCCGUCGCGAAGAGCUUGCCUCCCCUCUCGUCGCACAUCACCUGCAUCAUGGCUUGCAGCCUCUGGUUGCAUCCAACGCCGCCGACGAUGAGGACGUCUCGCUUGUCACAGUGGGCCAUUGCUCGUUCUGUGAUCUCCACCAGCAUCGCGAACACAGUCUCCUGCUUGGUCUUUCCGAGAUGAGAAAACAGUACGAAGAAAAAAGAGAUUUUUACCUGGAGUGAGAAGCACAAAUCAGCUGGAGUGCACUCCUUGGCUGCCAGCUUCUCGGUCGCAACGCUCUCAAUGUAGCUCAAAAUGCCACUGAAAGAAACGUCCAUUCCUUUCACCACGUAAGGCAGCUCAAUGUACUCGCUCCCCUUCUUCGCGAGCUAUUACGUUGAAGAAACCAUUCAUGAGACGAACAAGGAAAAGAAAAAAUUCCAAGAGCUACCUGUUCGAUGUUAUAACCCGGAGCUGGAUCGUUGGAGAUGUUGAGAACUCUGGCAAAUCGAUCCAGGCAAUUCCCCACAGCGAUAUCAAUCGUCUCUCCAAAAAUCCUGUAGCGCCCUUCGCUGUAAGCUAUCACCUGCGUGUUCCCACCACUGACAUAGAGCACCACUGGAUCGCUGGCGCCAGUUACGACUCUCCCCAUCUCAAUGUGAGCCACGCAGUGAUUGACAGCCACGAUGGGCUUCUUCCACAGCAGCGAUAGAACCCUAAUCACCACUGCCACUGUCUGGAGCGGCGCUCCCAUCCCAGGCCCCUUAGUGUAGCACAGGCAAUCGAUGUCGCCCGGGGCGAGCCCGGCCUCGUCCAGCGCCGCCUUGAUCAGGGGCAAGAUCUGCUGCUGGUGAUGGAUUGCCGUCUCGCGCGGCAGGAAUCCCUCACCUGGUGGAGUGAUGUAGGUGCGCCGCGGAUUGGCGAGGAUUGUCCCAUCGCUCUUGGCAAUGCCGACGCCGAUCUUGUUCGCGGAGCCCUCUAUCCCCAGCGCUAUCUUCAUCGCUCGGGGUUUAGGGCUUUAGGGGAUCCAAAAGCCCUAAUCUGAAUGUUUAAUGGAAUAUCCUCCAUUAUAGGGCGACCUGGCCAUGGCGAUGCAUGGCGAUUCAGUGACGAGGUAUGGCGCUGAGUGGAUCGAUUUGCUGUAGCUGGAUCGAUUACUGUAGCUAGAAAGCGCUAGCGCUUAAAAUCUCCGCUGCAUGCCUGUGGAGCGGCACCAUUUUUCACUCCAGGGCCGUGCUCUGCCGCUUGCGUCGUUGUUUAGCUGGGGAGCGCUGCAAUUUGCGCCCCUUUUCCCUAGCAAUCCUUCGUACCUUGCAUUGAUUUUGCUGCCUUUCGAGUCGCGAUCACUGGAUUGUCUCACUUCCGUUAUGGUGAUUUUAACUUAGUCUUCCUUUCUUUGUUUUUGCGUCCUUGUGUCUCUUCCUGUCUUAUCACUGAGGCUUUGUUUAUUCUUCUCUUCGAGCGGUGAACGCGUGAAGUACUUUGAGCGAUUUUUCUUUGCCUUCGUCUUCUUUCCUCUCUUUGUUUUCUAUCCAUACGAUUGUUUCUAGCCUCCGGCCAACUCCUGCUUGAACAGCGGGAGAUUUUUUAGAACUACACACACGAGAGUUGAGCAACGCGGUAUGGCAGGAUUUUCAAGACGGAUUUUGGCAACAGACACUCCCGUCAUGGUUCAGGUGCUUUACUGGAACUGGAAGAGGGGAAGAGAGCAAGAGAGGAAGAUUUUGCACUUUGAUUCUUUUCUUUUGUGUCCCGACUGUGCGUUGUAACUUUGUUAGCUGUGGAAGCUUGCAGGUUCAAGAGCUUCUUCAAGGAAGAAACGAUGUUGUCUCGCUUGCCCAGGUCUCUUCCACAUUUGUUUGAUCUGAUUACAAAUCAUUCUUCCAGGGAGUUGUCCAUUGGCAGCCUCCACCGCAAGCUCUCGAGAAAGUCAAAGAUCUGAUACAGGACAUUUCUACAAGCCGCUAUGGCCCAGACGAUGGCCUUCCAGAGCUUAGGCUUGCACUUUCCGAGAAGGUUUGUUUCUUUUCUUCUUGCUCUCUCUUUUUCUAACUCACACCUUUCGUUUCUUCGUCCACAGCUUAAGAAGGAAAACAAGCUUUUCAAGUCUUCGGUGAUGGUCACCGCUGGUGCAAACCAGGUGAACUAACGCAAUCUUCCGUUCCAUAGGCAUUUAUUGUUCUAGUGAUUUUUUCUCCCAGGCCUAUGCGAAUUUAGCACUCAGUUUGUGUGAUCCAGGAGAUUCCGUGGUAAUGUUUGCUCCAUAUUACUUCAAUGCGUACACGACAUUCCAGAUGACUGGCAUCUAUGACAUCGUCGUGGUUCCCAGUCAUCCAGACACUUGUCAUCCAGAUCCAGGUACUUCAGCUUCUUUUUCUAAUGAUUCUCUACGAACAUUUACAACAGAAAUGCUGGAGAAAGCUCUUCGUGAGCAUACCCCAAAGCCGAGAAUUGUUAACGUUGUGAAUCCUGGAAAUCCUUCUGGUACUUAUUUACCAGAGGAAACACUCAAGGCAAGAUCACCUCUCUUGCGAUAUUUUCCUGGCUCUAAAUUUCGUUUUUCGACACAGCGAAUAUCGGAGCUGUGCAAGAACGCUGGAGUUUGGCUCGUUGUAGACAACACGUACGAGUAAGUUUUUCCCCUAUUCUUUGCUUUUUCUUUUCCUUAAACUUGCUACUUGAAGGUAUUUCAUGUACGAUGGUCGCAAACACGUUUGCAUCGAAGGUGACCACAUACUAAACGUCUUUUCGUUCUCCAAAGCCUACGGCAUGAUGGGAUGGCGAAUAGGAUAUGUAAGAAUCUCUACAUCAAAACCAUUUUUUCUCUCCUCCUUAUCAUUGCCUUGGUGGUGUUCACAGAUCGCCUAUCCAUCAACAGUGCCCGGCUUUGGCGAGCAGCUGCUCAAAGUCCAAGACAACGUCCCCAUUUGCGCGUCGAUCAUCGGGCAAAAACUUGCUCUGGCCGCUCUAGACGCUGGUCCUCAAUGGGUCCUGGAACGAGUAGCGAGACUAGGCAAGAACAGGGCCAUGGUUUUGGAUGCUCUCUCGUCGCUGGGCCAAGGAGCUGUGAAAGGAGGCGAGGGGGCAAUUUACUUCUGGGCCAAGCUUCCGGAGAAAUUCCCAGACGAUGUAGCAGUCGUGAAAUGGCUGGUUUCCAAGCACAAAGUUAUGGUGGUUCCUGGUAGCGCUAGCGGAGGAAAGGGGUGCAUUCGAAUCUCCUAUGGUGGAUUGGACGAGGGGAGCUGCGAAAUCGCGGCGGCGAGGCUUAAAGCCGGCCUGGAAGAGCUUGUUCUUCGCGGUUGCGUCUAGGCGGGAAAAAGGUUUUAAAUUUGAAUUUGAAUUGAUUUUUAAACUGGCGGGCUAGGGCUAGGGCAAGGGCUUUUGGCGAUGGAGAGUCCAGCAGCGCCUGUGGUGCCGGUGGAGCAGAAGGCCGAGCGCCUUCCACAGGAUGCUGGAAAACUGGUUUUCUCGUUUGGAUUCGAGGUGCGUCGCGAGAAAUUCCGCUGUUCUUGGGAUCGCAGCUGAUUUUUCUUCUCUUUGUCUCGCAGGGAACACGGAGGAACAACAUUUGCUACAUCGAGCCUAGUAUUCUAAUGCACACUUGUGGAAACACCAUUCACUUCCUCGACGUUAGAACCAUGACUGCGACUUAUCUUCCCGUGAGUUUUUGUGGUCCGGUCUUUCUUCCACCUUGUCAUGCUUGGUUUUAUGUUUUCUAGAGUGUUGGAGGUCUUGGGAUUGGAGCAGUAGCGAUCCAUCCAACGAAGAAGUACUUUGCAGUGUGCGAGAAGGGGAUUAAUCCGAAUAUUUAUAUCUAUGACUAUCCGAGCUUAGUAUACACGAAGGUAUGGAGUUCAGUGUCUUUCUGAUUUGAAAUAUAUAAUUUAAGGCAGGUUUUAAAAGAUGGUACCGAGAGGCUCUUCAGCGCUGCCGCGUUUAAACACGAUGGAAAUCAGCUUGCAACAGUUUGUUUAUUCUUUUCAAUCUGAAGUUUUCCAGACAUUUAGAAUCGAUGUUGUUGCAGGUUGGAGGCUAUCCCGACUACUGGUUGACUGUAUGGGAUUGGCACAACGAGACAAUUAUCUUGAGAGCGAAAGCCUUCUCGCAGGAGGUUUUUAAUGUAAGCGUGGUGGAAUUUUUUAACUGAGCGUUGCUUAUUUUGUUAUGUGUUUCUUAAUGCAGGUGUCUUUCUCGAAGUACUUCUCUGGUCAGUUGCUUACCUCUGGCGUUGGACACAUUCGAUUCUGGAAUAUGGCUUCCACUUUUACCGGAAUGAAGCUAGAGGCAAGAUAUGAGGAUAAAGCCUCUACAUAUUGUCUAAUUCGUGCUCGAGUUUACGCAGGGUUUUAUAGGAAAGUUUGGACAAGUACCACUAAGUGAUAUUGCCGGUUAUGUAGAACUUUCCAACGGAAAGGUGUGGCUUAGCAUUUGUAUCCUCGUGUGCUAGAUAAUUCUCUUACUCAGGUCCUCUCCGGAACAGAGGGAGGCGGUAUUAUCGUAUGGGAAGGCGAACUCGUCAAAUGCCAAUUAAAAAGAAAAGGAGGGCUAAGCUGCCAUGAUGGAAUGGUGGAGAUCACAAUUCACGAUACGGGGGUUAAUGAGUUGAUUACGUGCGGAUCUGAUGGAUACAUAAGGUUCUGGGACUUUGGAACGGUAUGUAAAAUUCUUGUAAAGCUGUUGUCUCAUGCGACUGGUUUCUCUGAAGUGGUUGGACGCAGCUGAUGAUGGAGAUGAGAAACUCAUUUGCGAGGUGAAUCCCCUUCGAGAGCUUUUCGUUGAUCCGGAGUGUAAAAUAAAAGGGAUCUUGUUCGAACAAGACCAUUGGAUGAUUCAGGUCGGUAUUUCCGUUUUUUACCCGUCGCGACGACAAAGCUGACAUGAGUUCUACGGAAUGGACAGGAUGAAGGUGGUGCAUUAUGGAGGGUGCAUGUGCCAUCGUUUGAGCUAGAGCAGAUUCUGGAGUUCCAUGCAGGGGCAAUAGUUUCGAUAGCGAGCUCGCCAAACAGUUAUUACAUUGCGACGGCAGGCACAGAUGGCACCGUAAGCGAAAGGGGGUACACUUUGUUGUUACUCAAAGGCGCUCCUCACUUGCAGGUGAGGCUUUAUAACUUCAAGCAGCAGAAACAAAUAUACAAGCGACGGUUUUCAGCACCGUGUACCACAAUGAUCUGGAUGCCACGGACAGUCGAUCCUGAAUGCAAAACCAUUGCUGUAGGAUUUAAGGAUGGAGUGGUGCGUAUGCUGCAACAGUGCAGUACCAGAUGGAGGCUUCUGCAUGCAAUGAAACCUCAUAACGUAAGCAUGGAUAAUAUCAUAUCAUGAAAUGGAUUUUCCUGCAGAUGGAAGUCACAGGACUCAAACUCAGUCCGGAUGGCGAGCUUCUGGCAACUGUAUCAACAGAUGCAACAAUUUUUUUCUUCCAUUGCCUCGAAAAUUACAGGCCAAUUGGGUACGUCUGCAUAUGUUUGGGAAAGUUAUCAAUUUACUAUGUUGGCCUGUAGAUUUUUUAAAUUUGCAGCAGGAGUAGGGUGCUUGGAUUGGUCUCCUAAUGGGGACUACGUGCUAUUGGCGUGUAAAAACUGCGAGAUUCUUGAGGUUGCUCGACCACGUACGUCGACGUACUUUCUUUAAGUGAUCGAUCUGAUCGUAUCUUGUGAUGCAGCAUUACAUCCAGAUACCAAAGUUACGUAUGAGCUAGCAUUGCCGUCGAGAGCUAUUUCGUUUCUUCUCCCAAAGAUAAAAAAACCGAAACCGCCGCCACCUCCACAACAACCAAAACCGGCCAAGGUAUUGAUUGCAAUGCCAUGUUAUUCUUCUUAUUCCUGCUUUCAGCGUUGACUAGACAAGUGAAGGCGAAGGAGGUGAAAAUCCUGAGGGUGCUUCAGCGACCGAGGGCACUCCUCCAGCAGAAAGAGCCUCUGGCGAAGGUCAAGCUGUUGAGGGAAAGGAAGGAGAGGCAGGAGAGGGAGGUGAAGGUGAAGAAGAGGGUGAAGAAGGACCUGAAGGACCUGAAGUAGCCGAAGGCGAGGGGGAUGAAGGUGGAGGACGGGAAACAGAGGAAGGAAAGAAUAAAAAGAAAAAGACAAAGAAGGCUCCCCCGCCGCCAGCAGUUGAAGAAGUCCUACCCGAUGAGUUUUCCUCUUCAUUCCAAGCAGGAGCAUUGUUGUACACAAAAAGUAGCAUGAACACAUUCUACGUAUCGCUAGAGGUGAGCACACUUGUCAACUCGUCAUAUUCUUACAUUUGGAAUUUUUCAUUUCCAGGGGAAGACGGGAUUGCUGUACGAAUCUCAUGCCGACUCUAAAGACGCUCUAGGAUAUGCGCCGUGGAGUCAAGGAACGCUAACUACGCUCGAGUACGUUACUCUUUUCUAGCUCAAUUACGCUUCAACCAUUGUUUAACUGUAGGUACACGCAUUCGAUGGAGUAUGUUGUGUCAGGAACAGCUGAUGGAGUCGUUCGCAUCAAUACUACUCCUCACGCUGGACAAUUGGGUUUAGUACAGCAGCAAAAGUACUGGGAGGUAUCAAUGCGUAACAUACAAGUUUCUCGUUUGACAUUCCUUUACAGGGUAAUGUUCACGAUUGCUACUCGGGUUCCAUUGGCAACUGUGUCAUGAGCUAUGACAAUUUGUAUUUGGUACUUGUUGUUGUUGCAUUCUAUUGAGUAUCUAACCUGACAUUCUCAGGCCAGUGUCGCCCAUGAUGGCAGCUUUUUCCUUUAUGAGAUGUCUUUGGAAACAGGGGCCCCUAGGCAUCCUGAUACAAAAACUAAAGGUUUUAUGUUAAUGGUGAUACAUUCCAGAGGCUGACUUUCACGUUUGUGCUGCAUUUGGCAGAUCUUGAAGAUACUUUGCCAGACGCAUCAGACGUCCCCCCUGGGGUCUAUAGCAUCGAGGAUGACAAACAGAAAACGGAACAAGAAAACAAGCUCAGGACUGCAUUGCAGAAGAAAAAGCUUGUCACUGACAGAUUGGAUAGGAUCCGGCGAGAACUGGAAGAGCUUAUCAGAGUAAACAAAGAAAAGACGCCAACCGAAAUGAUUCCUUUCGAGACUUUUGAGAUAGACUCGAGUUUGAGGGGGUAAGAACUUUCGAGUAUUUUAGUAUUUUAGUCAUGGCUUAUUUUUACAGUAUACUCGAAAACGAGAUCAAGGAGAAAGUAAGAAGUGCUCGCGAAGAAUUGCAAUGGGAGAGUGAAAGGAGCGAGAUUGCACUAUCCAAGCUUCGGGCGUUUCUGCUCGAUCCUCUGGAGGUCUGCGUUGUCCUUGCGUUUAUUCUAAUAGUCAGAAUUUCUAGUGCAGGUCGAGCAUAUUGUUUUGCAUGCAUUCCGAACAGAUGGCCAUGUCUCUAGCUUUCGCACGGAAAAGCUUUCCCCAGAAAUGAAGGUUGGUACCAGGAACAAGAAAAGUAUGUUUCUGUAAUUGUUGCUUCUGCUGAUUAAGAUGAUAGAAGAAGCAAAAGCUAUCACGGAUGACAAAAGCAAAACCCAAGAAAAAGAUGCUGAAGAUGGCAAGGUGUGUAUUCACUCGUCGGCAUUUAUUUGCUUUAAUACUUUUGGUAUGUCUUGUAGGAAGGUGGUGAAAGCGUUGUUUCCGAGCCAGAAGAAGGUGAAGACGACGAUAUCAUCACAAAACAGGAUUUGAGAAGGCUCAAACUUAAGAAAAAGGAGGAUGAGUAUGAAGAUUACCUGAAGACAAAGCCAGAUGAUGUGUGAUUGAUGCUAUCAAAGUUACAAGGAUCUCAUGCAAGUUUCCUUGGUCUUUGUUUAUAGGCUUAUGCCAACCCGGAGGACCUUGAGGCCAUAAGGCAUGCAGAGAACACAAAAGGAGAUUUCAAGCUAAAGACAGACCUGACAUAUGUGCCACCGGUAGAACAAAGAACAAAUGCCGUGAAAAAGAGAAAUGAAAUGGUCUUUUUAUACGAAGCCAUACACGACCGAAAGAUGAGCUUCAACAGUGAGUUUCUCUCUCUCAGAGAAAAAAAGAAGCAGAUAAGAUUCCAGAUAACACAACGAAAUUCAAGGAUUUCAGAGAUCAAUAAUCUGCUCAGGUAUUUUCUUGUGCCGGAAUGGAAACUUACAAUGCUGUUGCUGUUGCUGCUACAGGAUCAAAGAGGAACCUUUAUACAGUCCUCUAACUUUCAAAGAUGAAGCGCCGGAAGAGCGGAACAACAUUACUAAGAAAGUAUGUGUUGUAUCCCUUUCAUGAACGGGCUCAAACAUUCUAUCUGUACAGGAUCUGGACGACUACAUUGAGAGGAAGAGGAAAGCAGAGAUGAAAGUGGAGGUAUUCCUUUUGUCUACACACACUGCUAUGUGGUUCAAGAAAACAAAGUUUUGUGUGUAGGAAAAAGAUAAAGGUGGUGGCUUCGGAGGAUUCGGUGGUGGCCCUGUCAAAAAGGUGGAAAAGAAGGCAGAGAAGGCUGAAAAGGGAGCUGAGAAAGCCGAAGAAAAGAAGGCAGCCGACCCUCAACGAAAAAUGUCUAGGAAAAUGUCAGAAAGAGUUUCAAGGAAAACGAUAAGAGAGGGUGAAAUAGCAUCAACAACAUCAGCGUUGCGUGCUCCUUCGAUCCUGGAGGUAAAAAAUGUUCUGUGUUUUGGUUUUUGAGCUGGUUUUUCUGUGCUGCAGCAAGCUGAACAGGAAGCAUUUAUUGUGAAACUGAAAUAUGAGAAGGCGCUGAAUAAAGAGAGAAUUGAUUUGCUCAUCUCUACAUUUGAUAGUGAUUUGGAGGACUUGAGGAAUCGGAGGUUUACGCUCGACAUAAAAAUCAAGGGUGCUGAACUGAAGAUGCUCAUCCUUUAUCAAGUAAGUUUUUUGUACACGCUUCUGUUCUCUUUCCAAGUGUUUGUCUCGAGUAUUGAUGUUUCAGGAGCUUAGACUUCUUCAAACUCUUCAACCCAAGGAGCAAGCUCUACAAAAUCGCCAUACUGCUAAGCUGCUUGAAGCGGAGGACCUAUUAGUAAGAUCUUUUGUCAAUGAUGCCAGGAUCAGCAAUAAAUUUUUAAAUUUUUUGUGAACAGUCGAAAAUAAGCGACCAAGAAAAAGCUGUGGAGUUGAAAAAGCAAGAGGUGGCUGGAUUGCAAGACAAGAAGCAACAGGUUCGCAGUAAAACUGUUGUUUUGCUAGUUUUGUUAUGGUCUAUGUGCAGCUCUUGGUGGAGUUCGAGCAAAUGAUGGGAGAAAACAAUCCGUUCAGGGACACUCUUUACAAAAUCUACACAAAGAAGAUGAAACGACCGAAGCCAAAAGAACCUGGUGAAGAAUCGGAUUCGGAAGAGGAAUCGGAUUUGGAAGAAGAAGGCUCCGAUGAAGAUUUUGAAGAAGAAGAGGUUUGUAGCGCAUGCAAUGGAACAAAAUAUGGUGAGUUCUUUUUCAGACACCCGAAGUAUGUCCCAGUGGAUGCGAGGAGUCCCUGUAUGCAAGCGUGCUUGCUCUACGUGAAAGACGUCUUGACGUCGACGAAGCCCUCGUGGAGAACGUGAAACUUCUAGACAGUAAGAUCUUUCUUGUGUUUACGUUUCGCUUUGCUAACAUCGGUGUGCCACAGGCAUGCAAAGAGAGAAAGAGACGAAGUUGAAGAAGAAAAAAGGAAUAGACGUUGCUCUCGAGACAAUCAAACGCGAGCUAGGGGAGUUUCAGAAACAGAAGCAGACUGCCUUGAAUCAGAUCGACGUCGCAGUCACACUUUACAUGCAUCAAGUAAGUUAGUAUUCUCCCCUUGUCGUUGAUUUCCAGCUUACUGGCGUGCCACAGGUCGAGUACAUCGAAAAUGCCGCGAUUCCCAAAGACCUGUCCGGUGGCCUCGUCUUUACAAACGCCUCGUUGAAGCAACUGAGAGCGACGAUUGAGAGGCACGUAGCCGAGAAGGCGGCACUGAGGAGAUUGCAAAAGGACCUGCGAAAGGAGUACGCGGCACUGGUCCGUGAACGAAAAGCUGAGGAAGAAAACACUACCGAUACGGAGCAAAGAGUCAUUGACGUGCAAAUGCUCAGAUUUGGACAGGUUUGCCAAGCUUUUCCAAUUUUUUUUCUUUUCCUCGCUGGUGUUUGCUUAUUGGUAUUUCCAGGUGAUUGACCUCUCCGUUGUGGAGCUUAUACGUGUCAGGAGGGACACUUUAGAGCUUAAGGAUAGAGUCAAGCAGCAAGAAGCAGAGUACAGUGCCGAGCUUGGCGAGUUGAGCCGCAAUUUGGACGAUGCCACUGACGAGCUUGCACGUAAGUUCUAGUUUUGUCCAUCUAGCUUGAAUUUCUUUCCUUCUCUUUUCCUGGAACAAACAGGUGCUAUGCGAGAAAACUCAGCCUCGCUGUACACAAUAGCUGAUCUUCAGGAGAAACGCAAUGCCAUUGAAGCGGCAAGUCACAGACAUUUCCCUCUCGCUGCUAAGUUUUUCUCACGGUUGUCUCUCGCAGAGCAUGAAAAUCAAAGCGAGAGCCACAUUCCGAGAUCCGCUGAUCGAAAAGCGUCGAGACGCAGCAGAGCAAGAGCGAUUGCGCCAGGUACUCACAAAUCUAAGAUGAAAAAAAAGAAAAAUACUCACGAAGAAAACUCUCGGCUUGUACAGAUUGUUGUCCGGAACGCUCAAGUCAUGGACAGCCUCGAAGGCCAAUUAAACUACGCCCACGACAACUUCGAAUCAAUCUUCCCAUAGCAAACGAGCUCGGCUUGAUUGUUUGAUUGUCUUUCGAAGGCUUAUACAACAACAAAACGGCUUAUAAGUAGCACACGUAUAUCAACGACUCACCGGGAGAGAAGUUCACUCGUAAAGCUUCUCGGCAAGGCGCGGCGUCGCAACAGCUUGGACAGGAUUCGCCAUGAACGUCACGACACCCGGACGCUCCGUGAGGUCGAUCUUCUCGGGCUUCACUCCCGGCGGUGGUGCCCAGGAGAAUUGGUGGAGGAGCCGAGCAACCAUGAGCUGGACCAUGUUGAGACCGAGCUGAGCUCCCGGGCAGAUCCUCCGGCCAGCGCCGAAAGGUAGGAGCCUGUAGUCGUGGCCUUUGAUAUCAACGUCCUCUUCCAGGAACCGCUCGGGGCGAAACACCGACGCUCGCUUCCACACCUUGGGGUCUCGCCCGAUCGCGUAAACGUUGACGUGAACGAUGGUCCCUUUGGGGAUGUCGUAGCCUCCGAUCUUGACGCGGGUGGUGGCCUUGUGUGGGAGCAUGAGCGGCGUCGUUGGGUGGAGCCGGAGUGCCUCUUUGACGAUGCUCUGGAGGUAUGGCAGCUGCUGGACGUCCACCUCGGUGAUGAUCCGCUCCUUUCCGAUCACUCGGUCCAUCUCCUCGUGAGCUUUCUCCUGGACUUUCGGGUGCUUGAUGAUCUCGGCCAUCGCCCACUCGGCUGAUAUGGCCGUGGUGUCCAUCCCCGCGGUGAUCAUGUCCUGGAAAUACACGAAGAACAGACCGUCAACUUUCGAGCUCCAAGUUCUAGCAAGAAAGAUAUCUCGCAGAAGGAAGUUCUUACCCAGAGGAGGCCGAUCACGGUGGUCUCGCUGAGACCAUACUGGUCCUUGAGAUUGAGCAGCGCGUCCACGAAGUGUUCCUGGCUCGUCCCACUCUUCUUCUUCUCCAGCGCGUGCUCUUCCAUGAUCUCCUUGGUGAGGCUGUCUCUCCUGGCGCCGUGCUUGGCGAAUUCCUCCUCCUGGAGCGGGAACAUCCAGCGGAUGAAGGAGAUGUGCUCCGCCAUGGUGAGCGACGCCCCGAGCUUCAUCCCCUGCGAGAUGAUCGCCUUAAACUCCACGCCCUGCGGCAGCAUCUCUCCAUUCUCGUCCACGAACCUCUUCCCGAAGACGAUCCUCGUGAUGUUGUUGAACGCCACCGCCGAGACGUAGUUCUUCACGGUCACCGCCGCGCCACCAUUGUUCUUCACGUCCUGGAAGAUGGACUUCACCAUAGCGCCCACUUCCUCCUCGCGGAUCCAUCGCAGGGACUCGAGUCUCUUGGGCGUGAAGAGCUCCAGCGUACACAGCUUCCUCACCUUCACGAAUCCAUCACCAUUGUCAGCGAAGAAGGAAGAAGGAAGAAAGAAAUUCUAGAGUUCUCACAACCCUUCUCACCUUGACAUAGUGGUCGCCAUAGUCGGCCCAGAUGAGAUCCUGGCCGUUCCUGGAGAACCUAGCAGCAGCGCGCGUGAGCGGCCGCGAUGCGAGCUCCUUGUCCUUCUCCUUGAGCACCUCCUUGGCGAGCUCGGCAUUGGAAAUUACCACAUUGAGAUUCGUCCCCAUCCACACUGACAUGAUCGGCCCGUGCUUCUCCGCCCAGUCCAUGAAGCAUCGAAAUCUCACCGGCGACACGCGAUGGAGGCUCCCGAUGAUCGGCCAUGGCUUUGGCCCCGGCGGUAGCCGCGGCCUCGAGAGGAGCUUGAAUGUAAGGUAGACCAAGAACAAACCCACGGGAAUCGUCCAAGUCGAGUAGCGAUGGCCGUGAUCCGGCGGCACGAACUCCGUGUAGUGGUGAUGGUGGUGGUGAUACGCUUCCGCCGAGGGAUCCAUAGCCAGAGCUCUGCAGUGAAUCUAAAGCAAAGAGCGCAUAAACCCUAGAAGCUCGAUCUAACGGUCUUAAAAGGCCCACGUGGAUAGCGCUUGGCGUUAGGUGUGGAAUGGAAGGUAAAGGUCUUUUUAUAAAUUUAAAGCCUUGACUUUGGCGGGAAAAGAUAUUUUAGGGCAGCUUCAAUGCGUUGGAGGAGAUCAAGAACGCGGCACGCCGCUCGCGUCCCUUGAUUCUCUUCGCCGUGGAUCUCACAGGCAGCGAGCAGCGUCCUCCAUGCGACGGCGUCUUCUUUUCUUGUAAUCCGAGCGAGCUCCUCCGCUUCGUCGAGCCGCUUCACCCGGCCCAGGGUUUGGAGACGCUCUGGCAGCCGCUCCAGGUGGAAAUUCAUGGCCAUGGAGUCGGGAUCACUGCCGCGCAGUAGCAUCUCGCAAGAUAUUUCGAUAUCUCGCUCGCAGUCCCCGCUCUGCGCAAUCGCGGUGAUCAAGACGUUCCAUGACACGGAGUCCAGCUCUUGCGCCGAAUCGCUGUUCCUGGCGCUGUCGAGCAGGCCAUUGUGCGCGUAAGUGCUCGCCAUCGCAUUCCAGGUGAGAAUAUUUCGCUCUGGAAUCUGUGUGAAGCUCACGAUCGCUUCCUCUAUCAGGCCGUUCUGCCCGCACGCGACGAUCAUCAAGUUCCACGACAAGAGAUCCCUCCCAGGAAUUCUGUGGAUCACGGCUCUGACCUCUUCGAUCUACUGUCCCCGGUGAGCAAACGCCGAGAGCAGCCAGCUCCAAGACGCCAGAUCUCUGUGUCUCAUCGCAUCAAACUGGAGCUUGCCGUCCUCGACCGAUCCAGCUCGAGCAAAGGCUCUGAUUCUCAGAAACCAGGCUCAUCUGACAACGAUCUCGUGGGCGGCAUGGGCAUCGCAUCUCGAGUAGGCGGCAAUCAUCGCGUUCCAGGAUCUGGCGAAAGAAGAUUUUCUGGGUGUUCUUCACAUCGCCGCUCUCGGCAUAGGCCUGGAUCAUCGCGGUGAGCACGACGAGAUCGUGCUGCGGCAUCCUCUCCACAACCUCUCGGGCCAGCAGGCGCGAGUAGGAACUCACCAGCGCGGUCCAGGACACGGCAUCUCGCUGAGGAGCAGCGUCGAAGGUCUGUUUCGAUCGAUCAUCCUGGCUGCUAACCGAGAUCAUCGUGUUCCAGGACACUCGAUCCCACAUUGGCAUCGCCACGAAGAUCUCUCGCGCCUCGUUGCCAUCGCAAUCUCUAGCCGCGAGUAGCAACAGCGCGUUCCAAGAGAAUCCAUGUCUCUUGGGCAUGGCCAAGAACAAGCUCCUCCCCUCGCAAAGAUCCCCCCUCUGGGCAUAUGCCUGGAACAUCAAGUUCCACGUUACUAGGCUCUUACAGCACCAGAGAUUCCGGAAUACGUCCAGCUUGGCAGUACGCCCCAAAUGAUCCUUGUCCACGUGUUGGAAUCUCGCUGUGCAUUUAGAGCACAUUCCAAAUUCCCUGCCUGGGGAUAUGCGUGGAGGACGGUGUUCCAGGCGCAAGGCAUCUUCUCAAAAACUUCCAUGGCAUCCCCAAGAUUCCCAAGAGAUACAAUCUUGGCGGGGCAUAUUCUCCAGGAUUCUGGCAUAUGCCCAUAUGCCGCAACAGUGAUAUUCCGUGAUAUUCGAUAGUGUAGGAGACGUUCCUAGCGCCGUACAGUCUCCCGAGCUUACCGUACAUUUCAACGAGCGCGUUGGAGAGGAAUGUAUUGUCUCUGAGCUCUGGAGUGGAGAAAAUCUCCUCAUGAAUCGCCGAUGGAGAGGAGAAAUCUCUAGAUAUAUAUUUUUUAUUUUAAACAUUUACCUUGUUUACGUGCACGCAGUAAUAUUCCAACAAUAUUCCGACAGCCAGAUAAAUCAUACUUUUACUUGAAUGUCCACUUAGGGUUCUAGAAUAUUUUCAAACAAGAAGUAGAGAGAGAGAGGGACGAUGGAGCGCAAGAUUUCGAUCGCCGACACAAUUCUCAAGGACGAUCCCUCGAAUGCAAAGGCGAUCCUCUCAAAGGCAAACGCGCUCGCUGAGCUUGGAGAGUACCGGCUCGCCCUGGCCACUCUUGAUGAGGCGCCAUCGAUGGACCAGAUCCAAGAACUCCAGGCGGCCGCUCAAGAAUGGGACAGGCAGAGCACAGUCGGACGCUUCGAUCUAUCGGCCUAUAUUCUCAGCGGAUGCCAGGACGAUGUCAAGUUUGGGAAUUUCGUUGGUCCAGGGACGAUCGUGAGCGUGCCGGGCAAGGGUCGCGGCUUCAUUGCCACCGAGGACGUGGAGGCCGGCCAGAUUCUCCUCUGCGAGAACCCCAUCGUCUUCAGGUAUGUAGUUUCGAUCGAUUUUGCACCCGAUCCGGCCAAAGACUGAUUCUUUCUUUCUCCCGCCGAUCCGCGCGGCAGCUAUGGAUCGUUCGACAUGAACCAGCUCAAGGCGUCGCUCCAGGAGGCGGCAAAAUCUCCCAAAUUGAUGACGAAGCUCAUGGCUAUGGAGGGCACCACGAUCCCAGCGAUGGCUAUCUUCACGCCCAACUCAGGUGUGGUGGAUCUUGGCAGCGCCAAGCCGAUCGCACUCCAGCGGCUUAUGAAGAUCGUAGUCGACAAGAUCACCUGGGGACAUCUCUACUGCGCGCGCAACGGGAUGCUUCGUCCACAGGCAUUCUAUGGCCUCUGGCCGGUGCUCGCCUUCGUCAACCAUUCGUGCUCCUACAAUGCCUCGAUCGCCUUGGUUGGCCAGGCAAUGUUCCUCGUCGCCAGCACCAGGAUCCGGCGUGGGGAGGAGAUCGUCUUCUCGUACGUUGAUCCGUGCCAGCCAUACUUCAAUCGCCACAAUGUGCUCGGCUUCCAGUGUAGCUGCCGCCGCUGCUUGCUAGAGCUCCAGCGCCCCGCCAUCACCAAGCUCAAGGCUAAGUUCACACAAGCCUGCCAACACUACGAGUCUGGAGAACGCAGCACUCUUGCGGCCAUGGCCAACGACGCCAAGAAGUUGGCGAGAAAGGAGGGAGAUAAGCUCGCCAAGGCAUGGAUUCGCACCAUCUUCUGGGUGUGCUACCGCGUCAACCUCGGCCAGGAAAAGGCUGCCAUCUCCUUCGAUGAUGCCUGGGAGCUCCACCGGGAAUGCACUCCCGGCCAACUCGGCCAGCUCUCUUUCAUCGUCAAGCGUCAACGCCGCGCCUGUGAGCCGAUCAACAAGUUUGAUGUUCUGAGAGCCUUCUCUCUAGGAUUCCCGAUCGUAGCUGUCGAGGACGAGGCUGUGGCUGCAGCCAUCCUUAACUUAGUUCCCGCAUAACGGUAUGAUUUCAUCUGUUUUACAUUUGUUUCAUACAGCUCUUGACAAUUCUCCCAUUUGUUUCAUACAGCUCUUGACAACUCUCCCAUCUUUAGAACACUACCGCUAAUGGUAUGGUAUGAGUUUUUCUUUUUAUUCUUGUUUCGUUCAGCUCUAACAGUUAUCGCAUUUUUAGGAUGAAAAAAUGUGAGCAGCGUGCUCCUCGGCUAUGAGCAUCGCUUUGCUGAUUCCAUCAACGUUGCUGCCCUGAAACAAUAUGGACAUGUAAACAAGACGAGAAACUAAUACAAGGAAGGAGCUUACUUGUCCCUGAGCAAACAUGGACUUGCCACCACCGUUCCCAUUCAAUGGCUCCAAAGCCUUUCUCAGCCACUCGACAGCACCGACUCCAUUCCCCGCCACGAAACUUGGGACUCCAGCGCAGACCAGCACCUUUCCCGCCACUGAAUCGACACUGAAGAUCAUCGUCGCAACGCUCUGAAAAUUAACACACCGCGGCAAGAAGUCAUGAUUGGUGAUCGAUCGAAAACACAGCCUUACUCUCUCGGUGCCUGCUGCAACACCUUCCCGGAGAGCAGUCGUGUCGAGGCCAACGUCGACUCUUAGAACAGACCAUUUGAGGCCCCGCAAAACUGCCUGACCCACACAGCAAACUGUCGUCUCCAUUGUUCUCUGCAGAUUCAAGUCCAGAGCCACCUUCUUUUGGAGCUUGACACGUUGCUUACAUGUGAAAGAAACAUGCCGAUGAGAUAUCAAAAACUCGAUGCGCGAAAACUCUAGUACCUGGAGCUCGCUAAGUUGCUGCUGCAAAUAGACCUUCCGAACUAGUGGAAUUUGCGAGAAGUUUUUAAGUGCAGCGAGUUCCUGUUUGUUUACAAUCCAAAGACUUUAAUAUGAAUCACAACGCAAAUUCCAACUUGCCUUUUCUAGCUCUGUGAGUUCCAGCGAGUAGGCGUUGGACACACGCGCAGAGAGUUCUUCCGCACGCUGGAUAGCCUCCUUUGCGAGGUUCCCAGUCACCGCAACCAAUCGCCUCGUACCCUUGGCGACUCCCUCUUCCGAGACAAUAGCAAAUGCCUCGGCCUGUCUAGUGUUCGAGAGGUGCGUUCCUGAUAGUCGAAUUUAGCGAGCUUUUUCGUUGCUAAACGAUAUCAACUUACCUCCGCACAGCUCCACUGAAUGGGUCAUGCAAGAUGGAUCAUUAAGUAGCUUGGAGACUGGCUCGCCGAUGGCCACAACCCGAACGGGAUCAGGAUAGAUCUGGCGACAAAAGUUUCUUAUAUAGAGAUGACUUUGAGGAUUCAUAGAUACCUCGCCAACAACAGUCCGGAGUCCCUGUAUCUUUCUUGCCUUCUCAAGGCUUAUUUCGCUCGAAAACACCUCGCAGCCGUCACGCACGAGCACUGACACCAUGUCUUCUAUCUUUUUAAGCUCUUGGAUUUCAAUCCUUUGCCCUGUAAGGGAAACAGUCAAACCAUGAAUAUACAUAGAAAGCACGUAAAACAUAUUUAAAAUGGAUCAGUACCAUGGCUAAAGUCGAACCUCAGCUUGUCAUGGGACACCAAGGAACCUUUCUGCUCGACAUGAUCUCCGAGCACAGCCUGAUUAGCAACACAUCUGCAUCAAAAUCAAGAACAUUGGUUGCGAUACAUACUCUUAAUGCACUGCUCAAAAGAUGAGUGCUUGUAUGAUUUGGUGCUAUCAUCGACCGAAUAGAGUAGUCUACCUGCAAAAUUUCCAUUAGAAAAAGGCAAAAAGAAAGAAAAAAAAAGAAACCUUUGCAAAAACGAUGUCUCCAACAGACAAAGCCCCUCGAGGGACUCCAUAAUGCACAACAUAUCCACCAUAUGAUUGUACAUUGAGCACUUGGAACGAGAAAACACUAGAUUCUAUUGCCCCGACAUCGUAUAUCUGCAAGGCAACAAUGGAAUUUAAAUAUUGAAAGAAAAUUUAUAUAUCACCUGGCCUCCUUGCUCUGCAUAGAAGGUAGUGGACUUAAGUAUCAAACCGACGACUUUGCCAUCGUGGUUUGCUUCAAGGGUUUGUGUCAAGCCAUCGGCAGUAACAAUCGCUGCCACUGUGGUUUGAUGAUCGUCAUAACCUUGGUAUUUACCCCGGUCAUUGGUUGGACUUAUCCCGCACUUUUGAAGCUGGGCUAUCUCCCUAGAUUCCAGUGCGAAGACAUUCCCACGGGCCUGAUCCAUUAAAAUAGUUACAACUUCAGUAAAUCAUGUCAAUAUUACUUGCCUUGGAACGAGCAGUGCGAGCUUUUUGCUUUGCAUUUUCCAAUUCGUGAUGAAAGCCAUGCACGUCCACAUGGAAUCCAUAUUGCUCUUGAGCCAUGAGCUGCAGGCACGUAAACUCAAUAAGUAAUUACUCGAACAAGACGAUUUCGACAAACCUGUGUAAGAUCGAGAGGAAAACCAUAAGUGUCCCAGAGCAAAAAUGCUUCCUGCCCACUAAACAUGCUAUUGUUUACAUCAGCAGCUGCUUUAUGAAAUCGUUCAACACCCUGCCACAUACAAACGAAGAAAAAAAAAAGAUAAACACAUUACAUCCACACUGUCGGCAUUACCUUUGCUAACGUUCUCGAGAAACAAGCUUCUUCCUCUGCAAGAACUCUCUUGACACGAUCACUCGCCGUUCUCAGCUCUGGAUACGCAUCACCCAUAGUUUCUACAACAGCAUCGACCAAGCUGAAACGAAAUAGUUCAAAACACCUCACAGAUUUUUCAAGUGAAAUACCCGCUGAAGAAACCAUCUCCACCUUUCAUGAUGUCAAUGCCAUAUCGAAUUGCCCGUCUGAGAAUACGCCUCAACACAUGACCAGGCCCUUCAUUACCUGUUCAAGCCACUAAAUUCGCUUAGGGAAAAAAAAAAAAAAAAACUUUUAAAAGACCUGGUUGACAGCCAUCAGCAAUAGCAAACGUAAGUGUUCGUACAUGAUCAGCUAUUACUCGGUAAGCAGUGUCAAUGAGAUCAGUAUCAUCCUUUCCCAUUUUACCGGAGUAUGGCCGUGCACCUGUGGCCUGUAUUGCCAUUCGUUAAAGAAAAAGCUUUACGAGGCACAACAUACCUUUUGGAUUGCUUCAAACAGCGGAAGAAACAAAUCAGUGUCGUAGUUGCUUGAUUUGUUUUGAAGCACGGACACGAGACGCUCAAGGCCCAUUCCCGUGUCGAUACUUUGCGUUGGAAGGGGCGUGAGCUUGCCAUCGGUUUCUCUGUUGAACUGCAUUGGAGAUGAAGAUAGUUAGCUUCAGUGUUGUAAGAGAAACCAUAGUCACACCUGUAUGAACACCAAGUUCCAGAUCUCAAUGCACAUAGGAUCGUCACUAUUCACGAGAGAAGCUGCAUCGCGAUCUCCGAUCCUAUCGAAGUGAAUUUCACUGCAGGGACCGCAAGGCCCAACUUCACCCAUCUCCCAAAAAUUAUCCUACAGAGGAGCAAAGUAAAGAAAAAAAGGAAAACGCUUGAAAGAGUGCCUAAAGCUUACCUUGCAACCAAAGGGAAGAACACGGUCAUGAGGUAAAAACUUGAGCCAGAUAUCUCUGGCCUGGAGAUCCGAAGGGAGGCGUAGUUUUUCAUCACCGCCGAAGUAUGUGACAUAGAGGCGAUCUUGAGGCAGCUUGUAAACCUUGACAAACAGUUAUCAAACCAGAAAGGAGGGAAAAGAAAAUGCAAAGCUUACGAAACCAGGAUCGGAGGAGUUUUUACCUGCGUAAGAAGUUCCCAGGCCCAGUUGAUCACCUCCUCUUUGAAAUAGUCACCAAAGGACCAGCUUCCUAGCAUCUCAAAGAAGGUGUGGUGGUAGCUAUCCUUUCCAACGUCGUCCAGAUCGUUGUGCUUGCCUCCAGCGCGAAUGCACUUCUGGCUGUUACACGCACGCCGGAGCGCGCUCAUGGAGCCCCCAUUUCCCAGCAACAGUCGCUUGAAUUGGACAACACCUGGAUAGCAAACAAACAAGAGCGUGAGCGAUCCAGCCUUCGAAUCUCACCCGAGUUCGUGAAGAGGAGCGACGCAUCGUCCGGUGGAGGUAGGACGGGGCUGGAUCGAACGAACUUGUGAUCGCGACGCUCAAAGAAGUCGACAAACGUGUCUCUCGCCUUGGUCCCGGACCACUCCAUGUUUGAUUUAGGGUUUAAGGGUUUUGCCUUUUAAAUGGCAAAACUUUAGGGCAGGCACUAUGCUUAGAAUAUUCUGCUAUCGCGAGAGAGAGAGAGAGAGAGAGAUGAUGCGGCUUCACGAGUUUGGAGCUUUUGGUCAUGGCAGAGUGUCAAUGAAUCUCUUUCAAAGUCCCUUUAUUGGGUGCCUCAUUCAUAUAGAUGCUUGAGAUAGGUGAUCCAAAUAUCUUCGGUUCGUGUUGGCUGGCUAUGUUAGUUAGCAGAAGAUUGCUUGGGUACGCUCAGCCUAGGGUUAUAACAGAGGUCUGCUCAACUAGCUGACUCAAUCCCUGUGCAGCCGAGCAGAAUGAGAGUGCCACGGUCUUAAUGCAGCCAACCCUUCACAUCUACAGGGACAUGAGAUUCUCCAAUCCUUCUUGGAUGUUCUCUGCCUAAUGCUAGUCUUGUUGAAGCUCUUUGUCCGCUGCUGCUGAAUGAAGCUCCAGCUUCAACUACUUACUUCAGCCAAUCUCAGAAUGUUUACUCGCCUCCAGGCUUCAUGGACAGCCUCACCAGCAGCAACACCCGAGGCCAAGCGGCAGAGAAUGCAGUGUGGACUCCCACAAGUUCUCUUCAAGGUAUAGAAUUUUUUUUAGCGAGAGACUUUUACACCAGACUUGAUAAACCGAUCACGAUGGAUGGUUGCUCUAUACGCUCAACAUUUUGAAAUACUGGUGAUGGCUGAGCAGUGACAGUGCUCAGCCAUAGCUAAACCAAUGCAAUGACAAACUUCUUUCUUUUUAUUUGGAUUGCUAGUAAUACUUUCGAGUUUUGAAAGUAAGUCACUUAGUUCAGUCUUCUUAUCUGAUGGAAAGUCCUCUACAGCUGUGUCAGAGCUGUUCUUAUAUCCAAUUUCACCUUAGAUUUGAACUUUCAUUUUACAGCAUAAUUGAAACCCACUCAUACUUACAAGAACUUUCCAUGGUUUGGACCAUGGAACCCGAACCAAAGAUGCAUAAAGCAUCUUCAUCCAUGAUAAGAACGAAAAAGUUACCCAUGAAUGGAAUGCUCUCAAAGUAAAAAGCUUGGAUGACCAUUGAUCCCAGCAAGUGGUGUCCAUCGAAUAUUUCUUCAUCUAGCUCAGGCAUUGGCUCAAUGGUUUUCAAAAGCCACUAGCUAUCCAGUUCCGCGCUACCUGGGGGAAUGGCGAACACAAUCUCGAACACCAUUUGAAUCACAGCACUCUUUGGUCAUUGCUACCUUGAAUGCACUGCUUGAGAUUGGCCAAAGCUUGUUCAGCCAUGUUUCUAAAGGACGGAUCCAUGUCCUUAUGGUGUAGGAAGCGAUCUCCAGUUCUUGCAUAGCCUACCAAUCUGACUGCAGCCUAGCCGAACAGUCACAAAACCCUAAAUCGCAGCCAGCAAGAAUUUACGUAUUUCCUUCAUGUUUUCGUCAAAAGAUUCUGUUAGAUUCCACAGAAUCAAUACAUAUAAUGUACACAAUGACCAUAUUAUCAUUGGUACAAAAAUCCCCUGGGUUUAACACGAGGAUCGUGCGCUUGGCGAAUUCCUCCUCCUGGAGCGGAAACAUCUAGCAAAUGAAGGUGCUCCACCAUGGUGAGGGACGCAUCGAGCUUCAUCCCCACCUUAAACUCCACACCCUGCGGCAGUAUUUCUCCAAGCUCGUCCACGAAUCUCUUCCUGAAGACGAUCCUGGUGAUGUUGUGAAAUGCCACUGCCGAGACAUAGUUCUUUGCGGUCACAGCCACGCCACCAUUGUUCUUCACGUCCUGGAAGAUCAAAUUUAACAUAGCAACCUCGCGGAUCCAUCGCAGGGACUCCGUGUCUCUUGGGCGUGAAGAGCUCCAGACUGCACAGCUUCCUCACCUUCACGAACCCAUCGCCAUUGUCAGAAGACCUCUUGCUCGUGGAUAGCGAGUGGCAUCUCUUUUGUAUUUUUUUUUAAUUUUAAAGGCCUGGCGGGAAGAUAUUUUAGGGCAGCUUCAAUGCGUUGGAGAGGAGAAUGUAAGGUGAUCCAUUCUCCGGCUCUAGAUCAAGAACGCGGCACGCCGCUCGCGUCCCUCGAUUCUCUUCCCCGUGGAUCUCACAGGCAGCGAGCAGCGUCCUCCAUGCGACCGCGUCUUCUUUUCUUGCAAUCCGAGCGAGCUCCUCCGCUUCGUCGAGCCGCUUCACCCGGCCCAGGGCAUCGAUCAGGCAGUGGAGAUGCUCUGGCAGCCGCUCCAGGUGGAAAUCCGUGGCCAUGGAGCUGAAGAGAUUGAUCGCGUCUUGGAUUUUCCCGGCAUGGCCACAUCCGGUGAGCAUCGCGAGGAUCGUCACGGCGUCGGGAUCACUGCCGCGCAGCAGCAUCUCGCGAAAUAUUUCGAUAUUUCGCUCACAGUCCCCGCUCUGCGCGAUCGCGGUGAUCAAGACGUUCCAUGACACGGAGUCCAGCUCCUGCGCCGAAUCGAUGAUGUUCCUGGCGCUGUCGAGCAGGCCAUUGUGCGCGUAAGCGCUCGCCAUCGCAUUCCAGGUGAGAAUAUUUCGCUCUGGAAUCUGUGUGAAGCUGACGAUUGCUUCCUCUACCAGGCCGUUUUGCCCGCACGCGACGAUCAUCAAGUUCCACGACAAUAGGUCUCUCCCAGGAAUUCUCUGAAUCACGGCUCUGGCCUCGUCGAUCGACUGUCCCCGCUGAGCAUACGCCGAGAGCAGCCAGCUCCAAGAUGCCAGAUCUCUGUGGCUCAUCGCAUCAAACUGGAGCUUGACGUCCUCGACCGAUCCAGCUCGCGCGAAGGCUCUCAACAUCAGAUUCUCGGAAACUAGGCUCCUCUGAGGCAUCGCUGCAAAGAUCUCGUGGGCGGCAUGGGCAUCGCACCUCGAGUAGGCGGCAAUCAUCGCGUUCCAGGACACCGCAUUCCUGUGUGGCAUCUGGCGAAAGAAGAUUUUCUGGGUGUUCUUCACAUCGCCGCUCUCGGCAUAGGCCUGGAUCAUCGCGGUGAGCACGACGAGAUCGUGCUGCGGCAUCCUCUCCACAACCUCUCGCGCCAGCAGCAGAUCCCAGCGCGAGCAGGAACUUACCAGCGCGGUCCAGGACACGGCAUCUCGCUGAGGAGCAGCGUCGAAGGUCUGUUUCGAUCGAUCAUCCUGGCUGCUAACCGAGAUCAUCGUGUUCCAGGACACUCGAUCCCACAUUGGCAUCGCCACAAAGAUCGCUCGCGCCUCGUCGCCAUCGCAAUCUCUCGCCGCCAGUAGCAACAGCGCGUUCCAAGAGAAACCAUCUCUUUCAGGCAUCGCCAAGAACAAGCUCCUCGCCUCGCAAAGAUCCCCGCUCUGGGCAUAUGCCUGGAGCAUCAAGUUCCACGUUACUAGGCACCUCUGGGGCAUCUUGUCCAACAGCACCAGAGAUUCCCGAAUACUUCCAGCUUGGCAGUACGCCCCAAUGGUCCUCGUCCACGUGUUGGCAUCUCGCUGUGGCAUCGACUCCAACACAUUUAGAGCACAUUCCAGAUUCCCUGCCUGGGAAUAUGCGUGGAGGACGGUGUUCCAGGCACGCAGGUCCCUGUAUGGCAUCUUCUCAAAAACUUCCAUGGCAUCCCCAAGAUUCCCAAGAGAUACAAAGCCCGCGAUGACGCUCGUCCACGCUACAACGUCUCGGUGGGGCAUAUUCUCAAAGAGUCUAAAGGAUUCCGGCAUAUGCCCAUUCUGGGCAUAUGCCGCGACCGCAAUAUUCCACGAGUGUAGGUUGGGGCAGGGGAUGGAAUCGAAGACGUUCCUGGCCUCGUACAGUCUUCCGAGCUUGCCGUACAUUUCAACCAGUGCGUUGGAGAGGAAUGUGUUGUGUCUGAGCUCUGGAGAGGAGAGAAUCUCUUGGUGAAUCGCCGCUGCCUUGCGGUGGUCUUUGAGAGCGCCACACAGCUUUGCCGAGCUUGCCAAAGAGAGUAUCCUGCGGAGCUCUUCCCGCAUGGAAUUGAGAUGGAGAGGCAAACUUGCCUCAUUGCAGGAGAAAUCUCUAGCUCAAGUGUCUUUCUUUUUGCCUACGAAUGGCUUUUGCCGUUCUUUUCUACGUUGAUAGCGCUCUCGUCUGCAAUUCCACUGUCAAGUCCCUCACGCCAAUGUCAUUGUAGACGCUGUGGGCGUGUUUUAGAAUGGCUUGCUCGUCGCUGCCUUCUUUCACCUGUGGAUUCGACUUGAGACAUUCAAAGCUAGAAAGAAGGAUUUUUAGAAAUUCUUGCCUCGAGGAGAAGCGUCCCCACGACAAAGCCAGGGACGAGUUCCCAGAAACGAGCACGAUAACACUCUAGCACGCCUUCAAGUGAUCCCACCUGGGAAAAAAGUUAAGCUUAAGCUUAGUAGCUGGACGAGAGACUAUACUAUCACGUACUUGUCUCAGGCAUUUGCUAAAAGCCGAUGGAGAUAUCCCUGGAGGAGACAUUUGCAAGAGUAAUCCUCCAGAAGCGUUGAACAGAGGUAGAGCCAGGAAAAACACUGCUACCGAGACAAUGCCCAAGCAAAGAGUUUCUGCGUUUUUCACCCUGGAAAAGAGAAAAACAGAAGACUAUACACAACCGUUUACUUAUAGAUUCCACUUACCCAAGAGCCAAGAGCCAGGAUGCAAGGAUCACACCAGUGCUUCAAACAUAAGAAAGACAAAGCUUAGACAACUUUCGAGUUACGAGCGAUUUAAGCUUUCUUACCUUCGAAUAGAAUCAGAGAGUACGUGGAGACAGAUGGAGUGAUUGUUCAUGUCUUCCGCUUUCCUGUAAACUGAUCAUGCGCAAAAGUGUAAAACCGAAGCGCUCACUCGAUAGAGAGGUACGUUACCAAAACUUAUCCGCGCGUAGUUUCGGAAGAACCAUACUCCCAUGGCAUUCACGCACAGAUUUGCUACGGCUGACACGAUCAAGUAGUGCCUGAGAAAAAGAAAAAGGUGGACCUUGAUAGGACGGACAAAAGAGAGAACAAAGCCUUACUUAUGCUCGGACUCGUCUUGAACGAAAGCAUGCAACGCUUCCACGGCAAGAGAGAAUGCGAGAAAAAGCAAAAAAAGCUGCAAAACAUACGAGAAACAAGAGAUGAGCCGUGGAGAGAAAAGCAAAGAUAAACUGGAAUGCUUUUCUACAGUGUUUGUAAAGGCCGCUAGAACUUCCAAUCUCUUAUGCCUGCGUCGAGAAGGAAGAACACUAAAAUCCCACACAAGAGAAAAGAAAAAGCCGCGAAGCACUGACCCGUAAGUAUAAUCGUCGUCAGCUUUCCGCUUGGCCAUGACCAUCGCAAACAAGGAGAAAGUGAGCAUCCCACAGCCGAAAGUGAGAUGGAAAGCAUCCGACACAAGACCUGAAAGAGGAAAACAAAGAAAGAUUCAUCAUCUCAAACUCUUUUCUCUCUUUUCUAUGCUUACCAAUGCGACCAGUGAGCAAUCCAAUGAAGAGCUCCAGCGAGGAGUAGGCGACAUUGAGGAGGAUGAGAAGGAGCAGCCGCUUCGUCUGCCGGUUGCCAUAGCUGGUGAUCUUCUGCAUGAGCGUGAGAGCCUUGACGGCGCCCCUCACAUUCUUCCACUUGCUGCUCCUGGUCGUCCCCUGGAGAUCGCUCUUCCAUGACGACACAUUUCUAGAGAGGGCGGGACUAAACCUGGAGAGCGAGGGGGGAUUCUUCCAGCUCUCCCGACCGGACGCUGGCGAUGGUAGAUUAUCCAAAGGCGCGGCAGCAGCAGGAGGAUGGCGCUUGUUGCCCGGCGGCUGUGGGCUGAGAGGAACUGAAUCGAAGCGCACAGCGUCCGGCUCCUCCAUGCUAGUUUUAGGGCACGAAAAAUAUGAUUUAGCUCGCAUUUAGUAGCGUAGCAGGAUUUGCUGCUGUUUGUCAUUGGUGUCUGUUCUUCACCAAGAAAAGUGCGACUCUUACUAUCGAGCUAGUGAAAAGAUCUUUUUCUCUUCAUACCUGAGACCAUGAGCCUGCGAUCGGCACGGUUUCGUUCUUUGGAUUCCAGCCGAUUCCAGCCGAUGAGAAAACUCGUGAGUUUUCUCAUGCUAAACAGCGGCGACAGUUUUAUCCACUCUAAUGAGAAAGUAUCCAAAAUAUGCUUUCGAUAUUUCUUAUCACUGUGUUUUUCGCUUUUCAAAUUCCUGUAAUCCAAUCUAUCCUGGCAAAACAUACGAGAAACAUCUUAAAACAGUGUUUGUUUUUAUUUCAGAAAACUAAUUUACAUUUACAGAAUUCUAUAUGGUUUUUUUUCUGCUGGGAUCCCUUAUUUAUUUAUUUAUAGAGAAUUACAAAUUAAAAGUGUGAGGGCCAAGUGUACGGCUACGAUGCCGUAUGCUAAUAUUAGCAUAGUGUGAUUUUGGUAGCCGUCGGAUUGGUUUUAAUCUGGACCACUCGCUCCUGUAUAUAAACUAAGGUUUUUGGGCUAAUUAAUAGACACAUUUCUGUAUUCCUUUUUUAUAUUCCAUGCACUCACAAAAGCAAAUUAAUUAUUUGUAAAAAGACCUCCUCCCACUGUAAGAAGCUAGAAGGAGUAAGAAGCUAGAAGGAGUGAAAAGGAGGGUAUGAUUCACAAAUGUACGCAACAGACUCGUGAGUUUUCUCAUCUUAAACAGUGGCGACAGUUUUAUCCGCUCUAAUGAGGAAGUAUCCAAAAUACGCUUUCGAUAUUUCUUUUCACUGUGUUUUUCGCUUUUCAGAUUCCUGUAUCCAAUCUAUCCCAGCAAAACAUACGAGAAACAUCUUAGAACAGUGUUUGUAAGCUAGACACAACACUAAAAUCUCAAACAAGAAAGCACUGAAACGUAAGUAUAAUCGUGGCAAGCUUUUCUCUUCGCCAUGACCCAAGGAGAAAGCGAGCAUCCCACAGCCGAAAGCUAGAUGGAAAGCAUCCGACACAAGCCCUGGAAGAGAAAACAAACAAAAAACCAUAUCUCUUGUUUCUAUGCUCACCAAUACCUACAACCAGCAAUGAAGAGCUCUAGUGAGGAGUACGGAACAUUGAGGAGGAUGAGAAGGAGCAGCCGCUUCGUCAUAGCUCGUCUGGGACUAAACCUGGGGGGAUUCCCGACCCGUUGUCCGGCGGCUGUGGGCUGAGAGGAACUGGAUCGAAGCUGCUAGUUUUACGACACGAAGAACUAUGUUACUACAUUACGCCACUGCUUAAAUAGAUGCAAAAGACUUGCACCGCAAAACCAAGAACAAGAAGAGAAAAAGUAGAGAAAGAGAUAACUAUGCGAGAAAAAAAGAGGGGGAGAACUCCUGGAAUGACAACGCUCAGUAAGCAACGAGGAAAGAGAAAAACAAAUGGAUAGAACCAGGCUCAGUGCUUCUCUCGAGAUCCAGCUCGGGAAACGCAGGAUAAAAGCGAUGCCGCUGCUGGAGACACGGUCGGAAUUGCCUGCUGCUACAUUCUCGAAUUGCGAAUUGACUCUGAUCAGCCGUCCUCGUAAAUCAAUCGUCAACCUGACUCAACGUUUUGUUCCAUUGCCUCGAGAAUUCGUGCCCGGUGGCUCCUGUUCGGCCUCCUGCAAGUUGAAUUCAAAGAACUUACUUAUAGCACGUGAUGAACGGGCUUUCACCUUUCCUUCUUCUCUGAACUUCCAAAGAAGAAGCGAAGGCAAAAACGAGUUCAUCGCAAGUUGAGGUCUAUUGAGCGAAAAGUUUCCCUUCGAAAGAUCUCAGGGAUGAAAGUUCGCUGCCCAACUUACAUAGUUAUCUAAUAGGAAGCGAAUGUCCAUGCUUGAGAUCUUCACAGAAACUCCAAAA